CGCCCGCCUCUCCCCUCCACCGCCUCUCUCCACUCUCUCUCUCUCUCUCUCUCUCUCUCUCUCUCCAAUCUCGAAGAGUUCCAGAAGCUUCCAACCUUCGGCGGCGAGAUGAGUUCCUCUCAGGGAGGCGGCGGCCGCGGCAAGGCGAAGACGACGAAGGCGGUGUCGCGGUCGUCCAAGGCCGGGCUCCAGUUCCCCGUCGGCCGCAUCGCCCGCUACCUCAAGGCCGGCAAGUACGCGGAGCGCGUCGGCGCCGGCGCCCCCGUCUACCUCUCCGCCGUCCUCGAGUACCUCGCCGCCGAGGUAAACCCCAUCCCUUCCCCUCCCGCUCGAUCCGCGUGGGAUCUUCCGAUCUCGUGUCCCCCGAAUCGUGUGUUCUGAUCACCCAUUGGCUGUGUUAAUCGCAGGUGCUGGAGCUGGCCGGGAACGCGGCGAGGGACAACAAGAAGAACAGGAUCGUGCCGCGGCACAUCCAGCUGGCGGUGCGCAACGACGAGGAGCUGAGCAGGCUGCUGGGCACCGUCACGAUCGCCGCCGGCGGCGUGCUGCCCAACAUCCAGCAGGUCCUGCUUCCCAAGAAGGGCGGCGGCAAGGGCGACAUCGGCUCCGCCUCCCAGGAGUUUUGAGCGGGUUUUUCUCAUCGGGUGGAUGAAGAGGGGAUCGCCCUUUCGCCAAUCUCUUGUCUGGAUCGUUCAUGCGAUGCUUUUUUUUGCCCAUGUUUCCGUGUGGUUGGGGGUGUUUGAACUUCGUGGCAUGUAAAAAACUCUGGGUUCAUUAAAGGUGGAUGAAUAGAUGAUAUAAACAAGAAAGAAAUGAUGGCUUCUUAUGCAAAAAUGCUCUUAAUCCUCUGUUUCACUGUUUGCAAGAUUGAUUGAGUGAUUGCGUUAAAUGGUUUCGCUAGGAUACGGAUGUGGAUUGUGGGGCUCUUAGGAUUGAUCUCACAUUCUUGUUAUUGUAUACGCAUCAAAAAAUAUGCUCCUUCUGUUCAUUUGCAGUUGUCUCGGAUGCAGUUCUAGUAGUAUGAUCUCAUUCUUUGGUCUCAGGGCACGUUUCUUACAAAGCAUUCUCAUUGAGUGACCUGCCCACCUAAGAUCCUUAAGAACCAUUGAAUAUACCAGGCUUCAGAGUUGACAGGGAAUCAGGGAUGCACUUACUCCAUCAAAAUGCAAUAGUACUUCCAUUCAUGAAACCAAAUGAAUACUUGUCUGUUAAACAUCCAGACUGAAUAUUUUGUGAUCAAAGAAACAUCCAGACUGAAUAUUCUGUGGCCAGUAACACAAUAACACAACAUCUAGACAUCUACCGAUCAAUCUCUCGGUUUCUCACAUCAGAGAGAAGAGACCUGUACACCAUCUACUGAUCAAUCUCUCAAUUUCUCACAUUAGAGAGAAGACUUGUGCUAGGUACCUGACUAACAAAAGCGCCAACACUGCUAACUUUUGCAGGCUUGCAGUGUGCGUUGUAACUUAACUUGUAAUUCGUGUUGCAGUGUGAGUGUCUGAUCAAAUUCCUGAAUCCUGACGACUAAUUCAACUGCGUUCAGUUCAGUUCAGUUCUUGUUGCUAAGGAUGUUAGCCCUCAUGGCCUCCAGCUCCGCCAUGUUCGUCUCGACGGCGCCGGAGAAGGACGGCUCAGGGAUCGGCUCCUCCGUCAUCUGGGACAGCCGGACGAGGCUCCUGGUGGCGAGCACCGAGCGCGCGUCCAUGGUCUCCGCGGCUCUCCAGUACAUGCACUCCGCGGCGCGGGUGGCCUGCGUCUUCAGCUCGUCGGAGUUCGUCGGGCCCAGCAGGCAGUGUGCCACGAUCCGCAGCACCGGCUGGAACAGCUCCCAUGGCAAUGGCACCCUCCGCAACUUCUCCUCGGCGGCGGCAGGCUCGGAGGCAGCCGCGACGCGCGGCUUGUCGUCCAGCUUGCUGCGGUUCCCGGUCCAGGCGACGCAGAACUCGCAGAAUUCCAUCUUGGAGGAGAGCGGCAUGAUGGCGAGCUUGCCGUGGUAGAGCUCCAGCACGGCGCCGACAAUCCGGGCGCGGCGCGUGGCGCGCAUGGUGCCGUGGGGCUCCAGAGCGGGGGAGAGCACGGCGACGUCGAGCUCGGCGGCCUUGGUCUUGGGCGGCACCUUCGCGUCGUGGUACACGCUGGGGUUGGCCAGGUUCGGCAGCGACACGGUCUCGGCCUCCCCGGAGCCCCGCUGCGCCGCGGCGUGCGCGUACAGCGCCAGGAGCACGGCCUCGAACCCGGCGAGCGGCUUCCUCGAGACGGCGCGGGACAUGUACACGCCGGCGAGGGCCGGGACGAAGCGGAGCACGGCGAGCUGGAUCUCCGGGAGGUUCGACUGGAACGCGUCGUAGAGCCACCGGCAGAGCCCGUCGUUCCCGGCGCCCGACCCUUCCCUGCGGAGGCGCCCCACCACGGCGCGGGCGACGCCGGCGUCGUGGAGGAGCGCGUUCGCGGGGUCGUCGGCCGAGGCGAGGGUGCCCGGGAGCGCGGCACCGAGGACGGCGGCGAGGGACUCCACGGCUGACUUGGCGCUCUGGAUGGGCUGCGGCGACGCGUCGGACGUCAUCGUCGUCGUCGUCGUCGGCGGCGGCGGCGGCGGCGUAGGAGGAGGAGAUCGAGAAGUUUAGGGUGAUCGCGUCGGAGGCGCGGCUCUGUGGUGGGGAAAGGAAAGCGAGAGAUCGGAGGAGGAAUAGGGGAUUUGAGCGGGCGCGCGUUGUUUGGGCAAAUGCAUGGUUACACUUUAUUAGCUUAAUUAACAAGAGGUUAAGAGCAAAUCAAGGGUGCAAGUUUGGGUUUGGCUCGCGUCACCUUGCUAUUUGGAGUAAUGCAUCAAUGCAUCAGUAGCUCCUCGACCUUCCUUCUCCACUAGCAUUGACGCUAUAACUACAUACGGCGAAAUUGUGUAACACAAUUUCAUCACAGAAAAUUAAGAAUUUGUCAUUAGCUUGUAAAUAUUCGCUCUGUUUCAAAACAGGCUAUAAGUCGUUUUGAUUUUGGUCAAAGUCAAACUGUUUCAAAUUUAACAAAUUUUAUAAAAAAGGUAAUAUUUUCAACACAAACCAAAUAUAUUAUGAAAAUAUAUUUUAAUUGUAGAUUUAAUAAAACUAAUUUGAUAUUGUAAAUAUUAAUAUAUUUAUCUACAAACUUGGUUUUGUUUGACUUUCACCAAAGUCAAAACAACUUAUAAUAUAAACGGAACGGAGGGAGUACUCAACCAAGAAAAAACAUGGUUUGACAUGCGUACCUCAGUAUAAAAGAUUUCUCUUUCUUUUCUCCUUUUGUUAUUUCUGGGUGCACCACAAGCAUAUGAUCCUUAUUUAAGUAUGAAAUUCCAUCUGUGGUCUUGUGGUUUGUGUUUGAGAGAAGAGAUGUUGUCAUAGGUUUCUUUCGAGCUAAUAUGACUUCUCUCUUUCUAAUUUGAAAUGCUAGUUCCGAUAAAAGAAUGAAAAUUAGCCAUGUCGCUAAUGGUAGUUAUGCUGGGUCCACUGGAGGCCAAUUUUAAUUUGGCAAGAGUAGCGACUUAUAAUUAUCUUGCAAUUUAACAUUGGCUUAGCCAAUAUCACCCAAAAUUAUGUAAAAUCGUGCAAGUGUGCCUUUUGUUUAAGCCCAAGAUGGUGUCACGGUAUUUAACGCAAGAGAUUUCCUUUAAUAAACACUUUUGUACAAGAAAUAAAAUAGUGAUGCUAGAUGCCUAAUCGAGUACCACGUCAUCAUGAAGUUUGUUAUCACCUUUUCAAUUAGUUGUAAAGAGAGUGAAAGAAAAACAAAUACGACCUACAUCUACUAUGUAUAAUUGAUUUGAUUUUGUUGAUGUUGUUGAGUUUAGCCUUGUGUUUCAUGUGCCUACAAAUUAUGAUGUACUUCAAAAUUCAGUAAUUCACUGACCAAACAAUUCAUCUAUAAUUUACAUAUCUUAACCAAACAAUCCAUAUACACUUUAUUAGUCUUGGCCAAACACUCCACUUGCACCUUGUAGAUCUCAUGUGAUUUCAAUGAUAUACUGUAAUAAAUAACCACGUCAUAUGGAUACACAAACAUGAUGGACAUGUAUAUGACAGAUCGAUAUAAGUUUUUUUAUGUGAAAUUAACUCUACACGUAAGCGUGGUCCUUUUCGCUACUUCCACUUUGCGCGAUGGUAUUCAAUACAUGACAUAUUUGAUGAACGAUUUUCUCAUUAUAUAUUCCAAUAACUUUAUAGUUUUACAGCGGUGCAACUUAAAAGCCAUCCAAAUCGAGAAUGCUCCCAGCAAGGUUCUGUGAGAUUAUUAGCUGUAUCACAGCGAUUCAGUUGUCCGUAUCGUACGCGACAUUAUCUCUUAUACAAAUCAUACGUGUGAUCAUCACUUUCAGCUACAUAUGGAGUGAUUCAUUUACCUGUAGAUAUUUUCUUUUUCAACUGACUCGACACACCAGAAAGCCAAAAUCACCACAAGAACUUAAAAAGAGCCUCUGUUCUGUUCCAUCUAUUUUACCCCGAGAUAUACAUGCUUCGCAGUUGAAAGCAGCGAAAAACGCAAACCGGAUGGCCCUGACCGGCCGGCGUUAAGCCACCGGGCACCGGCAGCGUGGGACCCAGCCUGCCAGUGAGACGGUAGACCGCCGCUACGCGCACCCAGCACCGCGUCCCCAAAAUUCGGCACCGGAGCGGCGGAAGGGAAGAGAGGAGAGGAGAGGUGAGAGAAGAAGACGAGAAAGCGAAGCUGCUUGCGGGUAGAGAGGGGUGCAGUCGAGUCGCCUCCCCGUCCGUCUCCGGGGUAAAAGCCUCGCCCCCGCCGCGCCAUGGAGCCCAAGUCGUCGGCGUCGGCGGCUCAUCAGGGGGGCGACGCGCCGGCCGAGGCGCCGCGCAGGCGCGGCGGCGGCGGGAAGCGCAAGUCGGGCGGGUCGUCGUUCACCCCGUCGAAGAGGCACGCCAAGGAGCGGAACGCGGCCUUCCACGUGCCCCCUCACCUGCUGCACAGCGGGCCGCUCACCCGCGCCGCGCGCCAGUCGCCGCACAAGCUCGCGGAGGAGGCGGCGGCCGCGGCGGCGGCGGGGGCCGGCGGAUCGGAGGCGGGCGGCGGGAAGGGUGGCGGGGACGUGAUCCGGCUCGAAGGGGAGGAGGCGCCCACCGAGGAGACGCCUCUGGUGGACGAGGUGUUCGAGGCCGUCCGAUCCCGCGGCGCCGGCGUCCAUGUGGUCCCUACCUUCGCCGGUGAGGCCUCUGCUCCCUAACAGCUCCGUGAUCUCCUCUGUUGGGGUGGUGAAUCCCGGAUGCGCGCGACGCGACGGGUUUCCCUCUUUGUCGGGGCUGCUGGUUUGGAUGGCGUCGGUGAAUUAGUUCACUGCGAAAGUAUAUUCCCCCUCUUUUUACGCGCGUAUGGGAGCAAACAUUUAGCAUGUAGCGGUGCAAUUCGUUGCUUAACGUUGUUAGUUACUGCAAAUCAGCUAAAUUGGUACGCGUACUGUGCAUACUGGAGUGUUAAUUGCAGGAAUUUUUGGUAGAUUUAGCUCAAUUUCAGGGCAUGGUCAUGCUGCUGAUUUAAUUUCUCGAGAUAAGAAUUUAUUGCAAGCAUUGCUUUCAUUAAUUUCAGCAUAUAGUGGCUAUAAUGUGUUUACUUUUGCUUGCUGUUGCCUGUUGAGGAAAAUGAGUUCGAGCACUCACUGUUUUGCUUUCUUCCAUGUGAUUGGGGUGUGGCCUGUUCUCUUUUGAGAUAUAGUAGAUGUAGACAAACCUAGGUAGUCAGCAGCUUUGGAGAAUUACCUGAUCUGUCCUCAGCAUCCAUCAUGUCUUGUUUACUUAGAUAAAAUUUGGUGCAAUCCCAUUUGCUUAAUUUCCUGCAAUAACUGCUGCAAGCUUCCUUUUCAACUUUAGGUCCAUGUGGAAAUUUUGCCUUGUUGCCAGUAUAGUCAGUGUAUAUCUUUCACUCUAGUGUGAUAGAAACAAUAGAAUGCUAAAGUAAAUCUUGAUAAUUCAGUAAUCUUCCCUGUUUCUUGUGCAAUUGCAGUAAGCCAUGUUGCACUAUAAUUAAUCCUUGUGUUCUCUUGUGCAAUUGCAAUAAGCCAGUAACUAUAUCGCACUAUUAUUAAUCCUUGUAGCUGUAUAACCCUAAAUUUUCCUGUGACAUGUAGCUUCUGUAUAUCAAGUCACACCAGUAACUGUUUUCUGUAGGAUUUAUCUUUGUAUAACCCCUCAAUUUCCUAUGAUAUAUGAAUCCUGUCUAUUCAAGGUAUAUUGUCAACCACAUUGUGUGUUGAGCACAUGAGCUAAACCGUUUUUAAAUAUUAUUUACCACACAAUUCAUUCCAUCGAUUCAUAUUUUGUGUAAGAGAUAUAUCCUUUUGUUUUGUAUAAGAAGGCACAAAAAUAACUCUGAUUUUGUUCAGGAUGGUUUUCAUGGAAGGAAAUCCACCCAAUUGAGAAGCAAAUGUUGCCUUCUUUUUUCAAUGGCAAAUCUGACAAGCGGACACCUGAGAUAUAUUUAGGGAUCAGAAAUUUCAUCAUGUUGAAAUUUCAUGCUAAUCCUCAGUUGCAGCUGGAGUCCAAAGAUUUGGCUGAGCUAUCGAUUGGGGAGGCUGAUGCUCAUCAGGAAGUGUUGAAGUUCCUGGACCACUGGGGCUUGAUCAAUUUCCACCCUUUUCUACCAGCUGGACAAGAGGAGAGUAAGCCAGAGGAGGCCCAUGGCAAGUCUCACAGUGAGGAGAAAGCUUCAGUGCUUGAACAGCUGUUUAAAUUUGAAUCAGUUCAAUCAUAUAUGAUCCCUUUACCAAAGAAAGGGGAAGUGGAAACUCCAGCUCCUCUGCCUAGUUUGCUUCCUGAUCCUGCACUAAUUGAAGAUGUAGUUUCAGCAGCCGAGCCCUCUGUUGAGUACCAUUGCAAUUCCUGCUCUGUUGAUUGCUCAAAGAAGCGUUACCAUUGCCGGACCCAGGUUAGGUGCUUUUGUUUGUAUUUGCAACCCCUACUAAAAUUCUCCAUAUGCAAGUCAUUUAUUUGAAUCCAUAGUGCAAUCAGAUGCAUAUUUAUGUGGUGUCAGGUUAGAAUUUUUUUUAACAACCAAAAUAUUUGCACUUUUCAUUCUUAUGUCUGAGACCUCUUUCCAACACACAAGAAAUACAACUUGAGGAUGAAACUUUAGUGUAAUUCAACACCUCUGUUAGGCACACUUUUAUUCUUCUCGCUACUAGAAUCAGUGUUGUCUUAAAAACUUGAUUCGAAUUGAUGUCAUUAGCACCUAUAACUUCCGACCUUGUCUGAACUGUAUAAAGUUGAUUAUCAGAGUAACAAAUGCUGAAUAUUGACCGCCAAAGUUUAGCCUUGAAAGACGUUGUUGCGUUUCAUCAAGCACUGAGAUUUAUAGUACUCCCUCCUUCCCAAAAUGAUCAUCAUAUAUGUUUAUGCACCAAGACCAAGGAUAAUUUAAAUCAUAUCAAUCAAGACACUAUGCACACAUUCUCCCACAAUGCAUGCAUCAAUCAAAACACCAUGCCAAUUACACCUUAGCAUGCACACAUUCUCCCAUACUGCAUUAAUUGUAUUAUGAUGAAAUCCGUGUCCAUGCGGUUAUGUGAUGAUCAAUUUGUGAAAUUUUGAAUUCCAUUACAUGAUGAUCAAUUUGGGAAGGGGGGAGUAAUACCAAUGUUGGUAUCUUGUGAUUCAACUUCUCUAUUGCCUGUUGCCCUGCACUGCUCAUUUAAUUGUGCUGUUUUCUUUCUCUUCAGUGAAAUAUUUGUUAUAGCCGGUUUCUCCAUUCCAUUUCUUAUGUGGUCUUCCAAAAGAAAAUACAUAAUCACAUCUUAAAUCUGAAGUAUGGCACGGUUUAUUUUCCUUUCAUUUCUACAGGCAGAUUUUGACCUUUGUUCUGAUUGCUACAACGAGGGAAAGUUUAAUAUAGGCAUGGCAAAAACCGAUUUCAUCCUCAUGGAUUCUUCUGAAGUUUCUGGUGCUAGUGGUACUAGUUGGACUGACGAAGAGACAUUGCUUCUUUUAGAAGCUUUGGAAAUUUUUGGUGGAAAAUGGACUGAGAUAGCUGAACAUGUUGCUACAAAAACAAAAGCUCAGUGCAUGCUGCACUUCCUUCAAAUGCAAAUUGAGGACCGCUUUCAUGGCGAUGAAGAUAUUAAUCAAAAUAUCCAGGAAAACACAGAGCAAGCUUCAGCAGAAAAAGGCGCUGCUGAAAUACCUGAUAAAAUGGAAGUUGAAGAGAAAGCAGAAGGAAAAGAUACUGCAGGUGAGAAAACUCCAGAGAAAGCAGAGGGCAAUAGUGUAGAAGCACAAACGGAAGAUGGAAAUGCUAUUGAAAAUAAAGAUGCCAAUAAUUCAGGUGGCACAGAUUCAGUUAAAUCUCUAAACACUGAUGAGCCAAAAAAAUCUUCUGAUGCUGACCCACCGAAAAGUUCAUCCGAUGCUGAACCUGUAGUGAAGGAAAAUUCUGUUGAUGUUGAUACUUCUCGUGAAAAUGCAUCAAACUUUGCUAUUGAUACAUUGAAAUCCGCAUUUGAGGCUGUUGGUUACUUCCCAGAACAUGAAGGUUCAUUUGCUGAUGCAGGAAAUCCUGUUAUGGCACUGGUAAGCAUGCUACCCUUGGAAAUUUAUUAUUACCAUACAGUAUGUACUGUCCGUAGGUCUAAAAAUUGUUUUUGCAGGCAUCAUUUUUAGCUGGUCUUGUGGAAGAUGACACUGCAACCAAUUCAUGUCGAAGUUCACUAAAAGCUAUCUCUGAGGUUUCUCCUGCACUUCAGUUGGCAACUAGACACUGCUUUAUUCUUGAGGAUCCACCAAGUGAUGUGAAAGACAUGUCUGGCAAUGCAAGGUCAGCAAUGGUUGCACUUUUAUAACAUUGAAACGCUAUCAUGAGAUUUUGCUGAUGAGCUAAAUGCAAUUUUGCAGUACUACAAGCACAGAUGGUGAUAAAAGAAAAGACAAGGAUAAGACUCAAGAUUCAAUUGAUAGUGAAGUGGAAGGCAUAAAUAAAAAGGGAGAGACGGUUCUAUCUGUUGAAGGGAAAAAAAGUUCUCCCAUUUCACCAAAAGGCCAAGACACAGACAAAAAGGAUGAAUGUGAUGAGGACCCCUCAGUGGAUCCUAAACACAAUAAUGGUAAGGAGUCAGAUGAUCCUGUUUCUCUGGAUAAAAGUGUGUCCAACAACAAAAAAGGUAUAAACUCCAGUAAAGAUUCAGUUACUCCACUGAAUAUUACAAAUCAAUGUGGUAUGAUAACUUCUCAAGGGUUUGUCACAGGAAAUACCAUGGAAACAAGUAAUCCUGAAAUGAUAGAGGACAAAGCAAGUUCUGAAGUCAACCCUGCUGAUGAUUCAUCUUUAGAAGGCAAGGUUGAGAUGAAGAAGACCAAAGAUGCAGUUGCUAAUGCAACUACCGCACAGGAACAAAAGCAAAGCCAAAUAUUGGAAAAUGGCAAGAUGGAAGGUAUUUCAUCAAAACCUUUAUCUGAUUCAAGUACUACAAUUCAAUUAAAGCUUCUCAUUAUGUACUAACCCUCAAGGAUUAAGUUGUUUGCGUGUCAUCUUAUUGCUGCUAACAUUACCUAAGAUUCUUCAUGUUACUAAAGAUCCAUCAUCCAUCAUAAUAAUUUGUUACCAAUUCGUGGUUUUGUCUGAGAAGCAUCACUAACUAACUUAAAUUGAAUAUUUAAGAUUUUACCAGCAAUCAUAUUACUUUAUCAUGUUCUUCGUUCAUUAAUAUUUUGUCUGAUUGGUUCCUGCCUGCCUGGCACGAACCCACUCUGUUAACACCAGCAACACACACACACACACACGAGGGUAAAUCUGUCUUUAUCAGUAUAUGCAACCUUAUAUCAAUUAUCUAGCACCUCUCACUAAGAUUUGCCUGAUGAGGGAUUUAUGAUGUAGAAUCAUAAUACCACAGUGAACUAUAUGAACUAGUACUACACAUACAGGAAAUGCAAACACUGCAAAGAUGGUGAAAACUGUGAACUUCAACUCUGGUCCUCUUACCUACGAUACCUGUCCUGCAGAACCUAAGAGUACUGAAGAUGUUGCUGCCGAUGAAGAGAACAGCUCUAGAGUAACCGCCAACCUCACGGAUUCCAUAACUAGGCUGAAACGAGCAGCCGCUACAGCUAUUUCUGCAGCUGCUGUGAAGGCAAAACUCCUUGCUGACCAUGAGGAAGAACAAGUCCGUCAGCUGGCUGCGCUGAUGAUUGACAAACUGGUAAUAUGGAACCCCACUCGCUUUACUCUCCGAAUGGUCCGUUCUGUGUUAUGCGCCUCUAAUGAUUUUUGUUCUUUUUCUCAUGCAGUAUCGGAAAGUAGAGGCGAAGGUGUCUUUUCUCACCGAAGUUGAACACCUGGUCCAGAGAACAAGAGAAUACACUGAAAAGACUAGAAAGAAGCUUCUGAUGGAGCGAAAUGCGAUAAUCGCUGCCCGCAUGGGUUCAUUGCCAUCUAGGCCAAACCAGCCCGGUGCAGCCGGCAACAGAUUACCAGCUGGAUAUGGAGGCCCCAUCGUGAGACCACCACCAAACGCAAUGCCCCGCCCUAGCAGCUGAUCGAGCUGACCGUGGUGAUCCGGACAACUAGUGCUCUAUACCCCCAUUCUUUAGAGGGAUAUCUCGAAAGCCAUGAACUGUGUUGUAGUAGUACCAUUCUUUUAGAAGCAGAGAAUACUGUAUGACGAUCUGUUGUUACUGCAUAAGAGCUUCUAUAAAAUUUUUCACGAUUUUCACUUUGGAUGUGCUGCUUUCCGGAUCGUGCCGUGCCACCUUUUCGUUUUAUGUGAAUGGUGUGCAUGUGGCUCUCUUGUUUUGCCCCUGCACAAGGCUGAGGCCAUCUCUGCCCAUCUCCGACGACACAUUAUUUUAGAGAUAACGGAAUGAAAAUCCCAGCCUCUGCACCAUUUACAUUUUUUUAUUCUCUUAUAAAUUUGAUGGUUCAGAAAAACACCAUUACAAUUCACGUGAUUGACCCAGUGCAAUUACAAUUUACAUAAUAACAAUUUGCAUAAUAGUAGUUUGAAACAUGCUAGUAGGCUACAUUUUUUUAUUCGUGUUGGACAAAAAUACAGUCAAAACCAGUGCGAUUAAAAUUUGCAUAGUAGUAAUUUGAAACAUGUUACUAGGCUACAUUUUUUCUGGGGCAAUUGUUUAUUUGACCCGUUUUGAACUGUAACUGCCAAUUUGACCCUACUUUUUAAAGUUUGUUUAUUUGACCCUCCUUUUCAAAAACGAAGCUCCGGUCUGAUCCUAUUCUGUUUGGGUGAGUUAACGGUGUUAAUUUUAGGGUAAAUAGUCCAUUUUGCCCUUGCUUAUUUGACUCUGUUAUAUCUUGCUUGUUUGCUUGUUUGACCCUAUUUUAUUAUACUGUGUAUAUAUUCAAGAAUGUUGAAAUAUUUGUAAUAAUUUUUGCUCAAGUUUGACAGAUUUGUCAUUAAUUUGACAAGUUUGAAUCAUUUUGUCAAAUUUGACUUAAAUAAAAUGUGACACAAUUAUGACAUAUUUGACAAAUUUGAUUCAUUUUAACAGAUUUGACUUAAAAUUGUCAGAAUUUUGACAAAAUAAAUUAGACAAAAUUUGACAAUUAUAACAUAUUCAACAUCAUAACAUCUAAUUUUGACAAAAAUUCGACAGCAUAACAUCUAAUUUUGUGGAUCCCAAACUGCAUUCAAUAAAGCAUAAACAUAUAGCCAAGGUCGAGCUCGGGUUGAGGUUGAGGUCGAGGUCCACUGCAGCCUCUGGGGGAUCCACCACCGCCACUACCUUCCUCCGCGAGCCGCCGCCGCCGCUCCUUCCCUUCACGGACGACCGCCGGCGCAUAUCCCGCAACCAUCGCCCCUUCCCUUCACAGCCGGCCGCCGGCGCGGAUCCCGCCGCCGCCGCUCCUUCCCUUCACGGACGGCCGCCGGCGCAUAUCCCGCAACUGCCGCCCCUUCCCUUCACAGCCGGCUGCCGGCGCGGAUCCCACUGCCGCCGCCCUCUACCUCCACCAGCAGGCGCCGGCGGGGGUCGGCUUCAAGCCGCCGCCGCCCCCUCAGAGCGCCGCCGAUGGACCCGCAGACGCCGCCGCCAUUUCCUCAAACGCCGUUGUCGCAGGCCCGCAAGAACGAGAGAGAGAGAGAGAGAGCUGUGGAUAGGAUUCGAAUGGAUAUGGUUUGGAUGGAUAGGGUUUGGACGAAGGGUACUUUGGGCAUUAAGAAUAAUAAUCACAUUUCUUUUUUAAAAAAAAGAAUCAAUCCCUGACGAAGUAAGGGGGUCAGACGGGAGCUUCGAUUCUGAAAAGGAGGGUCAAAUAAGCAAACUCUAACAAACAUAGUCUUAGAGUCUAAAACAGGCCAAAUAAGCAACUGUACCUUUUUUUUAUCUGUGUUGGACAAAAAUGCUGUCAAAACCAGAGCAAUUACAAUUUGCAUAGUAGUUUUUCGAAACACAUUGCUAGGCUACAUUUUUUUUAAUCCGUGUUGGACAAAAAUGCUGUCAAAUUUAUAAUGGCGCGGAUAUGUGUGUAUUGCGGUGCAGUUUUAAAAAAUAACGAAUAUAAAACAUCAAACAAAAGGAGACAUCAAAACUGGAGUAAUGUUUCAGUCUCAUAAUUAUUGAAGUUUUGAACAAUUAUUGGCCUUAUUUAGAUCCUUCGCACUAUUAAAUAGCCCUCCGAAAUCUUGUUAUUUAGGAUUAUUAAACAUAGAUUACUGAUAAAACCUAUUCCAUAACCCCUAGGUUAUUUUGCGAGACGAAUCUAACCAUGUAUAUUAAUCCAUGGUUAGCGGACAAUUAUAGCAUCACUGUAGCAAAUCAUGGAUUAAUAUACCUCGUUAGAUUCGUCUCGCAAAAUAGCCCAAGGAUUAUAGAAUAAGUUUCGUCAGUAAUCUACGUUUAAUACUCCUAAAUAGUAAGAUUCCAAAUGGCUAUUUAAUAGCUCGGAGGAUCUAACAGGGCCAAUGACAUGGUCUCCAGAGUGUGCCUGUUCGGCAGUCUGUUUUGUUUUGUGGUUGCGACGCAACCGACACCAACAGUGCCGCACGCAAUGGAGCAGCCGUAGCCGCAAUCCCUCCAAAAUCUCUUAUAUUAUGAGACGGAAGGAGUAUAUGCUAUUCUAGGCCGUGUUUAGUUUCUCUCCUAUUUCCAACUUUCCAUCACAUCAAAAACUUUCUUACACAUAUAAACUUACAAUAAUUUUUUUAAACUUUUAACUUUUUUUAAACUUUCAACUUUUUUCAGGAACUGAACACACCCCUAGUGUUUAAAGAAUUAUGGAACCAGAGUGUUUCAGAACUUCUCAACUUUGAUGAGCUGCGUGUACCCCUAAUUAGUGAUUCAUGACAGUCCCCCAUGGUUUCUGGAGUAACUCCACACGCUGAACUCUGCGUUCACUCUCCCCCUCCCCUUUUUUACCGCACGGAUCUCUCAACGGUCAAAAACUGCCACGUAGACAUCCGGCCAUCGAAGCGGACAAAAGCGCAAACAAUUUGAACGCAUACAUUGGGUGGCCGGCCACACAGGCAUGCGUGCGCCCCCCUUGUGUUUGGCAAAUGGCUACCGGUCCACCCAAUUACGUGCUCCCUGCCACACGGUCGCAUCACAAGCCCCGCACCACCCACUUCUCCCCGACUACGUACACCCGUUCCUCCAUGGACCGAGAGUCCGAGACUCACACAUCCGCCUCGUCCCCGCCGGACCAUAUCGUGAGACCACUGGACCAGGUCUACGUCACGCUUCGUUCUGCUCAGCUCUGCAGGGAUCGAGGCAGACACUCGUGCUUCCCAUCUGCGAGCCACCGUUCCAGCGCACGCGCUAGCUUCCAUAUUGCUCUAACCGACAUGUGGGGCCAGAUCUCUCGGGCCCCACCGCGUCAGUGACUAAAGGGUCUAGGUGGGAUGUGCCGUACCCCGGCACUGCACGCGCAGUACGCGCAAUAACGCAGUUUGAACGGCCCCCCGGCAGGACGAAAGUACGGAAAUGCCCCCCGGUCGAUCCCCACUGACUACGCGGGCCCACGCGUGGCAUUCCUCGUAGAUAAGUAGAAACCACAGGGGUAUUUCUCUCCCCUCACUUUCCCGCCUGAAACCCUCGCCGGCCUCAAACCCCUCCUCCCCACUGACUUCCGAGGAGGUCAGGACGAGCGCCACGGCCGCCAGCCCGCCGCCGAGCGACAUCCCCUUCGGCCGCACGCCGCCCGCCACCAGCCGCACUACGCGCGCCGCCAGCCGUUCGGCGGCGACGAGCGGGUACCCCCGGCCCCGCGGGCGGAGGAGUUGAAGAGACCGAGGAGGCCGCCGGCGGAGCGGGAGCACGGAGCGGAAGGGGGAGAGGAAGAAGAGGGGUCGGAUAGUAAGGUAAUUUUUCUUAUCAUUUUAUUGCUUGUUGGUUCAUCAGGGGAUUGGUUGGGGAAAUUUUUUUUGGGAAAUAUUUUGGUAUAUAUAUAUUUUUUCAUUUUUUUUGGAUGAAAAUUUUUGAUCGGAAAUGGGAAAAGUUGGGUGAUAAGACUGUGUUGUCUGUCUGCCCUGGGUGAAAUCUUUUCACCUGUUGGAAAAUGCUAUUUAUGCUCACUUUUCUCGCACUCUUUGAUGUUUGACUUUUGUUUUCCUCUUUUGGACUAGGGUUUUAGCCUCUUUUGUUUCGAGGGGUUUUUACAGAUUUUGCAGGAGUGGUGGUGGAUGUGGAAUGUUGGCUAGGUUUUAGAUCGCUGAGGCUGAUUUGUGGGUGCUGUUCCGUCAGGGCUUGAAUUCGGAGGCGGCUCAUGGUGGAAGGAAUGGUGGUCGCUGUGGCAAAUGGGACGAAGGUGGAAGCAGCACCGGCCGCCGGCGCCGGCGCCGCUGCCAACGCGGAUUCCCCUACAUCCGUUCUGGAGGAUGAGGUGAUUUAUUUGUGAAUAAAUUUUUGUUUCCAGAUCUCUCUAUUUAUGCUUUGUGCUUCCGCAGUUCGCGAAGUAUUUCGGAUUUUCUUUUUUUUUUGACGUUGAGCUUCUGUUCUUAGAAGAUUUCUGAAUGUAAGAAUGGGGAUGCCUCGGAUACCGUGGAGGCAAUUAAGCAAGAGGAUGAUCAUCUCAAGGUGCUUGCUGAGGAGAGAGCUGAUGAUUUUGUGGAUGCAAGUUCAUCCCUGACUGUGGAACUUGCGGCCAACAACGGUGAUUUGUCACCUCACCCUGUGCCGGUGAAGGAAGAAGACCAGUUAUUGGAGCCUGUCAAGGAGGAAAAAGCUGAUGAUUUUGUGGAUGCAACUUCAUCUCUACCAAUUGACCUUGAGGCCAAGAAUGGUGAUGCAUCCCUCAUCACUGAUGCGAUGAAGGAGGAGGAAGACAAGUUGCACGAGGCCCGGGUUAAGGCUGACGAAGAAGAGGAGGCACGGAAGAGGGCAGAAGCUGCAAGACUUGCUUUUGAUCCAAAUGCACGGUUUAACAAGUUGGACGAGCUGCUGACACAGACACAACUCUAUUCAGAAUUUCUACUUGAGAAGAUGGAGACGAUUGCUGAUGUAUGUAUAACAGUCCACACGCACCCACGCCUCUUUUGGUUCUUCCUGAGUUUUAUUUGAUUUUCCUGUUGACGGUUGUGCUGUUGGCUAAGGUGGAGGGUGUUGACACCCCGGAUGAAGAGGAGCCAGUAGAAGAGAAGAAGAAAGGGCGUGGGAGAAAGAGGAAAGCUACUUCUGCACCAAAAUACAAUAAUGUGAGUUCUCGCUUCAUACAUCAUUUUGUUUUCCUGUAUUCUAAAUUAAUGGAUUAUGUAGAUGCUGACUUUGCUCAUCUGGAUUUCAAAUACUACUAAUGUUGCGAGUUUUUCACUAUUUACCAAUUAGCUUUCCACCUGUAGCACAUUGUUAGAAAAUCAUAUUUAGAAGGGAUGUUUAAGAUUUGCCACACCACAUGUACAACUGUCGCUUGAUAUUUUCUUGGGGUUUAAAUGUUGGGCACAAAUUUGGCGAAUGUUUGCAAUUAGUAUAUUGUUCAAAUAGGCUCUUUUGACUGUUAGAUAGUGAACUGGAGUAGGAGGUUAGAGAAGCAAGAAAAUGCCAGAGUAAAAUGCUCAAUACAGAAACAAGCGAGUGUGGGAGGAAAGUUACCUUAUAUAUAUGUUGUUAAUAUCCUGCUAAUUAGAGAUAAGUAUGAUUGUUUACUCAUGAAUGCUGAAGAUAUAAGGAUAACAUAUGAAGGAAAGAAGUUUUAAAACCAUCAACUUUACUUGUACCUUUUAUUUUUGGACGUUGGAUAAUGUUUUUUUAUUUAAAAAAUUACCUGGAGUUGUUUGGCUUAUUUCAAAUUCCUUUAGAACAUGCUUACUCAGAUACUUUCGUAGGAUCAAUCAUAUUCUUUAAGUGGAUAGGUUGAUCAGUGUUCUGUACGAAUGUGGCAACUAGUUUUAUACAUCGAUGAAAUUUCAAGCAAACCAUUUCAUUUCUAACCAAAUAAAAUAAAAUGUUGUUCAGAAAAAGGCCAAGAAAGCAGUGGCAGCCAUGCUUACAAGAUCUCGUGAAGAUUGCUCGCCUGAGGAUUGUACUCUCACAGAAGAAGAAAGGUGGGAAAAAGAGCAAGCCAGACUUGUUCCUCUAAUGACUGGCGGGAAGUUGAAGUCCUACCAGAUAAAGGGUGUUAAGUGGUUAAUAUCACUUUGGCAGAAUGGGCUUAAUGGGAUAUUGGCUGAUCAAAUGGGCCUUGGGAAAACAAUACAGACUAUCGGUUUUCUUGCCCAUCUCAAGGGGAAGGGUCUUGAUGGUCCAUACCUGAUAAUAGCUCCUCUAUCCACUCUCUCGAACUGGGUGAACGAGAUCUCAAGGUGACUUGUCUAUAUUGUUCUUUCACCAUCCUUAAUUGAUAUUCUUAAGUGAAGCUGCUUGCUUUCAGGUUUGUUCCAUCUAUGACCGGUGUGAUCUACCAUGGGGAUAAAGCAGCUCGGGCAGAGAUAAGGAGAAAAUUCAUGCCCAAAACCACAGGCCCAAAUUUUCCAUUAAUCGUAACUUCCUAUGAGAUGGCUAUGUCAGACGCAAAACAACUUGCUCAUUAUAAGUGGAAGUAUGUUAUUGUGGAUGAGGUAAAUGGAGAAACCUUGCAAGAAGUUAUUGUCCUUGUCGUUCUGUCUUAAUUUUGGAUUUACAUGUUACUACCAUGUCUUUUUCUAGGGGCAUCGGCUAAAGAAUUCAAAGUGCAUAUUAUUAAGGGAGUUAAAGCGCCUGCCAAUGGAUAAUAAGCUCCUUUUGACUGGAACACCUCUUCAGAAUAAUCUAGCAGAACUGUGGUCACUGCUGAACUUCAUUUUGCCUGAUAUAUUCUCAUCGCAUCAGGAGUUCGAGUCAUGGUAUGAUCCAUUUUGCUGAGUAUAUUCCUUCUCAAGUGUGGUUUGUGCUUUUAUACUAUCACGUCUCAGCAGUCAGCACUAAAGUACAAAUAUGAUAGUAUAAUUGAAGAUUUUCUUAUCAUGCACUCGUUCCUAUAUCCAUCUUAACCUUUCCGUCAAAUAAUUGUUUGUCUCACUUUUGAGUCAUUUUCCUGACUGUUUAUUGUCAACUUCGUUCAUUUGUAUAUGCAUUGAGCAGAGCAGAUAGUCUUCUUCUCUUCAAGACAAGACAUUUGUCAGGAUCUCUCUAGGUCAUUGAGGGCUAGCAUAUUGGUCAAAACAAUGUAAAAGAACCUCUUAAACUGCAUAACAGCAAUUUCAACACUAAUCUCAUCAACUAACCCUGUUUAUGUAUAUAGUUAUUCCAUUAGUUUGUUGCUACUCUUAAGACGUGGCUUUAUUUUUUUUCUCAUUGGCUUGCCUUUAUGAAGUGUCGUAAAGUUGAAUGCCCUAUGUGUUGUAGCGGUUAUGCAUAUUGCUUUGAUAUGCGAUGUCUGCUAACGUGUCUUUUGAAUGUAGCACAAAUCUAUGCUGUACAUCUACUGAUUUAUUUGGUGUUUACUGGGAUGCUAUGUUUACUUUUGUGUCUGCCUUAUGUCUGUUGUACAGGUUUGAUUUUUGUGCAAAAGGGGGUGAAGAAGAACAAGAGGAAAGUGAAGAGAAGAGAAAAGUCGAUGUUGUUUCAAAGCUUCAUGCCAUAUUGCGCCCCUUCCUUCUAAGGCGGAUGAAGGAGGAUGUAGAGCAUAUGCUUCCACGAAAGAAAGAGAUAAUCAUUUAUGCUAACAUGACUAACCAUCAGAAAGAAAUCCAGAAUCACUUGGUUGAACAAACAUUUGAUGAAUACCUGCAUGAAAAAUCAGAAAUUGGUACGGAUGCUUGUGCACAUAGUCUCCUACAUACAUUCCUGUUGACUUAAAAAGUUAAUCUGACAAGUGCUGAGGAGUAUUGCAGUUCUGCGGAGACCUGGCAUUAAGGCGAAGCUGAAUAACCUUUUAAUUCAACUGAGGAAAAAUUGCAACCAUCCUGAUCUUUUGGAGUCCGCAUAUGACUCAUCAGGUUGUUCCACAUUGGACAUCUGUAGUUAAUUGCUUCACGUGCUCAUUUCCUAACAUUUUUGUUUUUUUUUCUUUCUGUAGGUAUGUACCCACCUGUUGAGAAGCUCUUAGAACAAUGCGGUAAAUUUCAGCUCUUGAACAGAUUGCUAAAUUUGCUGCUUGCACGGAAGCACAAGGUAUAUCAUUUUCUCUGCUAUUCUGUUUAAUUCAGGAUUACAUUAAUGCAAAUGUUAGCUCAAACUUUUUUUGAAGAAAAAAAAUCAUAGACCUCAACUGGCGUUCUUUGUAGGUUCUAAUAUUUUCACAGUGGACAAAAGUUUUGGACAUUAUCGAGUACUACUUGGAAACAAAAGGCCUUCAGGUUUGCCGAAUUGAUGGCAGUGUUAAGUUGGAAGAGAGGAGGAGGCAGGUAAAGCGGGCUGUGCCAAGCAUUGCCGAUUACCAUAUAAUGUGUAAAGUUCUAGUCUUCUAGAUGCAUAUAGGCUGACUGCGCUAUCUUAAAAUACAAUUAGGAGUCUCAUUUUUUCGCCAUUGUUAUCUUUUAUCAUCCAUUUUAAUGUAAUACAGUUCUCACAAUUUUGUGCACUAUUCUCUUGCAGAUAGCAGAAUUUAAUGACUUGAACAGCAGCAUGAAUAUCUUUAUUCUAAGCACACGGGCUGGUGGGCUGGGUAUCAAUCUUACUUCGGCUGAUACCUGUAUCCUAUAUGAUAGUGACUGGGUAAUUCCCUAUUGACAUUAUUUUACUUCUUCAGACUAAAUAUUCAUAUUAUAGCAAGUACAUUGCAAGAUUCUUUUGCAUGCCAUCCACCUGUUCGAACAGGUGGAAUGUAGGCAUGUAGACUUUACCUUCUAUUAGCUGAUUAUGUGAAUUGUUAAACUUCUGCCAUCAUUCUGCAGAAUCCUCAGAUGGAUUUGCAGGCCAUGGAUCGAUGCCACCGGAUUGGUCAAACACGCCCAGUUCACGUCUACCGGUUGGCAACAUCACAUUCUGUUGAGGUGUGUCGGAUGAUCUUUUUGUCUUUAGACAUCGGCUACACCACCUGUUGUAUAGUUGCUCAUCUUAAUGGUGUUGCAGGGCCGGAUCAUCAAGAAAGCAUUUGGAAAGUUGAGGCUGGAACAUGUGGUGAUCGGGAAGGGUCAGUUUGAACAAGACAGAGCCAAACCUAAUGCACUAGACGUAAAUGUUCCCAUCCAUCCUCCUGAGUCCUGACUAUUAAGAUAACUACUCUUUGUUCACACUUUUUUUUGGAAAACAAGUUCUUUCUUCAUAGAGGAACACCAUAUGAACAAAUCUACAAAAUUGACACUGAAAGAAUGUCCACCCCGCGGAAAAUCCUCAUCUCAUAUUUUCCAUUUCUUGUGAUUAUGCAGGAGGCGGAGUUGCUGGCGCUGCUCAGGGACGAGCAGGACGAGGAGGACCGGAUGAUCCAGACGGACAUCACCGACGAGGAUCUCCUGAAGGUGAUGGACCGGAGCGACCUUACAGGCCCUCCUGCCAACGCCGACGCCGCCCCUCUCGUGCCCCUGAAGGGACCCGGCUGGGAGGUGGUGGUGCCGACGAAGAGCGGCGGCGGCAUGCUCACGUCGCUCACCAGCUAGCUGCUUUCUUUCAUCGCUCGCUGCGCACCUCAGGCCAUAGCCCUAGUAAGGCUGCCGGCUAAGGUGCCUCUUGAGCUGUGCUGCAUCUGCUGAUGAGACGACGCUUUUGUGAUCCCACCCCAAGUAAUUACUGACUGGGCAUUGCACUUGCGCCAGUACACUAGGAAGUGAUAAGGUAGUGUGCAUCUAAUCUGUCGUAAGUAUCUCUGUUGUUGGCUCAGCUGCUGCAUUUCAUUUUGCAAGGCCCAAAGCCUUUUCUAGAAUGCUAGUGUAAGAACGUGGUAUUUGAGAACAUAAUAUCCUUGUCUACCUGCUUUGGUAUAUGCAAGCUACUGGAGUACUUCAUUCGUCCCAUAAAAAAUAAAUCUAGAAUCGGAUACGACAUAUUCUAGUAUUAUUAAUAUGUAAAAAAAUAAAUCUAGAACCGGAUAUAACAUAUUCUAGUACUAUAGAUAGACAUAUGUAUGUUUAGAUUCGUUGUACUAGGAUGCGUUAUAUCUAGUGUUAAGUUAGUUUUUUAUGCGACGAAGGGAGUAUUUUAUUAUCCAUCGCUAUAUGAAGCUCCAUCACUUGUACUGGGAGGUAGCUCAUUCUUGGAUUGGUAACCAAUGAUUGGCUUUGUCAUGAAAUGUGGCAUGGUUUUGGAAUGCUUAAUCCCUAAGUAUGCUGAUAGCAGUAGUAAGGACAGUAGUAUAUGGGCCCACCGUCAGUCACCUGGAAUAUCCCAUGUAACCUCUUUGCACAUAUCGCCCUGUUUAUUGGACGGCAACACAUGAUUGCCGGGCUUUCUUCCCUCUCGUCCUGAGACAAAUACACAUGAAAUGCAGGAUUGUUCCCCUUUUUCUAUGUCACAUAGGAGUACCUUUUGUGCCUGAAGGAGGUUUAACAAUCUGUCUUCUGAACCGGGGAAGUGAUAGCCCCAACGAUUGGCCUAAUAAACCAAACCAAAAAUCAAAAUUUAAAUUUUCAAACUUGUUUUAAAGUUGAAUUUAAGAUAUUUCAAUGUAAUUUUUUUAUGUUGAUUUUAAAGUCGCUACAAAUAAAUAUAUGAAAAAAUUAUCGAUAAAUUAAUCUUUAUUCUUUAAUAAGACGCUUUGGAGAAAUAUGAGCUCUCAUAUCAAACAACUAUCGAGUCCCUGUAAGUUGUAACACGUGUUUGUUUCUCUCUCGUGGUGGAAAGAACAAAAAGAAAGGAAACAAAAGGCGGUACUACCGCCGUGGCCAUAUCGCUCAUUCAUGAUUCAUCACGCACUUGACCCCUUCGUUACCCUAAAUCCUAAUGCCGUCCCAAAGACAAAACCCACGAAACGUGUCGUGUCGCCCAUCACCUUUGCCCGACGAUAUCGUUAGCAUCCCGGCGGUCUCACCUGUCAUCUCAUCUCAUCUGCACCCGUCACGCCACUCGCUACGCGCCGCCUUGGUAGUAGUUGGUACUUGGCCGGUGAGACGAGCGCCCCACCACCAUCUCAUUCUUGCCUCCUCCAAACGCAGCAUCCCCGGCGGCGCGGCGCGGCGCGGCGCGGCGUGGCGUCUCGUCUCGACCCAUCCCUCCCCCUCCCACGCAGCUACGCAAACGCAAACGCUGGCCGUCGGAUCGGCUAUCGUGCGGCACCACCACCUGUCUCGCUUAUUUGGUUUUUGCCUCUUCUUCCAUUUGGAAGCAGGAAACAGGUACGAAUUGCGGGAGUGGGAGGCUUUAGCCGCUUUUAGAGACUCUCUGCUUUGUGCUCUCUUUUUUGUUUCCUCAGUGACACCCGACUUUAGAGCCUUAUUAUUAUUUUGUGCAGAGAUUUGGAGCGGGAGAGAGAGCCCACGGCUAUUUCCUACCUCGCUAAGCAACCUUCCAACCUCGUCUGCUUAAGCCUGCAGGAAGCAGCGUUUCUGAGAGUGAGAGUGAGAGAAAGAGAGAGAGAGAGAGAUGGCAGGGAGGAGGCAGCUUCUGCUUCUUCUUCUUCUCUGGGGAUUCUUGCAGCUCAUUCGUCUUCCUUAUUCAGGUAAGGCUAUAUCUUUCUCGCACACAAUUUGUCUCUUUUCUUGUGUUUGGUUCUGAUAAUCAGUCUUGGACUCUGAAUCAUGCUCUUGUUGCUGGAGCAGUUUCAAUUUUGAGUUGGUUUUGGUUGAUAGGUCAAACAAAUUAUAGCUCCAGCAUGCAUAAUCUACCUCAUUUUUCUGACUUUUUGUCCAAAUUUUUCCCUAGUUCGAGAGUUACAUCUUCCCUACAAUUCGGCAAGUGCUCUUGUGCUAUGGAAACGGUUUUCCUCUUCGUUUUUCUCUUGUUUCUUUAUACUGUUGGAUGGAAUCUGCUGGACACAAUGGACACAAGGGAUAUGGUUGUAGACAUUUCGGCUCUCAUCUUUUCUCGACUACACGAAGACGAUCAGUCGUUAUUUGGAUGUCGUGUCAUCAUGUGAUGGUGACUCAGGCGUUGUGCAGUGAUAAGAUGACACCUAACCUACUGAUAUACAGUAUACAGAUUACCCAGUGCUGUGGCCAUUUUAUUGCGGAACAAAAGCUUCUGUCUCGUUCAACACUUUUUAACUUUGUUUUUAUAGAAAUAAAUUGUUUCUCAUUCAUGUGAGGUUUGAAAUGUGGUAUUUUACAGUGAAAUCCAUGCAAGAUCAUGUGAGGUUUCUGCUUUCAAAAUAGGGCAGUAGUAGUAUGGUCGUCCAUCUUUUCGCUAUUAGAGCAGCAGUAGUAGUAUGUGCUUAGAGCAGGUACAAUAACAUGCUAUUAGUUAGCUAUAAACAUAUUUUAAUAAAAUAAAAGAUGAGAGAGAAAAGCAGCGGGCUACAAAUUUAUAGCCAGCUGUAUAGCACGUACUUCAAAACGUAGUGUGUGUAUGACAGGUGGGACCAUAUAUUAAUAGUAUAGUAAGCACUAUUGUAUGAACUGGCUAUUAGAUUGGCUAUAUAUGAAUUGGAGCUAUUAGUGGGCUAUACUAUUGAACUUGCUUUUAUACUUAUCAGCUAAAAUUUAAAUUAUUUUGGGUUUUUUCAUCGAAGAUUAUUUUUCAGUCUUUACUUUUAAACCACUAAAAACAUAGAUAUAUAAAAGUUUUAUUUCUAAAUUAUUAUUUGUUUGCAAAUACGCGGCAAAAUGUUUUCACUGAUCACGCGGGAACCGAUUUAUUCACUGCAGCGUCGCAGUCCUUCAUCGGCAUCAACUACGGCGACGUCGCCGACAACCUCCCGCCGCCGGCGUCCACCGCGCGCCUCCUCCAGUCGACGACCAUCACCAAGGUGCGCCUCUACGGCACCGACCCGGCCGUCAUCUCCGCCUUCGCCGGCACGGGCAUCUCCCUCCUCCUCGGCGCCGCCAACGGCGACAUCCCCAACUUCGCGUCCUCGCCGGCCGCGGCCGCCGCGUGGGUCGCCGCGCAUCUCCCGUCCACCUCGUCGCCGGCGAUCUCCGCCGUCUCCUUGGGCAACGAGGUCCUCUUCGCCGACACGUCGCUGGCGUCGCAGCUCGUCCCGGCGCUGCAGAACAUCCACGCCGCGCUGCCGCCCAACUCCAGCGUGAAGGUGUCCACCGUGCACGCCAUGGACGUGCUGGCGAGCUCCGACCCGCCCUCCUCGGGGGCGUUCAAGCCGGAGCUCGCCGCCGCGCUCGACCCGCUCCUGGCCUUCCUGAGCAAGACCGGCUCGCCGUUCCUCAUCAACCCGUACCCCUACUUCGCGUACCUGAGCGACCCGCGGCCGGAGACGCUGGCGUUCUGCCUGUUCCAGCCCAACGCCGGGCGGCCCGACGCCGGCUCGGGGCUCACCUACACCAACAUGUUCGACGCGCAGGUGGACGCCGUCCGCGCCGCGCUGGACGCCAAGGGGUACAAGGACGUGGAGAUCGUCGUCGCCGAGACCGGGUGGCCGCACAGCGGCGGGGCCGACGAGGCCGGCGCCACCGUGGGGAACGCGCGCGCGUUCGUCUCGGGGCUCGUGUCGCACCUCCGGUCCAUGGCCGGCACGCCGCGCGCGCCGGGGAAGCCCGUGGACACGUACCUGUUCGCCGUGUACGACGAGGACCUCAAGCCCGGGAAGCCGUCGGAGAAGUCGUUCGGGCUGUUCCAGACCACCACCCUCGCCGAGACGUACCCGACGGGGCUGAUGAGGAACGGCACCGCCGCCGGUCUGGCACCAGCCAUGGCGCCGGCGGCGGCGGCGCCGACCCUUCCGGUCAAGCCAUCACCUGCUCCGGCGAGACUGCCGGGGCAACAACCACAGGUGACUCCAUUGCAGCCGGGCUCGGCGGCGGCGGCCGGGCCUUCAGCCCUGUGCGCGCCGGGGACGGCGACGACGACGGCGAGGGGAGCAGCAGCUGCUGCUUGUAGUAGUCCUAGUGCAGCGGAAUCGCCACGGACAAUGUCAGUGAUCAGCAUAAUUGCAGGCGUGUUGUUAAUGUACCUGUUAAUCUGAGAGGCAGAUGCAUGGAUGCAUUCUCUUGUACUCACAUUUUGUUAAUCAAAUCCUGUUGAUCUUGUCCAAGUAUUGCAUGAAACAUGGCAACUCACAUUCAAAUAACGUACAAUGUUUGUGUACGAACAAUUCUGGAGACAGAAUUGCACGCUGGGCUCAACGUGAGCAGCAUGUUGGGAACAGAAGGUAUAGUGACAGUCAUGCAGAAAGAAUGAUCAUCAAUCAGCUCAAACAUACAACAGUAGUUUGUUGGCAUGCAAAUACACCAACCAACACAGUGAGUAGGGCAGAAGAAACAGCAAUCGUAGGCACCAUCCAACACUCCAAACAGCAUCUCCAACAAACAUCAAAUACUGUUACAACUCUCAACACACAACCAAUGCACAGACAAACCCAGAAAGGCCGGUAUGAUUGUAGCUAUGCUCCGGAAUGAGACACCGGUGAGGUGAUGAAUUGCCCGUCUUUGAAGCUGUGGAUGUACUGUUGGGGCAAAGCAUGUUCCACCUGCAAUAUAAGAACAAUAUCUUAAGCGCCAGACUGUAUAUAGAUUGUCUCUAGAAGCAAGAGGAUAUCGACUGUAAGCCCCUAAUGGUACUGUUUGUACUCAAAAGAGAUGUCUGCAUCAUCAAAGGUGUUUGAUUAUAUUGCCCAGUUAAUGUGCACACCAACAAGGCAACAACUAACAUCACCCACAACAGAUUUAAAGAAUUCCCAAUUGGGUCAUGGUAAACACAUAGACAGAAGAUCAGAUCUUACCCAAUCACCAUCAGUAGCACCACUUGGAACCAUCACAUUGAUUUCACUAGAUUUAGCUGAAGUGAUGGAGGCUCCAAGUGAAUCAUUGCUUAAGUACAAUUGACAUCCAGAUGUGUUGUCGAUUGAUAUUGUUGGUGCUGUACCCUGCAAGUUAAAGAACUUCAGUCUCUGACAGCAACACAGACAAGGGUGUGUUUAGUUCAUGCUAAAAUUGGAAGUUUGGUUGAAAUUGGAACGAUGUGACGGAAAAGUUGGAAGUUUAUGUGUGUAGGAAAGUUUUGAUGUGAUGGAAAAGUUGGAAGUUUGAAAAAAAAGUUUGCAACUAAACACGGUGAUGGUAAAGCUUACGUACCGAAUGGCAAUGAAAACUCACACUCAGGGGUCAGGACAACAGAACACAAAUAAAAAUAGCUUCUAGACAGAAUAAUUUGUUGAAAUUUAUAAGUACUAAAUUCAAAAGGAAAGGCGAUAAAACAUUAAGUUCAAAAACAAGCAAUUAUCUAGUCCCUCGCAUUCUUUUGUGCCAGACUUUGCGCCUCAUCUGCUGGCAGCAUGAUGAGGGUGAAUGUCCAACAUUUCAGUCUUUCGACCUGACCAUCCAAUAGUGAUUUUAUGACAUCGUAUAAUAAUAACUGACCAAGCAAAGGAGAUUAGGAGAUCGGCAGAUUGCUUAAACCUAGAUGAUUCUGGGCAUGCCCAAGCUUGAUAUUUCUAAAAUUAGAUAAAGGUCAAAUCCUAAAAGUAUGACAAGCAAUCCAGAACACACACAAAAGCGACAUCCUUUUAGAGAGGGAAGAGCAGUAAUGUAACCAGAUAGAAUACUCCUUAACACUGUUCACACAUUUACAGUUAUGAGUAUAGCAUUCCAAAACUGAAUACCUGGCAUUGCACCUCAACACCAUUGCAAUUGACAACUUCAAAAGCUGCUACAACAUGCUGAAACAUUCGGUAAACAGAAUUUAGUUUUGCCACAGUAAUAGAAUAAAAUUUAGCUCAGGGUUAAAUUUGGUCUCAACAGUUUAAACUAACCCACUAACCUUGAAAACGAUUCCAACUUUGGUGCAUUUGUCAACAGUGAUAUUGUUCACUUUACCUGCAAAAUGUUUUAUAAUUGUUAUGACACCAAAUAAUAUGGGAGAACGUGAUAUGUAAUACGUUACAUAUCCCAAAUAAAGGUGUAUAUUACCAUUUACUUGAAGGACAGAAUCCUUGCAUCCAUACACAUAUACAGAUUGUCUAGCAUCACAAUCAUCGAUUGCAAGGUUCUUUUUACCAACUUGAUUUUCGACCACCCAUCUGCCAUUUUUUUUAUAUCUCAGGGAAAUAUGAACAGAAUAAUCAACAAUAUAUAAUAUAAGCACAUUUUAUCAGAACAAGAAAAUUAUAUGGCGUCCUUCUGACUAUAUGUCUAAAUGAGUAAAUGAUGCAAGGUCCUUCAGACUGCCACGGUGCCACCAUAAUAAAAUAAAUGGUUAUUGUGUCUUGGGAAGCUUCAAUCAUGUGGAAUUAUAUGAAUUUGUGGCAUAUAACAUACUACUCAAAUUUGAAAUUAACUAGAUGUAUGUAAUUAAUUCUAUUUGCAAUACUUAUCUUGUACAUAUAAUUUAACUAUAUAGAAAUGUAUGGUUUCAAGCUAUUUGUCUACCAAAGCCCCCAUUCUUGCAACUUCUGUACCAACUCACUAAUGCAACCUAGCUAACCAGAAACGAGGCUUCCCAGAUAAUCCUCAUUGUUGGACCUGGUUGGUGUUCAUGCAGCCAUGCAGGCCAUCAAUCAAACCCAUACUGUACCAAUUGACAGUAUAUACUAGAGUCUUAGAUAGUAAUCUAUUUGGUGUUUUGUUUAAUAAUCAGGGUGAAGCUCACUUGCGCCCCAUCUGAAGCUCCAAUUUUGGAGGCCCAGACUUGAAGGAGAAAGACCCUGCACGAGAGGUCUUCUCAGGAGCAGCAGCCGGAGCAGCAGUGCUGCUGCUAACAACACCACUUCUAUCAGACCGGUUUUUAGUCUUCAUGUCAUCAGUAACCUUUCGCAAUCCUGCAAAACAGUAAUAGGGCUGUCACAGGUCUGUUUUUCAGUAUUGAUAACAAAAACAAAAGGGAAAAAAAUGUCACAAAAUAGAUGAAUCACGUGUUUUCAUCUACCUGUGGUCACAGCUUUGCCUGAACUAAUCUCCUGAAAGACAGCUGACAUUCCUUCUUUAGGCUGUGCAGAUUUAGGAGAUUUCUCUGUGGUAAAAAGGGGUGCCGAAGGUAGAGCAGGUGGAGGGGGAGCCUUAGCCCCUGGUGCUUUAGGAGCUGGAGCAGUAGCCUUUGGUUGGGAUACAGGUGCACCUCCAACUGGACCCCAGGAAGGACCAAGAGGGUAAUGUUUCUUAACAAAAUCCCGUAAACCAGGCAUGUAUAGCUCCUUCAAAGCUUUAGCCCACUCAACAUGGUCAGCAUCUUUGUUCCUGUACUCCACAAGAACCUAAGAGGAAGAUUAAUGAGCAUUCUUCAAAACAGUAUAAUUAUGUGUAUGGUUCUGCAAUUGAAUGAGAUAACUCAGGUCAAUGAUUAAUAUCAUCAUCGCGUACUCAGCUAUAAGGAAUACUGGAAAAACAGGUAAAAAAAACUACUACUAUGUUUUUCAUAGGAGUAGUUGGUUUCUUACUUGUCAGGCUAAUGGUGAAAGAAAUUGUUGGAUGUCGCGCACAUUUUAUUAUGUGAAACACUUUAUGAUAUGCAUAUAACAAAAUGCAUUAUUUCCCAGAAACUUGAGAGAUACACAGACUGAAGGAAUAAUGAAAGGUGACAAAACAGCCCUACUUCUCACCAUACGAAAGCCAUUCUCAUCGCGAGAAUGAUUGUCUAGCAUCCCUUUCUAAAAGGAGAAAACUUUGAGCAUUCUGACCAGGCUUCACAAUUGACGCAUUUUGUGACUUUACAUACUGUAGGUAUAAAAUAUGGAGAUAUUUAACUAUUUGCCACUCUUACAUGUGGCGUUUAACAAUUUGCCAGCUGGACCCACAUGUCUAUGGGUGGCAAAUUGUUAAAUGCUAAAUCUAAAAGUGGCAAAUUGUUAGUAAAGCAAAUAUAGAAAAUGGUCGAAUAAAAAAAGUGUACCUUGUUAUUGUAGAACUCAGCCAUCUGCCAACUUUCUUCAACAUGUGCUGUAGGGAAACUCAUGCCUUGCAGAGAAGAAGAAUGGGAGAAAUAUUACAGAAUGAUAUAUAUGGUAGUCGGCAAGACACCAAUGCUAAAAUCCAAACAUAACAAAUUUACUAACCACAAUCCUUUCCUAGGAAGCCAACCCACGCCAAAGCAGUGAGACUGUCGGCAACACUCUUGAUAUGGUUGAAAUAGUCAGGCCUCCUUCCUUCAGUCAUCGCAAUUGCUUUCGCAAUAACAUCAUUCAGCGGCUUAAAGAAGUCUUGUGCAUCAGCCAUUGAUGCAGGUUUCUGCGCAACAUUAGGAAAAAAAAGCUGAUUACUGAUGCAAGAAUGGGCACCUCUUCACCCCCCCUCGCCCUUAGUAACUGAAUGACUAUGUGUAAUGUUCCCAACUUAGAACCAAUCAAAGUUCAGGCUAGCAAUAAGAAUGGACAUCGCAUUUUUCAGAUCUCACAAUGGCUGAAGUAAUUUUGUACAUAAAUGUUAUCAAUAAUUUUGUACAUAAAUGUUAUCAAUAAACAUGUAAGCACGUCAUCGCACAAUGAACCUCCAGCAGAAUGGCCCUGGCCAUCUCGAUAAACAAAAUACCAAAAUCCUGAAUUCGCCUCCAAAUCUCGGGUUGAUCAGUCAUUCCCGCGAGAUUCCUCCCCGGGACGCACAUCAGAUUGGCCCAAACAGUACGGAACGCCGGGAGAUCUACGCGCCGAGCACACCCAAAAUCUAAGAGAUCAAGGCAGGAACACAUGAGAGAAGCCGCGCCCCGUACCUGGAGCUGCUUGGCCUGGACGAGGCGGUCCUUGGAGACGGCGAAGGCCUCGGCGAGGACCUUGGUGGCGUCGAGCACCUUCCCUCCGAUCUUCUCGGCCGCGGCGGUGAGGCGGCCGACGGCCCCGGCGACGAACUCGUCGUAGGCCACGAUCGCCGGAUCCGACGCCGCCGCCGCCGCGUCCAGCCCGUCCCCGAGGUCCCGCGGCGCCGCCGACAGCGAGGCCCCGGAGGCCACGGCGGCCUCGAGGCGCGCCACCGCCGCCUCCAGCCGCUCCACGAGCGCCUUCUCCAUGGCGGCGGAAUCAACAAGCUAGGUUACUCUUCCUCUCUGCCACUUCUGCUAGUGCUCCGUGCGUGCGCGUCUCUGUGGCGUGGCGCCGCGCCGCUUCCAGCCUUGGCGGAUUUAUGGCUAUGCGCCUUCAGUUUGAGCUUGCUUGCCAGCGCCGCGUUUAUUUUUUUUUCCCUUCGUUUUUUUCCCUGAUUCCUUAUGAGGCGACAAAAUAAUAAUAAUAAAUUAUAUAAUAGAUAAAUACAUGAAUUUAAGCGUGUUAUAAUAAUAAUAAUAAUAAUAAUAAUAAUAAUAAUAAUAAUAAUAAGUUUAAAUAGGUUUUUCAGAUUUGAGAAACGCUUUGAUACUAUUUCGAUCUAUUUGUAAGGACGUGGAAAGGCCAACAUGACAGGAUCAUGGUUGCACAUGAUCUUUGAUUUCUUUUCAAAGCUUUUGGAAUUGAUGAGCUGGGCUAAUUGCCGAAAGUUGAAGGCAAACACCGAAGGAUAGAGGGGUUUCACAACAACAACAGAUCUCUCCCGUCCUUCAGCAUAACAGAGAAAUGUCGGUAAGGCUUUCAGCCCAACGGUCCCAAAUGGCAGACAACAUGCUAGCUCAAAUGGCAAAUUCUUUCUAUACGGGCCAAAAUGCCAAACCAGAAUCAAAAUAGGAACAAGUUCACUUAACGUGCCUAAAUUUUGCAUCGAGUCUAUCGGAGAUCCCCAAUCCGCAAUACCAAAAAUCUCGACCCCUCAACUAUCACAAACAGUGCAGAAAAGGUCAUGAGGUAGUAUUUGUCGGCGAAAUGGGAUCUAGGGCCCCCCAUUUACCGGGAAUAUUGUAGCUCUACAUUUUUGUCAUCAUAACUGGACCCAUGGUCAAGGUUAAUUCCUAGAGAAGCUCGGGGCUCCUGUCUGCCAGGAGCCUAGGCCCGCCCGCGUUUUAAUAUACUAUAUUUAUUCUUCUCCAAGAAGAAUGUCGAUAUGUACAAAACAAAUACACAUAUAAAUAUUCAUAACCACAAGGUAACGAGAAUCCGAGUCCCAGCCUGCCCGGGGACCUGAGCCUCCUCCUGCCCUUGUGGAGAAAGGCGUGGAGACUUACAAAAUCUAUAUCUAAAAGAUAUAAGGUGAGUGGAAGCGAGGAGCUCGGGUUCGCUUGGGCGCCGGACAUGCCAUCAAAACCUAUAAGAUUUACAUCUUAUAACAGCAAAGCCUGGGUCUGGACUGCCCCGGUGCCCUAUAGGCUCCGCAACCCUCUCCCAAAGAGAAGCGUGGAGACGUACAAAACUUACAUCUUGUGUAAGUUUUCGUAAAUGACAUAUUUGAGAAACUAUCAUAAAUAUGGUAAAAACAUAAACAAAGAGAUGCGGGGACGUGGCUCGGGACUGGAUGUUAGAACACAUCCCACAACCAGUUGUAAGCAACCGCUACUACCAUAAACAGGAUAAGUUCGUGGAGAACUCCCACUAACUGGUAUUGAAAAGACCUGGGUGGGUCUAGUGUACGAACGUUUGCAUCUCGCGAAGGGUGGGAACUGGGAAGGACGCGACAGGUGCGUAUGGUUCUUCCGUUCCUAAUUUCCCGUUUUCCUUUUUUACGUGAUUCGUUUCAAUUUUCUGUUAUCCUCUUUCUUACGUUAUUCUUCCAUAACGGUAUCAAAGUUUGUGUUUUUCUUUUUUUUAGCUAUAGUUAUUUUUAUAGCUUUUUUAAUGGAAAUUUUUUAUAUAUGAACUUUUUUUUGGAAACUCACAUAUAAACUUUCUAUAUAUAGAUUUUAUGUGCAUAAACUUUCUAUAUAUAGAUUUUAUGUGUAUAGACUUUUUAUUUAUAAGAGAUGAAUUAUAUUUACAAUUAGAAAGUUUAAUUAGUGUAUAAACUUCUGCACAAUCAAAAAAUCUAAUUAUCAUCGGAUAUUUUUUUAAGAAAUAAAAUCCAAUCUAAACAACUUAAUCUAAUAGGAAACAAUGAUUUGUUUGUCUUCUACCCGAAACACCCUAAUCCUACGUAAGAGCUUCAACACGUCAUUAGGAUUAACGAUAAAACGAGCUGUUCGCGAGAUGCGAACGUUCGUACACUACACCCACCCGAUGGAAAUAGCACAGGAGGAAUAAACGAACAGCGGCACGCCUCCAUCCUGGAGGUUAUCUGUAUCGUCGCCGCGAAUGGCCGAGAUGAAUGAAGUAUCUCGAUCCGUAGGUGCUUCGAUAUAAUUUUCAUCAUAAAAAUCUCAUCUACAUCAACCUCAAUAUCAUUGUCAUGCUAACAGUAACUAGUAGUAAGAACUAACAAGUGUAGUAUCAUUAUGAUUUUGAGACGUUGGAUUUGAUAAAUGAAGUACGAAGGAUGUAUGACUGUGCUGGUGAACUAUAGGGUAGAUUAUAGUAGGGGUAUAAAUUUGCAAUACUCGAAAACAAAAAUGUACUACUUUUAUAAAUCUCACUAUUAUAAAAGUUGAAUAUGUUUUUGUCGAUUGUUUGGUACGUCAUCCGAUUCGAGUACGAAUAAGAUAGUCCGACUUCAAAUCCGUAUCCUAUUCAAUCGCCAUAAAAAAAAGUCUCAAAUACAUCUACAUGUAUGUCUCGAAUUUGUUGCUCGCAUGUAUUGAAGAAGAGAACAGGUCAUCAGAUCGAUUCGUGCUAGAAUAUACCGCGCAUAUGUAAAUUUCUCUUUAUUAGUUUAGAAAGAAGCGCAGCUAGCAUCGGCUGCAUGCUCUUCCUGAUCCGAUUGUGAUAUGGAUAAGAUGAUACAGCUUGGCUAUUUUUCAAAGGUUGUUGCAUAAACACCCAUGUAGACAUAUCUUCAUGUUAUUUCUAUCAUUUAUGAAUUUGGAAUAUUACUAUUAUGUUUUUAUGAGAUUUUGCGAUCGCAAUGCAAUAACCAGCCACGUGAGACAAUUUCGCAAGUCAUAAUGCUCAAAUACUGUUUAAAAAUAUGUCACGAUUUAGUUUUUUCGUUGCAACGCACGAGCACUUUUCUAGUAUAUUAAAAGAGAAACAAAAGAAAAAAAAAUCAGCACAGCACAGGUGUUGGGCUAAGUUAUAGGCCUAUAAUGGGCCGGCAGGCUGUGUGGAGGAAGAACCGAGGAGAGAGAGACCAAGAAACGAACGGAGCCGUAGGAUGGAAAGGAACGGUGGAUAUGAGAGAAGUGCACGGCCGCCGCCUCGCCCUCCUCCCCUAGCUAUCACGACUUCUUCCUCUUCCCCAAUCCACGCCGCCGCCGCCUCCGCUCCUCCCCUCGAGAGUCGCAACCUGCCCUUUCCCAAUCUCGCCGCCAAAUUCUCCGGCGAGACGGCCAUGGAGGUCCCACCUUUUGCUCGCCCCAAUCGAGCCUCGCCGUUGGCUUGGGAAGCGGAUUUCCUCGAGAGGACAAAUCUCACCAUGUCGACGGUGGAGUACGCGCUUCCUACCGCAAUCAUGACGUCGCCAUCCUUCGUCGCGGAAGGCGCUGGAGGAAGCCAGAUUUGCGCCAUGUAUUCCUUUCAAGCCUUCAGUGAAAUGAUAAACGAGAGGAACGCUGAGCCCGGGAUGAUCGACGUCUUCCUACUCCCCCAUCUUCCCCUCAAUGACGUCUCCGAUGUGUACGACCAGAUCGGCAGCGGCGACGCCCCCUACCGCAUCUCAAAUGGCCCCAUGCUUCUCAACAAGGUCAAUGCUUAUCGCGAGCUGAUUCGCGUGGGUAAAGAGCUGGCGCCUCUGGAGGGUCUCAUGAAAAGCCUUGAGGACGAGCUGCUUGUCCGUCUUAAUAGCAUUGUCUCUAUACUCAAAUCAGAUGGUGAAGACAUCCCGUUGCCACUUGACAUGUCUGCAGCAACUCAGCUUCUAUUCAAGUGGGAAUCUGAUUUUGUCGAGGCCUGUGAGAUGGCAACGAAGGCCAGACGCCGCCUCAUGCUGGCAACUCUUCUGGCAAUGUUCUGGUCCUCCAGUGACGACUUUGUGGAGAAUGAAUUCUCAGUCAGGGAGGGUGAUGCAAUCUCCAUGAGUCAUGUACAAGAGACUCUCCAAAGGUUGGCUCCAGAUCUUUACCAGAAUGUGUUUGGCGCCCUCAAUGAGGUACACUAUACAGAGGAUGGAAGGCCACCGAAGAGUGUAGUUGUUUCGCUCAAGAGGCUAAUUACAGAGAUCACAUCCGAGAUGACACCUACUGAGUUCGUAGCAUUCUCACUGGAGACGAGUCGCAGGGACUUGAUUCACCAGCUAAGUGAUGUGUCCCACCAGGAAUUUCGCUUGAAGGUCUUGAGGUCUCUUCAGUCUGUGGCAUCUGCUUUAAUCCACCUCCACAUGCUGGAUAAAGAGAUGUUGGAGCCCCACCUCUCACGGCCAACACUCUUGGGGUGCAAAGGUAAAAUUUAGCAUUAGCAUUGUUGAUGCUAUGACGUGUACGGCCCUGGAUCGUUUGUAACUAUCUUAUAUUGUGUGUUCUAGAUUAUUCACCGCUAAACCAGGAUCCAUAUUGGCCCCAUUUUCAAGUUUUAUCAGAUGAGGAAUUAAGUGUUGAAGUCCGUCGAGGCUCCCUGCCAAUGUUCUGAGGUAACACUUUGAUUGUUACUUUUGUUCCACAAAAAUAUGCUAUAUUGCAGAAAUGGACUGGUUUCAAAAGUAUUUGUAUAAAUAUACUAUUUUUAUACUGGGCUUGAAAGACCGGUAUAAAAAGAGAAGGGGUAGCGAGCAGCCGUAAAGAGUAGAAUGGUAGCGGUUUAUGAGAUAACAAAAAGUAUAAAAGAAAAUUGUAAAGAGUAUUCUCCUCGCAUCAGGAAUUCGAGUCAUUGUAUGAUCCAUUUUGCUGAGUAUAUUCCUUCACAAGUGUGGUUUGUGCUUUUAUAGUCUCACGUCUCAGCAGUCAGCACUAAAGUACAAAUGUGAUAGUAUAAUUGAAGAUUUUCUUAUCAUGCAUUCGUUCCUAUAUGCAUCUUAACCUUUCUGUCAAAUAAUUGUUUGUCUCACUUUUGAGUCAUUUUCCUGACUGUUUAUUGUCAACUUCGUUCAUUUGUAUAUGCAUUGAGCAGAGCAGAUAGUCUUCUUCUCUUCAAGACAAGACAUUUGUCAGGAUCUCUCUAGGUCAUUGAGGGCUAGCAUAUUGGUCAAAACAAUGUAAAAGAACCUCUUAAACUGCAUAACAGAAAUUUCAACUCUAAUCCCAUCAACUAACCCUGUUUAUGUAUAUAGUUAUUCCAUUAGUUUGUUGCUACUCUUAAGACAUGGCUUUAUUUUUUUCUCAUUGGCUUGCCUUUAUGAAGUGGCGUAAAAGUUGAAUACCCUAUGUAUUGUAGCGGUUAUGCAUAUUGUUUUGAUAUGCGAUGCCUGCUAACGUGUCUUUUGAAUAUAGCAGAAAUCUAUGCUGUGCAUCUACUGAUUUAUUCGGUGUUUACUGAGAUGCUAUGUUUACUUUUUUGUCUACCUUACGCCUGUCGUGCAGGUUUGAUUUUUGUGCAAAAGGAGGUGAAGAACUAGAGGAAAGUGAAGAGGAGAGAAAAGUCGAUGUUGUUUGAAAGCUUCAUGCCAUAUUGCGCCCCUUCCUUCUAAGGCGGAUGAAGGUGGAUGUAGAGCAAAUGCUUCCAUGAAAGAAAGAGAUAAUCAUUUAUGCUAACAUGACUGACAAUCAGAAACAAAUCCAAAAUCACUUGGUUGAACAAACAUUUGAUGAAUACCUGCAUGAAAAAUCAGAAAUUGGUACGGAUGCUUAUGCACAUAGUCUCCUACACACAUUCCUGUUGGCUUAAAAAGUUAAUCCAACAAGUGCUGAGUAUUGCAGUUCUGUGUGUUGUAACACGAGGCCAACACCAUUCCUCCCAUUCGGUCAAAACACUAACAACAAAGGAGGUCGUGAAGACUCCCAAGUGUUCAAGGCAGAAAGUACCUUUUCGCAUGGUAAAAUACUCUCGAAUGGGAAAGUAUCUUCGAUUCUUCGUGCCUGCCGUAUCUGAAAAUUAAGGUAGAGCUGGGCUUAAAUUUUCCAUCAAUGUUCAAACUGCCAACGGUUCUGCGUAUCUCGGCGUACGGCCGACUUCUAUGUUCUAUCCACCUGACCUCGGUGCACAGCUGCGCCUGCAUGCGUCAGGCCCGCAACGCACAUGACGUUGCGUUUUGCACGAUUUGGUCCACUACUGUUUCUUUUGCGUGGAGGAUAGCCUCAUCAAUCAUCCAAGUGCUUUGCGCCGCGGCACGGAAGUCGAAGUCAUCAUGUGUACAGGUUGUACUCGUAGGAGUAUCUUGCAACUGCAGCUCGUUCAUUAGAUCGAUCGUGUGUCGCCGAUGAUUUUUGCCGUGUACACAGAAUUUUGUAGCGGAACAGGUUGGCUCGCUCUGCUGAAUUUCGUCCCGUCCAUCGCCUAACCAGGCCAGACAUUCGUGACGCAGGUCUGCAGCUGCGUCAUGAAGAGAGAUGCAUGCAUUUCCAUUCAAUGCUGACGGCUCCGCCGUGCUGGACUCGUUCGUGCUCGCCGGCCGCCGAUCGAGUCCGCUCCGGUGAUGCGAAAUAGAAUACCGAGUAGCAAGAUACUCCGUAUACAGCAGUUGUUUCCCUCCAUCCAAAUACUACUAUCCACAUUACCUAAUAAGCCAAAACGCUUUAUUACAAAAUACAAAUUAAUUUAUAAGUAAAAAUUUUCUAUAUGUGUUGUUAGCGAUUUAAAAGUCAAAACUAUACUUAAAAAUAUCUUAAAAUUAAAUUCAAAAUUAAGUUUAAAAAUUUAAAUUUUAGCUUUGAAUUUGGUUUAUUAUUAGAAGCCCUAAGGCUGACGCCUAGUUCAAUAGAGCAACUUUACUCCUUUUCAUUACCAAGUUUCCCAUACUGCUAAACAUUAUGUUUUAUGUAACAAACAUUUAUAUAGAAUUUUUUUUAAAAAAAUCAAAUUAAUUUAUUUUUAAAAUUUAAAUUAAUUAAUCCUAUGCUAACGAUCUGUCCUAUUUUCCAAAUCGCCAUCAACUCUAGCUGUUCGUUUUGGGUGUUGCGUAUGGAAACUUCGUGUCACAUAAAACAAGAUGAAUCGUUAGAACAUGAUUAAUUAAAUAUUAUUAUUAUAAAUUUGAAUUGAGUUUUUUUAAAUAAACUCAUAUGUAAAAUAUUAAAUGUUGCGUAUCGUUUAUCAGAAAUAGUAGCAGCGGUCCAAGUCAUUUCCAGUGUGCCCUCGCUAGUCGGUCUCCCCUGGCGAUGGCUCCGCACAACGGGCGAAGGCCGGAGGCGGGGGCUUCACGCGAUGGCAGCCGGCGGCAGGGGCUUUGCGUGACGGCGGCCGACAGCAACGAUACCGAUGGUGGUGGCUUUAGCUUCAUGCAGCGCUAGCUGAGCAUGGGACUUCACAAGAGAUUAGGCUGGUAAUCCUCCAGCGAUACUACACCUCGAGCUCAGGCGACCAAAAUCGGUCACCUGACUCAGGCCAGUGACAUGCCAGGUUUCAUCAGGCCAGGCGAGUGGAAAGGGGGUUUAGGGUGGCAACCAAACAGAGAGUAAAAUAACUUAGGCUUUUGUCUCAGGCCAGGCAAAUUUUUCUCAGGAUAGCAAUCAAACAAACCCUUAUUCAUUUGAGAGUCUAAACCAGAAUAAACACUUGUGUUCGUAUGCUUAUACGAUCUUGCGUAGGCCAAUGUACCGCGCGAGGCCGCCGACGCCGACGACGACGACGCAGUCCAAGUCCAACGACACUCGUGUAGUCGUGUGCCACUGGAUUCCCUAUUGUUCGUACGCGCGCGCAGUAAUUGGUAGGGUUCAGCCAUUUAGCAAAGGUUUCUCGACCUAUGAUGGACCGAUGGUUGGUCGCUGGGGCGUUCCACCAGCCAAUUUGGCGAGGAACAAAGUGACAAACUUGGAUUGGAUUUGAAUUAGUAGGUUCAACUAUAUGAACAACUUGGAAUGCUCGUGAAAAGAACGUACGGGCCACUAAAGCCAUCAUCACAAAUGAUAAUUACAUAAUUUUUUUAAUAAGAAAAAUGAUCAGACGUAUCUCAGAAAAUCAAAUCAUAUAUUAAAAAAAUGUUUGGGUAGAGGACAAUAUACGCGUAGAAAUGAUCACGUGAAAUAACUCCUAUUGUAUAUAUAUAGUGGUAGUAGUCUCUCCGGGUUCAUAAUUCUGAUCAUUUUGGACAUGAGCAUCAAUCUAAAAAAACUUUGACCAUUAUUUUCCAUUAUAAUAGAUAUAAAAAUAUUAACAAAUAUACGGUUUUAUUAAAGUACUUUUUAAGACUAAUCUAUACAUAGUCACCUUAUUUGAAAGACAAAUAUUUUUAAAAUGAUUCAUAAUCAAAUAUUUUAAAAUUUGCCCUCACCCUUGUCUAAAACAAGUAUUUUAAAGAAAACACUGUUGUGCUGAUAGUAGCUUGAUUCGUUCAUGGAAUUAAUAUAUGCUUAGGCUAUUUAAGACUUUUACAGCCGCAGUACCCCUCAAUUCCCCCAAAUUGUCGUGUCGUGGAACGUUUGUGCUUGCACGAGUGCACGGUACAGGUACAGUGCAGGACCAUGCUGCACAGAGAGGACAUCACGCGUGCUAAUCCAUUGCAAAUUAUUGGAUUUCAUCAAUUUAUUGUAAUAAAUUAUUAGUCAAAGGCAAAGACUGCAUCUUGGAGUGAGCUGACGUCAAAAACCAUAUUUCAUGCGGCUUUAUCUCACAAAACAGUGAGGACACCCUGAAACUCCUGCCUCUUAAGAAGCUCUUUGGCAAUCCUGCGGCCUCUUUCCUCCAACCAAUCAACCGUCGGGAGACCCUUAAUUCUAACCAUCGGAUCCAUGAUCAUACAGUCAAGUCUACUAGCACAACGACGAAUGUGGUGUGCUAGCUCGAUCAGCCCCUGCCAAUGACAGGCUCCAGACAUGACCACCCUCUUGAGCUUGUCAUGCCGAUACGGUAGCAUAUCCACUCUGAUCGCCUGUCUGAUGACGAAAUCAGAGAAGCGAAACUGCACGCAACAAAUCAGCGCACUUGUGAGUUCCAUCGCAUAAUGUUUCCGUCAGUAAUUCAUCCAAUGUUUGGAAUGCAUGAAUUUAUGGAAGAAGAAAAACUAAUUGGAAGGAAAAAAAAAGCAAACACAAAAGUCAAAACCAGAGUGUUUGGAAUCGGGUCGGUGCUGUUUUAUGAGCAGCAGCAACAACAACACCAACAACAAUAAUUAUAAAUUAAUAAUAAUAAUAAUGUACUAAUAUGUUGUCCUCAGAACAGAUGCUAUCCUAACGAAUCUACCCUCAUAAAUCUAAUAGCUUUUAUAUAACAUAUUGUUUUAAUCUAUUUUUAAAAUUUUUCUUAUAAGCAUAGAUUUCAAGAUGAAAACUGGAAGACAUCAAAUCACUCUAACCCUACGGUUUCCCAUUUCAAACUAAAGGAGCACACCUGCAGCUUAAGAAUAGGAUCAUCACAAUUGCCAAUAAUUUUUAUAAGGUGCCAACACAUUUCAAAAUUUAAAGAGUAAAUUUCAUAAAACCCCACCUAUUAUGGUCUAAGUUGCACAGAACCACAUGGAUUUUAACAUGUCACACAUAACCUCAAAUAUUAUAGUCCUAAAGUUUCACAAAACCACGCCGUUAACCAAAUUGACAUACUCCUAUAUCAAAAUUUUAAAAAGAUUUACUUACAUGGAUCUAACAUUUAUAUGAUGGAUAAAUCUCUACUAUUAUAAAAAUUGAAGAUGUUUUUGCCGAUACUUUUGGUACGUCAUUCGUAUAUGAAUCGGUUUUCAAGUUCGUUCGCUUUUGGAAAUACAGAAGGAGUCGUAUAAAAAAUCUCUUUAAAAAUUUCGCAUGCUAACUUGAGAUGAUUGGACUCCUAAUUGCAGCUCAUGAUUUUCUAGAAAAAAAUAUAUAUCCACGAGAAUUCUCAGAGUGAUUUUCAUCUUAACUAAACUAGAGUAUAUAAUAAUAAUAAAAUUAAAAUAGCCUUCAUCCGUUGCAACGCACGGGCAUUUUUUCUAGUAAAUUAUAAAUUUGAGAUGUGAUUGUAGAACUAACAAAUGUGGUAAAUCAAUGUUGAAAUGAUCAAAAUCGUGGUUUUGUGAAACUUUAUGGCCAUAAUACCUAAGGUUAUGUGCCACAUGCCAAAACCUUUGGGUUUUGUGCAACUUAGACCAUAAUACCUAGGGUUAUGUGAAAUUUACUCAAAUUUGAAACAAUCCAAUAUUAUAUAUAGACUCUGUGACAUAAAUGGGAUGAUACCAUUAAAUAUGCAUAUGAAAUUAUUCCCAUAUUAUCAUGACUUUGUAAUUACAAAACAACAGUACAAUGCAAAAGAAAGUAACACUCAAAGGUCAAAUUGUAAUUGUGGCUUCAAAAUAUUAAAAGAAGGAAUGGUUCUAGAACAUUAUGCCAAUAAAGAAUCCAACAGGCUUCGAAAUAUAAACAAAAUUGUAUUGUAUCACAAAAUAAUAAGGUAAUAAAGCAUGGUAGUCUCUAAUUUCCAAUAGAUAGAAACUUUGUUACCCUUUUGUAUUUUUCAACUAUAAGAUCAAAAUCGACCAACUCCAAAUUUAAGCAAUGUAGUUGUAGCUUUAGAUGAAUGAAAAUAACAAACAUACAGGAAAUUGAAAAAUAAAAAGAUUUGUUUUAGAUGAAUGAAAGAAAAGUAGGUAAUAGAAAAUAACAAGGAUGACGCUGUGCCACCACAAAAAUGUCUACACAUAAUGCAUGUUUAAGAAAUUGUGAACAGAUUUUGAAGUUGUCAAAGCCACUCACGUGCAGUUCCAGUUCCUCUAGAACUGGAGCGAGCUCCAAGAGGUAGGCCAAACGAAGAAUCCCACCAACUGACCUGCCGUCCCCAUAAAGAGGCAAAUACAAGCUCAGAUGCCUCAAAUUGAUGAAUCUCACUGAGGUUUUGGCAAAACUUUGCAACUGAAACACAACCAUGAUAGUCAAGGUAUGGAUGAGAUGACAAACAGAUGUCUAACUGAUUAAUGAAUUUAGUUGCUUUCAGAAAGAGAUAAAACCUCAUCGUAGAUGCAGAGUGUCGAGGUAAUGGAGAGUUUCUGCACAUGCGGAAGAGCGGCAGGAAGCUCGGUGCAGAUGUAGUCCAGAUUAUCACCAUAAAGCACGCUCUUAUGUAGCAGUUUAAUGUUUGCCUCCAUCACCUUCAGAGAUUCACUUAGUGCCAACGGAAUUGGCCGAUUGGUCAAAUCGACCGAUGUGAGGUUUGGAGCUUCCAGCUCAACCUUUUCCAUGUAGCAGUAGUGCAAAGAAAGAUAACGCAGACGGCGCAGUGGCUUGCACAAGGUUAGCUCAGUGAAGGAAGAGCAGCUGAUGCUCAGCCACUCAAGAGCAGUGCACUCCGACAGCAUCAGAUGUUGGAAGUCAUUUAAAAAGGAAACUUUGUGCAGGGUGAGCUUCUUGAGGUUUGCAAAGCCAGUGAAACCAGUGGUUGCUGUGUUCAACCAGACGUAGCUCAGAUGAAGGGAUUUGAUAUGAGCAGGGGAGCGGUCAGGGACACUGAAAACAUGCAGGUGGAAGAUGUACUUUUCAUCAGCUAAGCCCCUGAAAAUACCCUUCACUCCAGGAGUGAAAUCAAAAGUGAUGUGCCUUGCUCUCAACUUGGAGCAGAAGCCAACCCAUCUGUUGACAUGGCAGGUAUGUUUCCUGCGCAGCCCAAACUUAACAACAAACUUAUUCAGGGUAGGAGGUGCACAUAGCUGCCGCAAAAGACUGUUGACUCUCCUGGCAAAGUUGGUCCUUGUACGUCUUAUGGUUUUAUUCCCAGGCUUGAACAUGGUGGCCCUGGUGAAGAUCAAUUUCGGGCAGCAGCUUCUCCACAGUUUCUGCCACUUGCGAGAAAGAAGGCCCAUCCGUGAGGACUCUCUGAAUGUUAAUCGAGACAGUAUGCGGUGCAGGACAUCCUGCACAUUCGUAGGUAGCAUGUUACGGAUUAAUUACCGAGUAAACUGAUUCAUUACUAAGUAAAGAGUUCGCUCAUUCUCUGGAAUCAUUUAGCAGAUGUGUAAGUGUGAAAGGCACAUUGAAUUAAUUGCUUACAUCGGGCAGAUGGUGAAGUUGCAGGGCUUCUGGCUUGGUCAUGGGAACAGAUUUAUCUGGUAUGAACAUGCCAGAUCAUGAGAAUACAAAGAUGUAACUCCCAAAAUAAGCAUUGGGUAAUGCCUUGCUUGGAUGCCUCCCCCCUCCCCCAAAAAAAAAAAAAAGUACAGUUGAACCCAAAAAGCUUUUUUGGGAACAAACUGUAAUUAGUACUGAGGUUAAGGCAAAGAGAAAAGCUUCUCAGAUCUAGAACAGAACAUAAGGUAAGACAGAAAAGGAGGAUGUGCGUACAGGUGCUCACCGGCGACGAGAGGAUGCAGCUGAAGGAAGCAGCACUGCUCGCGGGAUGGAGAUUGGUGCAGGUGGCUGGCGAAGUCGUCACGAGACAGGAGAGAGUCGAGGCAGAAGAUGCAUCAAUACACCACCCAGAAGCCGUUUCGGUAUUGGAUAUCAGAAAAGAUACAGAUCAAAAUAAUUUUCGAUACGGCUUUGAUACGGAAUCGAUCCUUCCCUCCGGAAAAAAUCUCGAUUUCGAACCCCAAAAUUCUUCUCUUCACCAAAAAGAAGAAACAGAAAAACUCCUGACACACUAAAAAAAAUCAAAGCUGCGACAAACUUUCCUGGUCGCGUCGGGGAGGAGCGGCGUCUAUAUUCUGAGAGCGUAAGGCUGCCGGUGAAGAGCCAAUCCCAGUCUCCUGUCCUCUUCUCACUGCUCCACUUCCCUCCCGAGAGCUUCUUCCCCUCCCGGCUACCCUCAGUAGUCCUUCUCGAUCUGGCCUGAAGGUCACCGGUGGCAAUCCCCAGCCGCCAGAUGCCACUCCUCCCCGACGCGACCAGGAAAGUUUGUCGCAGCUUUUUUUUUAGUGCGUCAGGAGUUUCUCUGUUUCUUCUUUUUGGUGAAGAGAAGAAAGAGAAGAACUUUGGGGUUCGAAAUCGAGAUUUUUUUUUCCAGAGGGAAAGAUCGAUUCCGUAUCAAAGUCGUAUCGAAAAUUAUUUUGAUUUGUAUCUUUUCUGAUAUCCAAUACCGAAACGGCCGCUGGGUGGUGUACGGUGCAUCUUCUGCCUCGACUCCUGUCUCGUGGCGACUUCGCCAGCCACCUGCACCGAUCUCCAUCCCACGAGCAGCGCUGCUUCCUUCAGCCGCAUCCUCUCAACGCCAGUGAGCAACAGGCAAAUCAACAAAAUUAUGGGGAAUGUCAAAAAAAUUCAAAUUCAAGAGGAACAGGCAGUGGACAGAUAAAGCAAGAAAGAAAUUUACGAGAGAAGAUCAGAGAGUAUACCAGCACUUUCUUUGCGCUGCUGGGGAUGCUUGACUGCUUGAGACGAUGUCAGUUGUGGACGGCGGCACCCUCGGCCUCCACUGCCCCUGCCCGAAUCUCAAAGCUUGGGAGGUGAGGCUGGGCAAGACCUGGUUACCACUGCCCGAGACUUCUAACUGCCUAAAUAAUUAGGAAUUUCGGAAUGUAGUCUCUAACAACAAAUUGCCCUUAGUGGCAACACAAAAAAGGAGCUUAUUGACCAAACAAAAGGAGUACCGAACAAAAGGACAAAAUUAGGUACCUGAAAUAAGGUGUACCAUCAGAACAGUAAGAAAAAAUUUGCAUGGAUUCAAAACCUCAAGCUUCUUUUCAUCAUCUAGCAAAAUAAUUGGAAUAUUCAUAAAUGAACAGUAAUAAACUGAAUUUCAUGAUCUUAGAGGACACAAUUAAUGCAGGUGUAAAGCAUUCAGUUAAAAAUAUAAUAUGCUAAAAGGUUAAAGAUUUUUUUUCCAGAGCAUCUCACAGCAACACAUUCUUAUAAGACAUGGCAACUCAGAGAAAAUGGCUUCAUAUUAGCUUAUCUGGUUUAAACUGUAAUGGUGGCCUUAAAUAAAGAGAGAAUUCAUUGACUUCAUUCUAUACCCCCUAAGUUUACUCUAGUUCAAUGAUUUGUCAUCAACUUUGUCUCUCUCUGCAAUAUGCCACUGACUUUGACAAUUUUUUCUACAAUAUGCCAUUGGGGUGGAUACUUUUCAAAAAAUGCCUAAAAUAACCUUCAAGCUAUACAAGGGUUGCCAAUCAAUUGACUCAUUAUAAGUUUUGAAAAAAAAAUUGAAAGUUUUAGUGUAGCCUUCUUAUAUACGAUACAAAGUUUGUAUGUAUAUUUUAAGAUUUUCUUCAAUGUUUUUUUUUUUGAAAAAAUAUUCUUAUGUGGCAUAUGAAAGAUGAAUCAUACAUAAAAUAUAGCGAGAUUAGAAAAAUAAUUUUGUGUAGCAUAUGAAAGAUGAUUUACAUAAAAGAACUCAACGUUACAGUAUUCCAUUAGCAUAUGAAACAUAAAUUAUAUUUCCAAAAAAAUUAAUCCAAGCAAGAAUAAUUGAAGCAUGAGUACCAAAUGAAAAUGAUAAGCACCAAAUCUGGAUCAGCAUGAGUACCAAAUGGAAAUUGAUAAUCAGUAGUUGAUAAUCAGACAGUUCCCUAGCCAGAGCACAUUCUGUCAACUACUACCAAACAAAUAAUGUGCAUGUAAAGUCCUACAAAUACCAGGUUAUUGUGUAUGCUUGACCAAUGAGAAGUUAUUUAAAUGAGAGGCACCUUAGCACUUAGCAGCUAGACAGCUGAACACAUUUGGAACAAAGGCAGAAAGUGAGACACCUGAACAGAACAAAUUGUUAAGCUAUUUCUAAAAUCUAGACCUCAUAUUUAUCCAUCCAAAUGUUGUGCCUAUUUACAUUCUGAACUUUAAACUUAUUAUAUACAUAUUCUGAAAUAUAUACCAUAUGCUGAAUCAGAAUAACAUAAUGAUCGCGCAGAGUGGGUAGCAAGCACAGUAAGAAAUAGUGCAGAAGUUCAGAAGAGGACAACUGGCAUUACCUUAAUUGCAUAGGAUGUUGAGCAGCAGUGACCUGGAGCAGAUGCUACGAGAAAAUGUAAGCUGUUAAAACAAUGACAUUCAAUUAGAAACCAAACUAUCUGUUUUCCAAUGGCUGAGAUUAUAAAGUGUACUGCAUUUUUUAUACAGAAAUAUUGUAGUCCUUAUAUCCAAAAGUUGGAGCUGCAAUAGUUUAACCACAAAUAAGUGUGUGACCUUAGGAAUUAAUGUACAAUCAGUAUAGUGCUGGCUAGUUUUAGCUAAAUAAAAUAAUUUAGCUAUGGAAUAUGCCAUUUUUCACUACAGUUCCAUUGGAGGUUGUUUAACAGAGUAAAAACAAUCGAUGCGAGAUACUACACUAAACCGACCCCUGCAGCCGGCAGCUGUACACCGAGCCAACCAAAUGAAAUCAGAUCAGAACCUCUGUCACUAUUCAUAUUGGAAAUUUCAGUUAGCCUUAUUUACUUGAAUAAUAUAAACAAGAGCUAAUGGUAUACUAUACUAUAUGGGAUCCAAAUCGCUAGGCAAUUAAACGUAUCGUCAGAAAGCAUCACCUUUUCAUAGCCUGGCCACAGGCGUCAGUGCAUAACAACAUCUUCUCAACUUGAAUGUAUGCAUCACAUAUCCACAGACAGGAAGCAAAAAGCAAAUACCUGAUGAAAUCUUAUCGGUCUUUUCCGGGUAAUACCUCGAUUUGGCAUGCUGUACUUCUCCGCCAGGAAGCCAACGACGAUGCAAGGACCCGGGCAGCGUAGAGGGGAUGUUAGAGACGCGGCGGCAGUGAGUCCCCACGCGCCGGCGGGGCAGGGAAGGCCACCUCCGCAGAUCGGCCUCAGCCCUCAGCGGCAGUGAGAGGGUUUCACCGAUGGUGUGGGGAGGGGGAAGGAGCGGCGGCGGGACUGAGGGGGCGGUGGCGGCGCGGGACGGAUCUGCGUGAGUCUAGGGUUUCGUCGGUAGUGGUAGUGGUGGCGGUGGCGGUGGCGGCGGGACUGAGGGGGCGGGGGCGGUGGCGGCGCGAGUCGUGGCGGGAGGGAAAGGAGCGUAGGGGAGACGGUCGUGAGGAGGGAGGGGCGCGCGCGGUUUGGGGGAGCGAUCGAGGGGUAGGUCUGAUGCACGAGUUUUCGCGGUCACCGGCGCGAGCGAACGAGAAACCAUAAAAACCGGGAAAAAGUAAACGGAACGUCUCCCAACUUGUCAUCAGGAUAAAAAACAUCAUCGAUCCGCAAAAGAGAUCCUUUAACUAUAUAAAACCGGUCUUAAUAGGUCCAUUAGCGGUUUUGAUCCCGGUUUUAUCCUACGUGGCUGCUGAGUCAUCGUGGGCCCUACCUGUCAACCUCCUAUUUUUUCCCCUCCUCUCUCACUCUGGGCAGGCCGGCCGAUUAGGUGGGGAGGAAGUCGGCGGCGGCGGCAGCCUCCUCUCCGUGCUCGCCGACGAGGAGGAGCGGCAGGCAACCACGGCGGCGGAGCUGGAGCCACAUGCGCGGCCGGCAGAGACGCGGGGCGGGUGGAACGCGUUGGCGUCGGCUCAGGGAGCAAGGCGGCGGUGGAGGUGACGACGCGGUCGCAGGGGAGGGGCAUCGGCGGCGGGGAGGGGAGCAAGGCAGCGGUAGCAGCCUCCUCUCCAUGCUCGCCGACGAGGAGGAGCGGCGGGCGAUCGCAGCGGCGGAGCUAGAGCCACACGCGUGGCCGGCGGAGGUACGUGCGUCAUGGUAGCUAAGGGCUCCCAUCGAUCUUGUAACAUCCCGGCCUAGAGUUUAAUAGAAUUAAUAGAAUACUCAUAUCAACAAGUUGCAACUUCUUUUUCGAAAGCCGAUCUCCAAAGAACUCCAAGGUUAAGCGUGCUUGGCCUGGAGCAAUUUAGGGAUAAACUGUAGCAUCACAUAGGCUAAUCAUGGAUUAAUUAGGCUCAAUAGAUUCGUCUCGCGAAUUAGUCCAAGAUUAUGAAUGGGUUUUAUUAAUAAUCUACGUUUAAUAUUUAUAAUUAGUGUCCAAACAUUCGAUGUGAUAGGGAUUUAAAAGAUUUAGUCUCGUCUAAACAGGUCUAAGUGCGUAUGACCGUGCGUCGAGUGUAAAAUUGGAAGAUUUUAGUCGAUUGAUCUAUACAUAUAAAUCUUCGGGAGACACUAGCGAGCGUACCAUCUUCAGCUUGCCCGUAUUUCGGCUGGUGGCGUUGAGCUCCUUUCGGAUAUUAUCCAGAUCGAACUGCACUGCAUGCAGGGACGAGAAUGCUGCAAGCCAGAUAGAUGUACCGUAGAUGACCUCGUCGACAAUAUCGACGGACCGCAACGACCGGUGCGGAAGAGGUUGAUAUCAAGCAUCGUCGUGUGAUGAGGUGGAGCAGCGCCGACGGACGACUUUCGGUUGGCAAAGUACAACGACCGGCGGCGCACGGUAGGGUUAUGGGAGUUCUCCGAGGCUCGAUAUAUAUAGGAAAAAGUACACCGAAAGUCCCUCAACUUAUCAUCGAGUUACAAAAUCGUCACUGUCAUACCCAGCAGUAAUCGGUUAAGCUCGGCGGAAUCCACCAUUUACCAAGUCUUAAUAUGGGAUAAGCCACAAGACCAACAAGACCCACGCCGCCAAAUAUCGAUAGAUGAUAGAGAUUAGCCUAGACAUACCCCAUCCCGUGCCUAUGAAAAGCCGGCAAGAGAGAUCUAGCACAAUCUCUGAUCUCUUAUUAUACUUGUGUGAUCUAGAUGGAUAAAGAGAACACCGGCUUCGGCUAACAGGAUAUAGGGCUAUUACCUGUCAAAUAAGGGGCCCUAACCUGUAUAAAAAUCUAUGUCUCCAUCUCUUUUACCUCAAUCUCACAUAUACCCUAGUAUCGACAAUCCCCAUACCAUCUAAAUAACUUAGUCGCGGUACCACCCGUCGACAGUCUCCCAACCACAAAACCAAAUAUAUGAUAUCCCUCAACUUAAAAAACCGUCCACUUUAGGUCCUUUGAUGGUUUUGACCCCGGUUUUAUCCGACGUGGCGGCUGAGUCAGCAUGGGACCCACGUGGAGCCCAUAUAUCAGGAAUCAGGAUGCCAUCAUCACCCCCUCUCUCUCCCUUUCUCUCUCUCACUUUUUCUCGUCUCGCAGGCCAGCCGAUGGGGCGAGGCAGGAGAGAAGUAGGUUUGCAUGGUUUUAAUUACAUGAGGAGUAAAGAUUUCUGAUAUUAGAGAUUAGGAUGUCAUGCAAACUCGAUGUAAAAUUCAGGGAUGGUAAGUGAACUUAUUCCAGUCAGAAUCAAUACUGGUUGCGGCCGUGAAGGCCACAUGGUAUCAGCCACAGUUCACAGUGGUCUACAGGACUAGUUCCACAGGACUUCAAACUCUCAUGUUCUUCAUGGGCUGCUGCCUGAAAGAAAGUCCGGUUUAUUAUUGCCGGUAGCCAUAUGCCGCAUAAUUUCAUCAUAAAAAUCUCAUCUAAUUAAGCUCAAUUUCAUUGUCGCGCUAACAGUAACUAGAAAAGUGCAGUAUUGUUGUUGGUUUGUGUAACAUUUGGCAGGGCCACAGGAUAUUGUGUAGGCCAUUGUUAUGUUUGGUUGAGUGCAACACUGGUGUUUAAGAUUUGACCAGCUUAGCCCUGGUGUUUAGUUCGUGCCAUAAUUAUCGUAUGCUAUACGUUUUAAGAUAUAUCAAGUACACUCGUAAAAAGCUCAUUUUACCACAACUUAUUACAAGUGUGACCAACAAAUCACAUAUAAUUAUAUAAACUUUUGUAGAAAAGUGAGAUUAAUUGUCUUCUCUCUCCCUUUUUUUAGAACUAGAUUAUCUUCCAAACAACCCCUUAAUCUGAAGUCGCUAGCCAUCCUGAUCUCAUGCAACUACCGUGGAGGACAGAGAAUGGGUGGGGUUCCAGACUAUUGGCUCCUACCCGUACAGAUACAAUGAUAUCAUCAUCAUACCGGUACUCAAGCAAAAUACUCCAUCCGUCCCAAAAUAUAAGAACAUAUGACGGGGAUGAAACAUACAUUUUUUAAUACUAUGAACCUAAACAGAAAUGUCUCGUUUAGUCCUAUGUUUUUAUAUUUUAAGAUGGAGAGAGUACAGUACUACUUCUUCCAUUCUAAAAUAUAUUAAUAUAGUACUGAACUGAACACAAUCGAAUCGAGUACUACAAAUUUAGAUAAACUCUUUGUUUAAAUUGUUAUAUUUUAAGACUAGAAGUACAAUGCUUCAUCUAAAUAUUAAUCUAAGAAAUACAUUACUCUCCAUACUAUGAAUCUACUAUCAUCUACGGUGCACGACAAUGACUCCAAUCGACAUAAACUGGACCAUACAUUAGACAUUAUGCUCCAUGAUUUGAGGCCUUCACUGUACACGCCACGCCAGCUAUAUAUACAUAUAUACACGGUACACGCCUCCAUGGACCAUUGCCGAUCAAUCAUAUGCGUGCAUAGGAAUAAGAUAACUAAGUCUGAUCAGUGAGAGUAGAAGACAGUGACUCGUCACUGAAUACGCAUACCAACAUCUAGUAGAGAACAAAAAAAAUAAACAGAUAAAAUACGCAUACCAGCUAAUCCGAGUAGCUAGUCCUGUUUACCCUAAAAUUCAGGGUAAUCAACACGCCGUCACAUACGGAGUAGGAGUACUCCAGUAUAUUACACUCACGCACCGUAGCAUCAGUUGAUAAUUAACUGCGUGUGGACAAACCGAGACGCAUUGUUGUAACCAGAAGCGCGCAGUAGUAGAUGAUCAGGCCGUGGUUUUUUACCUUUUCAACCGCACAAUCCGGCACGUUUUCCUUAAACCGCGGUAGCCAGCUGGAGUGGUACGUGCCUGCUACUACCUGCCAAGCGUCGGCGAGUGCGGACACACAAGCAACAGGAGAGGAGUGGUCGAAAUCUACGUGCAGCCCCGCACAAAGACAGCGGAUCCAUUAAAACGCGACGCGUCCACGUCGCUCGCGGGUGCGCAUCGGUCGCCGUCGCCCCGCCACCGAAGAAAAAUCCAACCCCCCGCCCACCCGGGCGGCGCUUGCAGCUUUCGGCCGCGCGACGACGCGAUCACAUCGAAAAGCGCCCGCAACCUCACGAAACUUUGCGCGGGCGCGCGACGGCGGCACGGCGCGCGAGACGUACGCACGCAAAGUGCGCGCGCGCGGGAGUUUGAACCCUGAGCGCGACCGGUGGUUUUUUGUCGCGUACACCGGCGUCACGGGGACAGGGACGUGACUAGCUCCAGGCAGCGCGCGCGUCCGCGUCCGCGUCGUCGUCGUCGAUCGAUCGAGCUAGCGACCGGCGGCGCGCGGCCAGCGACGACGCGCGCGCGCACGCACGGUGUGAAAGGCCGGCUUGACCCUAUCUGAGCCUUUACGACCGGUGCGGGCGGAUUUGCUUCCGUCCCCGAAACUCGUUUGGUGCGCGGCUAGCUUUCCCGGAGGAGAAAAAACGGUUACGCGCGUUCACUUGACUAUGGCAAAGUGAUCAGAUAUCGGGAUAUGCAAAGCAAAGCGACGUAGUUUCAUUCUUUGCUGAGAUCGGAGGGAAAAGUGGCAAGAGAUGACCUGAACCGGGCAAAGAACGUGUGCUUGUGAGAUUUAUUAGUGCCUUGGCAGGACAGAAUUAUGGUGUUCCUUUCCUUUAUCCGGGCUAUAGGCUACGUGAACGUGAUCCACGCUUCCCGAGCAGAGAGCAGCUCGAGAUUCACGUCCCGACAGAUUAGAAUGGUUACAAAAAAAACUCAGCUGUUGACCCAAGGCUGGGUUUUGCACGUCAUUUGGGUCCUCAAAGUCACGGCACAAUCAUUUUCAGACCCCCUGGCCCGUCACUCGGGCUAGCUAAGCUAGCCGCGCACGUGUAAAAGUAGCUUUCACUGGUGGAGAAACCAUCUUUCGUCGGUCGGCCGAUUUCCACAAUAGUGCCGGAUGCAAUAAAAACCGGGGCUAAAGAUGAUCUUUAGUCCCGGUUCAAAAGGGUAACGGGCAUAUUUGAUCUUUAGUCCCGGUUUGUGCUACCAACCGGGACUAAAGUUAAAGCACCAACCGGGACUACUAAAGUUAAGAUCUUUAGCCCCGGUUGGUGCUACCAACCGGGACUAAAGAUCUUAACUUUAGUCCCGGUUGGUAAUACCAACCGGGACUAAUGAUCCCGGUGAUCUUUAGCCCCGGUUGGUGCUACCAACCGGGACUAAAGUCCCACCCCUAUAUAUAUGUCUUCUUCCUCCUCCAGCUGCCCGAGCGAGCUUCAAAAUUUCUUCAAAAAAGAGGGGAGGUCAUGCCAAAAUUUCUAUUGAAUUUAUUUUGGUGAUUACAUACAAAUCGGAGGUGCCUAAAAGGUUUGCAACUUCAUCCUCCAAUGUUUUUUUUGUCAUACUACAUUUGCACCUAUGUUUUGCACACUUUUUUUUGUCUCCAAAAUUUAGUUGUAAGUUGAUGAGAGAGAAAAUGUGUGUGGGGAAGAAAGAAUAUAUAGAAAUUUAGUUCAUUUGCUAAACAAGGUUUUAUAAAAUAGUUGAGAAGGAAAACUCUAGUGAAAGUUAAUCUUAAAUAAUAGAAAACAAACUAAAAUGAAAAUUAAAAGAAGUAAAACACAUUAAAAUUAGUUUAAAACUUUACAAAUAGUUUUUAAGAAUUAUUUGGUGUAAUAUUUUAUGAUUUUUGUAUGAAUAAAGAUAUCUUAUAAUUAUUGUAUGACUGUCAUUAUUGUAAGAAUAAUUAUUUGUGUGCGGUUUUUUUGACUCAUGUAGAUGGAUCGGCAAUGGAUGUACGCUGACCGGCGGUCCAAAGAGUUUAUUGACGGCGUGCACUAUUUUUUGAGAGUGGCCGAAGCUAACAGGCAAAGGGGUUUUAUUUGUUGUCCAUGCAAUAAGUGUAAGAAUCAGAAGGAGUAUUCUGCAUCCAGGACUAUUCAUUUCCACUUGUUUGAGUCGGGGUUCAUGCCAAGCUAUAAUUGUUAGACAUCCCACGGAGAGCAAGGUGUUGAAAUGGAAGAAGAUGAAGUGGAAGACGACAAUAUUCCGGACUUUGCUCAGUAUGUUGGAUUUGAAGGAAAUCAAACGGGCGAGGAGGAAAUAGCUGCUGAUGGUAACGAUGUUGCGGAUGAUCUUGGUCAGAUGUUGCAGGACGCCAGGGAAGACUGCGAAAGUGAAAAGGAGGCCCAUAAAUUGGACAAGAUGUUGGAGGACCACAGAACUUCGUUGUACCCAGGUUGCGAGCUGGGGCACAAAAAGUUGGAUACCACUCUGGAGUUGUUGCAAUGGAAGGCAAAAAAUGGGGUUAGUGACAAGGCAUUUGGCGAUUUAUUGAAACUCGUCAAGAACAUUCUUCCGGGGGGAAACAAAUUGCCCGAGACAACGUACGAGGCUAAGAAGAUAGUUUGCCCGUUAGGACUGGAAGUUCAUAAGAUUCACGCAUGUCCGAACGAUUGUAUCCUAUAUCGCGGUGAGGAGUAUGAGAACCUAGAAGCAUGCCCUGUUUGCAAAGCACUACGAUACAAGAUUAGACGGGACGAUCCAGGAGAAGUUGACGGGCAGCUAACAAAGAAGAGAAUUCCUGCUAAGGUGAUGUGGUAUUUCCCUAUAAUACCACGGCUAAGGCGUUUGUUCAGGAACAAGGGGAAUGCUAGAAUGUUGCGAUGGCACGCUGAAGAGCGUCAACAGGACGGGAUGCUGAGACACCCCGCCGAUGGUUCGCAGUGGCGAAACAUCGACAGAAAAUUUAAAGAAUUUGGAAAGGACGCACGAAACAUACGGUUUGGUUUGAGUACGGAUGGCAUGAAUCCUUUUGGAGAGAUGAGCAGCGGCCAUAGCACUUGGCCCGUUACGAUGUGUAUCUACAACCUCCCCCCUGGCUAUGCAUGAAGAGGAAGUACAUAAUGAUGCCGAUUAUUAUUCAAGGCCCCAAGCAACCUGGUAACGACAUCGACGUGUACCUAAGACCACUAGUCGAAGAUCUUAAACAGUUGUGGAAGAAGGAAGGUGUCCCCGUGUGGGACGAGGACAAACAGGAGGAGUUUAACCUACGAGCGCUGCUGUUCGUAACCAUCAACGAUUGGCCUGCACUUAGCAACCUAUCCGGACAGUCCAACAAGGGGUACAAGGCUUGCACUCACUGUAUGGAUGAAACAGAAAGUACGUAUCUUAAGCACUGUAGGAAGGUUGUAUACAUGGGUCAUCGUCGAUUCCUUGCAGCAAACCACCCGGUACGGAAGAAAGGCAAGCACUUCGAACAUAAGGCCGACCACCGUACGAAGCCUAAACAUCGCAGCGGGAAAACAGUGUUUGCUAUGGUUAAAGAUCUUAAAGUAGUGUUCGGAAAGGGGCCUGGAAGCCAGCAUAUAGAGAGCGAAGAUGGUCACGCGGCGAUGUGAAAAAAGAACUCUAUAUUUUGGGAGUUACCAUAUUGGGAAUUCUUAUACGUACGCCACGCAAUCGACGUGAUGCACCUCACUAAGAACCUUUGCGUAAACCUUCUUGGCUUCCUAGGUGUAUACGGAAAGUCGAAAGAUACACUGGAAGCACGUAAUGAUCUGAAGCAUAUGGAACAACGCGGCGACCUUCACCCGGAACCAAAGGAGAAAGGAAGCCAUUACUUGAGUCCAGCCAGCUACACUCUUAGCAAGGAAGAGAAGGAAAGUAUGUUUGAAUGCUUGGAGAGCAUAAAGGUACCGUCUGGAUACUCCACGAAUAUCAAGCGAAUAAUAAGCACGAAGGAGAAGAAGUUCACAAACCUAAAGUCUCAUGACUGUCACGUGUUGAUGACACAACUGCUACCAGUUGUAAUAAGGGGUAUCCUUCCAGACAAUGUCCGGGCAACAAUAACAAAGAUAUGUGCAUUCAUGAACGCAAUUUCGCAGAAGGUCAUCGAUCCGGAUAGAUUAGAAGCCCUUCAGAAUGAAGUGGUGCAAUGUCUCGUCAGUUUUGAGUUGAUAUUUCCACCUUCAUUUUUCAAUAUAAUGACGCAUCUGCUUUGUCACCUUGUGAAAGAGAUCCGUAUUCUCGGGCCUAUGUACCUACACAACAUGUUUCCUUUCGAGAGGUACAUGGGCGUUCUGAAGAAGUAUGUUCCUAACCGUGCUCGUCCAGAGGCAAGCAUCGCCAAGGGUUAUGGAACAGAGGAGGUCAUCGAAUUUUGCGUAGAAUUUAUCGAAGACCUUCGCCCAAUCGGGGUACCUGAAUCACGCCAUGAAGGGAGACUACGGGGAAAGGGAACUCUCGGAAGGAAAGCAAUAACGACGGUAGACAACAAUUUAUUCCGUAAAGCCCAUUUCACUGUUCUGCAACACUCUUCAUUGGUAGCUCCUUACAUCGAGGAGCACUUGGCUCUAGUUCGCGCCAGGAACAUCGGUAAGUCCGAUGCAUGGAUUACACGGCAUCACAUUGAUACUUUCCCCGCGUGGCUACGACAUCAUCUCAUGGGUAACGAGUCGAUCAACCAACAACUUGCCUUCCUGGCGAGGGGACCGUUUGGGUCGAUCGCGACAUUACAGGGAUAUGAGAUCAAUGGGUACACAUUCUACACGAGAGCCCAAGACAUGAAGAGCACGAACCAAAACAGCGCUGUUCGUGUCGAUGCCAUGGGACACGAUGGAACAACUGCCACGUAUUACGGUGCCAUCGAGGACAUAUGGGAACUUGACUAUGGUCCUCUCAAGGUUCCUCUGUUCCGGUGCCAAUGGGUUAGGUUGACUGGUGGAGGCGUAAUGAUUGAUGAUAGUGGGAUGACAACUGUUGACCUUAACAAGGUUGGAUACUCGGACGAACCUUUUGUCCUUGCCAAUGAUGUAAUGCAAGUCUUUUUCGUGAAGGACAUGUCUAGCAAAGGAAAGAAGGGCAGAGGGCCUGAUGAGCCUAAGCGUCAAGUGGUUCUCCCAGGCAAAAGAAAAAUCAUCGGAGUUGAGGACAAGACUGACGAGGAUUACGAUCAGUUGGAUGGGCAACCCCCUUUCACGGUGACGAUUGACCCUAGCAUCCUCCUAUCAAAUGAAGACACCCCUUACUCACGCAGCGAUCACAAGGAGGGAACAAUAGUGAGGAGAAAGUACGUGCCGUAAUUAUUGUGUACACGAUGUAAACUAUUUUGGAUGUAUUGAUUAUCCAUAUAAAUCAAUUGAUGUAUGGCAUAUGUUAAUUACGCACGAUUAUUAGAGGUUUCAACAAGUUUAAAUCAUGUAUAUGCUAGUUAUAUGUGAUACUUACAAUUUUUAAAAGUUUUAAAUCACACAGGUGACAAUUUCAUAUGUAUGUUAAUUAGAGUUUUUAACAUUUAAUUUACUAGCAUUCAUAUGCUAAUUAUAAUUGACUAGAGGAUUUUUAAAAGUUUUAAAUCACGCAAGUGGCAAUUUCAUAUGUUAAUUAGAGUUUUUAACAUUUAAUUUACUAUCAUUCAUAUGCUAAUUAUAAUUGACUAGAGAAUUUUUAAAAGUAUUAAAUUUAAUAUAUUUUUAAAACUAUCAUUCAUAUAUUAGAGUUUUUCACAAUUAAAUUUACUAUCUUUCAUAUGCUACUUAUAUAUGACUAUUCGAAUUUUUAAAAGGUUUAAAUCAUGCAUGUGGUAUUUACAUAUGUUAAUUAGAGUUUUUAGCAUUUAAUUUAAUAUAAUUCCUACGCUAAGUACAUAUGAUGAUUACAAUUUUUAUUAAUUUUAAAUCAUGCAGUAUGUACAUACAUAUCUUAAUUAGAGUUUUUACCAAUAUAAUAAUAUCAUUCAUAUAUAUGCUAAGUAUAUAUGAUUAUUGGAAUUUUUAUUAAUUAUAUUUGCUUAUUACGAUUUAUCCACUUAAUUUAUUACAGACAAAAAUAAUUUUUCGAAGUAAUUGUCAUUAAUCUUUGUACUUUAAAUAAUGUUAAUGCAUUAACUUCUAUUUUAUAAACACGUAUGUAAGCGAAAAACAUAUGCAGUGCUAUAAUCUUUAGUCCCGGUUCUUAACCCUAACCGGGUUUAAAAAGAAUUUCGAAAUAGCGGGAAAAGAUAUUUACUCCCGGUUGUUGAGAACAACCGGGACUAAAGAUAUCUUUAGUCCCGGUUGUUGACAACAACCGGGAGUAAAGAUCUUUUCUUUACUCCCGGUUGUUCUCAACAACCGGGAGUAAAGAUCCGGGGGUAUAUAUAUUCCCGGUGCGCCCUCGUCUUCUUCACCAACACUUAAACGUUUUCGGCCGAUCGAUCUCUCUCGGCCUCUCUCCUUCGCCGCCACUGCCUAGGGCAAAUCCCCGCGCCGACGCCGCCGUAUCUCGCCGUCGUCUCGAGCUCGUCGUCAUCGCCGCCGCCUCCGCCUCCUCCGCUGCCGCCGCAUCUCUGGGGUGAGAGCCGCCGCCGCCAGAUCUCCCUUCAUGCAUCUCGAUCUCUCCGAUCUCGAUCUCUCUCCGUCGCGCCGCCCGCCACGAGACGCCGCGCCACGACGACGACGCGCCACGAUGACGACGCGCCACGCCGCCGCCUUCGACGCCGCGCAACGCCGCUGCCGCAUGCCAACGCCACGCCGCCGCCGCCGUCGCCACGCCGCCGCCGCCUUCGCCGCCGCGCGCGCAAUGCCGCCGCCGCCACGCCACGCCACGCCGCCGCCGCCACGCCACGCCGCCGCCGCCACGGCCCCGCAACGCCACGCCGCCGCCGCCGCCGCCACGCCGCCGCGCCAACCGCCGCCCCGAUGCCGCCACACCGCCGUUAACGAACGAGAACGAGAACGAUCGAACGAACGAGAGCGAGAACGAACACGUCAACGUACGUUGCCGCGACAACGUGAACGAGAACGAGAACGAUCGAACGAACGAGAGCGAGAACGAACACGUCAACGUACGUUGCCGCGAGAACGUGAACGAGAACGAGAACGAUCGAACGAACGAGAGCGAGAACGAACACGAUCGAACGAAGACAAGCGAGAACGAGGGAACGAACGUGAAUGAGAACAAGCGAACGAACGUGAAUGAGAACGAGCGAACGAACGUGAACGAGCUAGGGAACGUGAACGAGCGAACGAACGAGGACGAACGUUAACGUGAAAUGCAAUAUAUAUAUAUAUAUAUAUAUAUAUAUAUAUAUAUAUAUAUAUGUUACUUCGCAUUUAUCCUAAUACAUUUUUUGUAUCUUGCAGAAAAGACGUGUUGUCGGAGUCGUCCGUCAAGCCUGAGUGGAAGAGCUAGCCCUAGAAGGAAUUGGAGCAGGCAAGUGACGUAAUAAUAUAAAUGAUUGUUAUAUUUGUAAUGCAAUUAAUUAAGAUUAUUAGACCUUUAAUUAGACUUAUCAUAUAAGAUUGUGUAGUGUUCUAAUAUUAUUUGAGUUUUAAUAUAAGAUUAUUUUAUUGCAAAUUAGACUUAGUAUGACAUUAUUGACUACGGAAUUGGUGCGACUCCUAGCAAUUGACUAUUGUAGUCUUAAUUAGACUUAGCAUAUACGCACGAAACACUUAGCAUACAUGACUAUUUUAGUCUUAGCAUGUAAUAUUAUUUGAGUUUUAAUAUAAUAUUAUUUUAUUUGUAAUUAGACUUGGUAUGUAAUUAUUGACUACGGAAUUGGUGCGACAAGUAGCAAUUGACUAUUGUAGUCUUAAUUAGACUUAGCAUAUACGCACGAAACACUUAGCAUAUACAUGACUAUUUUAGUCUUAGCAUAUAAUAUUAUUUGAGUUUUAAUAUAAGAUUAUUUUAUUUGUAAUUAGACUUAGUAUAUAAUUAUUUACUAGCUAGGGUUGUAUAAUAUACGUCACCUAGACUUAGCUUAUAUCACGAUUUAUAAUUAGACUUAGCACGUAAGGUUGUGUAGGGUUCUAAUGUACGACAUUUACACUUAGCAUACAUGACUUAGAUUGUUAAAACAUAAAUGUCUCGUGACUUAGCAGAUGUUUCUUGUAUCAACAGAUGGCUGACCGCGAUGAGGAACAGAUAUUGUACGAUACAAUCGCGGAGGGAAGCAGCCAGUACUGGAAUGAAGAAGAGGGGAACGAGGAUCCAAACCAGUACUUGAACGAGGAAGGGAACGUGGAGAGGGAUGCGGAGGGGAACCAGCAGGGGCACGUGGAAAGGGAUGUGGAGGGGAACCAGGAGGAGGUUAGUGGUAAUCAACCCUCCGUUGGACAGAAGAGGGCAUGCGGGCAACGAGGUGCAGCGAAGAAGCUUGAGGGUCGGCACAUCAUAACGGAAGUGGAAGAAGAUGGACGUCCUAGUGCCCCGGCCGAAGCCGCCAAGAACUAUGUACGUCACAGCGGUUGGGUUGUGCGGGAUAACGUGCCUGUCAGUACGGUGUACUGGCGAAGAACAAGGGCACACGGAGAUCAUGAGAGCUUUGUCCCAGAUUCGGAGAAAGAGAUGUUGUGGACCACAAUGCUCGAGACAUUCACCCUUCCUGCUGGUACAGAGGACAAAGUGAAAAGGUGGACUCUGAAGAAAAUGGCAGAACAGUUUCAGAGCUUCAAGGGAGAUCUGUACCAGAAGUAUAUACUGAAGGGGCAGACACCGAACUUCGACACAUUCCCAAAGCUAAGGGAUCACUGGGACGAGUUCGUUGCAUAUAAGACAGAUGAACAAGGGCAGGCGAUGAUGGAAAGAAACAAAGAAAAUGCCGCCAAGAAGAAGUACCAUCACCACUUGGGGUCAGGAGGCUAUAGCGUCGCGAUACCGAAGUGGGAGCAGAUGGAGGCUAGCUUGAUUGAGAGGGGUAUCGAACCGGCAACAGCCAAUUGGCCGGAACGAUCGAAGUUCUGGUACUAUGCUCACGGUGGAACGCUCAACCCAGCUGAUGGCUCACUGGUCUUCGGCUAUCAGAUACGAGAGGCUGCGCGACGACUAACAGAUGCAGUGGAAGCCUCCUCUCAGGGCACGUUCCGACCAGACAGAGAUAGGGACGAGCUGACACUCGCCCUGCAGACUCCAGAGCAUCCAGGACGAACUCGAGGGAAAGGGGUGAUUCCUUGGAAGAUUGGUUUCAAGGAGGACAUCCACACGUACAGGAGUCGGAUGAGGAGCAAGAGAGAUACCGAGGCGAAGAUUGCAGACCUAGAGUUCCGGGUAUCGAGCUACGAACUCAACAUGCAAGAGGAGGUGGCAAGGAAGGUUGAUGAACGCAUGGCCGCACAUCGGUCCCAUGAUCCCCAGCCGACCAUUCCUCUUGCAAUGGUGAGCCCGUCAGGAAACCGUAGCAGCUGCGCCUCAACAGGGCAGGUAGGAUCACAGAGCAUGGACGCCAUGCAAACACAGGACGAAUCGACCUGUCCCGUUGAUGACAUCACUCAGCGGACACCAUGUGAGCUGCAUAUUCCUUUCAAGAACUUAUCAAUAAAGGUAAGAUUUAGCCAUUCCGCUAGUUGCUGCUUAUAUAUGUUGAUUACUAAUAAAUAAUCUCUCACAACAUGAAGGUGGCGUCGGGCAUGGCCAUCCCAACGGACCCUUCAGGUACUUAACACUGUAGGCCGAUUCCAGCAGGAUACUCGAAGGUCGAAGUUGAGUUGGUCGAAGGCGCGUACGAGGACCUCGAGCUGGAUUACCCUGGAGGAGACGGUGAGACGCAUCUACGAGACACAUGCCAUGCCAUUAUUCUAUGGCGCAGGCGGUACAUCAUCCUCCCUGGGCGACAAGCGGCGUCUCGUGCACCAUCUCCUCCGGCUCCGCCAUCUCCUCCUCAGGAUCCUGCACCGUCUCCUCCUCAUGCUCCGCCAGCACCGUCUCCACCUCAGGCUCCAGCAUCGACUCCUCCUCAGGAUCCUGCACCGACUCCUCCUCGUGCUCCUACACCUACUCCCCCGCAAGCUCCUCUUCUGGCACCUUCAAAGUCAGGGGCCCCCCCAGCUCCACCGCCUGCCCACACAAGGGCAACGAAGAAGGCGAAAGUUGACGCCGCCAAGAACAAGGACCCGGGGUACGAUUGCACGCAAGAGGAGCUUGACGCUUACGUUGCAUCAGAAGUCAAGAGACAAUUCAAGCCUCGAAGUCCAGAAAAGAAGAUUCCUAUAGACCCCAGUGUCAGGAACUUCUUCAGGGGUAUGUCUGCAUCUGUCAAGGAGGCCAUCAAGCUAUCGGACUAUGAGCGAACGCUGAAGAAAGCAUCUUUUGGAAAGUCCAAACCAGUCCCUCAGCUUGGAGAGCAACCAAACCAGGAGAUCGAGCCGUUGGUGACCGGUAAAGAAAUGACGAUAGAACAAUUUAUUACUGACACCGGUCUAACUACAGAUCAAUUGCUAGGAGUCGCACCAAUCGAAAAGGCGGAAGUGAAAUACAUGUACGAACUCGGUAAACCGCUUGUCAAGCCUGAGCUGCUGCAGUCCCUACCCACACAAAUGUACAAGUUCCAUCAGCUGUACAUGGAGAUGAGCGCCACCGGUAGAGAGAUGAUCGGAGCGAGGAUCAGGGACACGGGCUUCUUGCAAGGAGAUGACAUUCUCUGGAUCAAUUUCAGGGGAAUCUACGAACUAUACCAGCUGGACGCCCUCGACGUCUCUAUUAUGAGUUGCUGGAUUUUGUAAGUAUAUCGUUCAGUUAGAUUUCUUACUAUACGUCUCCUUUAAUUAAUUAGGUCCUUGUAUAUAAGUAGACCAUAGAAAAUAAUAUACUCCCUUUUAUCGUUGUAGAAUGGAGAUUCAAAGGGCCCGACGGCGGAGGGUUUUCGAUACUGGAUUCAUCGACCCUCGGAAAGUAAACGUCGCAAUGCUCGACCAAUAUCCACAAGAAACAGAGGACAAUCUCGUCCAUCUCCUGAAGGCGCAGCAUUACAAGACGUUCAUACUGUUGCCAUACAACACAGAGUUAGUUUAAUUUUACUGUCUUCCUACAUACCAAAUUUCAUUCCCGUACGAACUUGCUAAGUGUUUCAUAUGUAAUACAUCCCACGCACAUUGCAGAUUCCACUGGGUGCUUUUACUCAUCGACCUGGAGGCCUGCACCGUCAACGUAUAUGAUUCAAUGGAUAAAAAAGAGUCUACGUUUGACAAGGUUUUCGAACUUAUAGACAGGUACCGUCAUAAGUUCCUUUGUUAAUUAAGAAAAUCUUGUUAUGUUAAUUGCUACUACGAAUCAUAGCUUUAAACUCCAUGUAGGGCUUGGUAUCGGUUCCGUCAUUUGGUCCGCGGCAAAUGGAGAGAAAGACUUAGGCGGAAGUUCAAAUUUCCUGUGAGUACACAUGCUCUACAUUUAUAUUUCUCCGAUUCAAAUACAUACAAGUGUAUAUUAAUUAGAUCUCUCGUUGUUUAUUAUUUAUUUGUAGUGCGCAAAGCAAAAGCAGAGAACUAACUUGUGCGGCUAUUACGUGUGCGAGUAUUGCCACUGCCUUGCAGACCAAAUCAUCACCACAAGAGAGCUCGAUGUACGUACAAAUAAAUUCAAAAUUUCAUUACGUAGCGAUUUCUUGUUUAAUUACUAAUCAAUUUCAUACAUUCAUAUAGUUUAUUCGCAUGAGGGAUAACCUGACCACACACAAGGAAUUUAUCGCGGCGGUUCAAGAACAACUCAUGGGAUUCAUCAACGAAGAAAUCCUUGAUCCCAAGAGUGAAUUCUACUACGACGGAAACACAAUUCACCGGUCCUUAGCUUCUGAGCUAGCAGCGAGUACUACUACGUCGAAAUCGUAGCUAGCUAGGACAUAUAAUGGAUUGUAAUUAAUACAUGACUACAUAUGUUUCUAUAUGCAUGUGUACACAUUUUCUAUAAUGUAAAUAUAUUUUGUUCAUAUAUAUAUCUAUAUACAUAUGCAUUUGCAUAACAUAUAUAUGUAUAAAUACAUAUAUAUUAUGCAUGUAUAUACAUAUAAUAUAAUAUAAUAUAUAUAUAUACAUAUAUAUAUGUAUGCAUAUAUAUGUAUUGAAACAUAUAUAUGCAUGGUUUAUAUAUAUAUAUAUAUAUAUAUAUAUAUAUAUAUAUAUAUAUAUAUAUAUAUAUAUAUAUAUAUAUAUAUAUAUAUAUAUAUAUAUAUAUAUAUAUAUAUAUAUAUAUAUAUAUGUCGGUGACAUGGGACCGGGAGUAUCAUGACUUAGAGACUUGAGGCAGACACGAUCACCCACGUGGCCUAACCCCCUCGGGGGGGGGGGUCGGGCCCGAGGGUGAUACGGCCGCCCUUCUCUUUGUCUCCCCGAGGGGUCGGACCGCUCCCGUCUCGGCCCCGAGGGCCGAGGCGCCCCGACCCCUUGUGGGUUUUGCGCCGCGUAUAUGGGGUAGGUGAGCAUAGCGGGGCUCACCUAACCACAUUUAUUGCGGUUUGGACGAGCGCGUCACGCCGCAUGUAACGCAGUGCAGCGCGCUCGUUUAUCCGGUCAGUGACCAGUCACAGACCGAUCAGAUCGUGGGUUAGGUGGCGACAGGCGGUCUGACGCACGCCUCGCCCCAUCCCGUCAGGAUGAGAGCCUCCAAGCACUCGUCCCUAGCCGGAGCCGGCGUGUUAGCUCCUGGAGAUGGCACGUUGGUCCCGGUCAGAUAUAUACCAGGCUUCAUCCUAACCAUUACAAGCAAGACAUUGUAUGAAGAGGGGCGAACAUGCAGAUUGAUAAACUGACGCGUGGUGGACAAGAAUGACCGAUUUGUGACCGGUCUGACACUGAUCAUGUCGUCAGCAGACAGCCAUGUUCCCAAGUCGCGCCUGCUUCCGGCGGAAGUGGAGGUAGGUAUGGGCUGUCCCAUCAGAAGGUCAUUCGGACGGCAACCAUACAAGUCUCCGUCUGUUUAUGAAAAGAUAGGAUAAGUCCCCACAAAAAAGAAGGAGAUGGUGCAUGUGGUAUCCCCUUGAGGUAUAAAAGGAGGACCUUGCCCACUUAGAAGGAGGAGGGAUUUUCGGAUCCAGAACGAUCAGAGAGGAAGAGAGUAAGAGCUCUCUGGUUCUCCAGCUCUUUUGUAGCUUCUUCAUACAUAGAUCCACAAAAACACAGGAAGUAGGGUAUUACGCUUCUCAGCGGCCCGAACCUGUAUACAUCGCCCGUGUCUUGUGUGUUUCCAUUCUCGCGAACCUUCCACACAAAGACUAGGAGCUUAGAAUCUCACCCAGGGCCCCCGGCCGAACCGGCAAAGGGGGGCCUGCGCGGUCUCCCGGUGAGGAGCCCCACGCUCCGUCAUCUGGCGCGCCAGGUAGGGAGCUUUGCGUGUGUUUUUCUAAGCUCUCGCAUUCUUUCGUGUGCGCCAAGCUUUUCCUGUUCGGCCCAAUGGCCGAACAAGCAAAGGCGCACAACCUCUCUCCGAGUGUUAGCGGUGAUGACGGGGAGCCGAACCCACGCCGUCGAGCUCGUACUCCACCGCCCCCUCCACGCCAAAGUCCUAGGCGGGAGGAGGCGCUCGAGAGGGUCGAAGGAUCCGCGACUUCGACAUCCACGGGUGAUGGGGAAGGGCGGCGAGAUGGGGAGCGUCGCCUCCUCGUCUACGGCGACGGCAGCACGCCCCAGGGCGCGCUCCAAGCUGCGGGCGCGCUCCUACGUCACCCGCCCAUUGUGCCUGACCCGGAGGCUCCAGCCCAACGUUGGUUGGACGACGUGGCCAACUUGGUCAUGACGGCACGGCAGCGCCUAGGUGCUGGUGGGCGGUCCUCCGCCACCAAGACCUCUGGCGCUGCUACCACCGGCUCCGUGUCGUCAAGGCGGAGGGCGCGGCGAGCGGCGGCUGUUGCUCGCCAUUCAGCCGCCACUCCUUCGUCAGCGCCUCCGACCCAGGAAGAUCUGCGUGGGGGGCCGGAUGCCCGCAUCAGUAUCGAGCGCCGGCGUAAUGGCCGGCGUGCUGCCCACGCAACGGAGGGCGCCUCCUCGUCCGGAGUGUCGCAUCAACACGGACGCGGGGAUCAGCCCUCCGUGCCCCCGGUUGGUGGUGUCGGCUGUAGAGCCUUUGUGGCGAGCCUUCGGAACGUCCGUUGGCCCCCAAGGUUCCGGCCCACCAUCGCCGAAAAAUAUGACGGGAGCGUCAACCCCGCCGAGUUUCUCCAGGUCUACACGACCGGGAUCGAGGCCGCCGGGGGUGACGACAGGGUCAUGGCGAAUUUCUUUCCCAUGGCCCUGAAGGGACAGGCACGGGGUUGGCUAAUGAACUUGCCACCCGCGUCCGUCCACUCUUGGGAGGAUUUGUGCCAACAGUUCACCAUGAACUUUCAAGGCACAUAUCCGCGCCCAGGUGAAGAAGCGGACUUACAUGCAGUCCAGCGAAGGGAUGAUGAGUCACUUCGCUCAUACAUUCAGCGGUUCUGUCAAGUCCGCAACACCAUACCAUGCAUCCCUGCACACGCGGUGAUCUACGCGUUCAGGGGGGGUGUGCGGCACAACCGCAUGCUCGAAAAGAUCGCCUCCAAAGAGCCCCAGACUACCGCGGAGCUUUUUCAGCUCGCGGACCGAGUGGCUCGAAAGGAAGAGGCAUGGACCUAGAACCCCUCCGGUUCCGGUGUGGCAGCUUCGGCCGCCCCCGGAUCUGCUGCUCGGACAGGGCGGCAUGACAGGAGGAGGAAGAAGAGGUCAGCCCAUUCCGACGACGAGGGUCAUGUCCUCGCCGUCGAGGGCGCUUCGCGGGCCACCCGAAAGGGGAGGCCUGCGAGCGACAAAAAGAAGGAGGCCGGCGCUCCCAGUAGGGAGCGCCCAACCGGCAAGUGGUGCAUCGUCCACAACACCUCCCUUCACGAUCUCGCGGACUGCCGUGCAGUCAAAAGUUUGGCUGAGCGGACGAGGAAGUGGGAGGAGGAGAGGAGGCAGGAGCGCCGAGAGGGCAAGUCCCCGGCGGUUCCUUCCGGCAAUCGGCGAAGUGAGGCCAAGCAGAAGGCCCCCGCCGAGGACAUCGAUGACGGCGAUGAUGACCUAGGUUUCCAAGAGCCUGGGGCCACCAUUGCCACUGUCGAUGGGGGAGCGUGUGCUCACGUUUCUCGUCGGAGCCUCAAGGCCAUGAAGCGAGAGCUUCUGGCCGCGGCCCCUACUCAUGAGGCGACGCGCCGGGCGCGGUGGUCGGAGGUUGCCCUCACCUUCGACCAGACCGACCACCCACCGUGCGUUGCCCGGGGAGGACAAAUCGCAAUGGUGGUUUCCCCCACUGUUUGCAACGUGAAGCUGGGGCGUGUCCUCAUUGAUGGGGGAGCAGCCCUCAACAUCCUUUCCCCCGCAGCCUUUGACGCUAUCAAGGCCCCGGGGAUGGUGCUCCGGCCGUCCCAGCCGAUUAUCGGUGUGACGCCGGGUCACACUUGGCCGCUAGGUCAUAUCGACCUCCCGGUCACCUUCGGUGGAUCCGCCAACUUCCGCACGGAGCGGGUGAACUUUGAUGUGGCGGACCUCAGACUGCCCUACAACGCGGUCCUAGGGAGGCCCGCGUUGGUGAAGUUCAUGGCGGCAGUCCACUACGCCUACCUCCAGAUGAAGAUGCCGGGCCCCGGUGGCCCCAUCUCUGUCCAUGGCGACCUCAAAGUCGCGCUUGCUUGUAUGGAGCAGCGCGCGGACCACCUCACCGCCGCGUCCAAGCCCGAGGGAGGCGACGAGAGGCUUGGCACCUCCGCCCCCGCCGCCCCGAGGCAGCGGAUAGUCACAUGCGACGAGGUUCCGGUCAAGGAGGUUGCCCUGGGCGACGGCCCGUCCAAGACCACACGGAUCGGUGGUCUUCUGGGCGGCAAAUAGGAAGACGCGCUCGUCUCUUUCCUGCGGGCAAACGCUGACGUCUUCGCAUGGAGACCGACGGAUAUGCCCGGGGUCCCCAGGGAGGUGAUUGAGCACCGUCUCGCCGUGCGGUCGGGCGCAAGGCCGGUCCGGCAGAAAGUACGGCGGCAGGCCCCGGAACGUCAAGCCUUCAUCCGCGAGGAGGUGGCGCGACUUCUGGAGGCCGGAUUCAUCCGCGAGGUCAUCCAUCCGGAGUGGCUGGCGAACCCGGUGGUCGUUCCCAAGGUGAACGGCAAGCUUCGGAUGUGUAUCGACUACACCGACCUUAACAAGGCAUGUCCUAAGGACCCUUACCCCCUGCCUCGCAUAGAUCAGAUUGUCGACUCCACAGCGGGGUGCGACCUUUUGUGUUUUCUAGAUGCAUACUCUGGUUACCAUCAGAUUCGCAUGGCUAGGGAGGAUGAGGAAAAAACUGCAUUCAUUACCCCCAUAGGAACUUAUUGUUAUACGACAAUGCCCUUCGGGUUAAAGAAUGCAGGUCCUACUUUUCAACGUACUACUCGAAUUUCUUUGGGUAGCCAAAUAGGACGUAAUGUUGAGGCUUAUGUCGAUGACUUGGUUGUAAAGACGCGCAACCAAGAGACCUUACUCUCGGAUCUAGCGGAAACUUUUGAGAGUCUCCGCUCCGCCCGCAUAAAACUGAACCCCGAUAAGUGCGUGUUCGGUGUACCUGCGGGCAAGCUUCUCGGGUUUUUGGUCUCUGCCCCAGGCAUCGAGGCCAACCCCGAGAAGAUACGAGCUAUAGAGCGGAUGCGCCCCCCCAGCAAGCUUAGGGAUGUGCAAUGUGUCACCGGUUGCAUGGCCGCCCUAAGUCGGUUCAUAUCGAGGCGGGAGAGAAGGCGCUACCCUUAUUUAAGCUCCUCAAACGCUCCGGGCCGUUUACUUGGACGGAGGAAGCUGAACGUGCCCUCACUCAGUUGAAGGCGUAUCUCAGCUCUCCCCCAGUUCUGGUCGCCCCGGAGCCAAUUGAACCAUUGCUACUCUACUUAGCGGCGACCCCGCAAGUGGUUAGUGCGGCGUUGGUUGUGGAGCGCGAUGAGGACAAUCCUCAUUCCGCGCACCCCCACCCUGUGCUGGCUUGGCCCGGGAGAGAGCAGGGAGGAGAGGCCCCCGAGCCGAACGGUGGCCCAAGGCCCCCGACGACCGGAGCAGGCCCUCUGCCCGCUUGUCAGACGGUGCCAGGUGCCCCCGACCCCCAGGAUGGCCCGAGGGCCACUGCGGGAAGGCCGCACCUAUCGCCCUCUGACCCCGAGGCUAACCCUGUGCCGACUCGACCCGGGAGAGAGCAGGGAGAAGAGGCCCCCAAGCCGAACGGUGGCCUAAGGCCCCUGACGACCGGAGUUGGCCCUUUGCCCGCUUGUCCGACGACGCCAGGAGCCCCCGACCCCCAGGACGGCCCCGAGGCCACUGUGGGAAGGCCGCCCCUGUCGUCCUCCGACCCCGAGGUCGUCGGCACAGAAGAUGAGUGCACCCCGCGAGGCCGCUUGGACAAAGAGCGCCCCAGGGAUGUGGCCCCUAGCGAAGAGGAUCGGCCCCACCGAAAGGUGCAGCGGCCCAUCUACUUUGUUAGUGAGGCCCUCCGGGACGCCAAGACCCGAUACCCUCAGGCCCAGAAGAUGCUUUACGCUAUUCUGAUGGCUUCGAGGAAACUGCGCCAUUAUUUCCAGGCACAUCGGGUCACGGUUGUUACGUCUUACCCCCUCGGCCAAAUCUUGCAUAAUCGAGAGGGUACUAGACGUGUGGUGAAAUGGGCAAUCGAACUUUCUGAGUUUGAUUUGCACUUUGAACCACGCCACGCUAUCAAGAGCCAGGCCUUCGCCGAUUUUGUGGCAGAGUGGACCCCAGCUCCCGAGCCCGUCUCAGUCCCCGAGGCCAGCUCGGGCCCCUCACAGCUGCCUCACACCGCCCACUGGGUGAUGCAGUUCGACGGCUCCCUGUCUCUUCAGGGCGCCGGUGCGGGGGUCACGUUGACCUCGCCGAACGGAGACGUCCUCAGAUAUUUGGUUCGCCUUGACUUUCGGGCGACCAAUAAUAUGGCAGAGUACAAGGGACUCCUUGCGGGACUCAGGGUGGCAGCUGGACUGGGGAUCCGCCGCCUCCUGGUGUUAGGCGACUCCCAGCUGGUCGUUAACCAGGUCUGUAAGGAGUACCGGUGCUCUGACCCGCAGAUGGACGCUUACGUGCGCCAAGUACGGCGUAUGGAGCGCCAUUUUGACGGGAUAGAGCUUCGGCAUGUGCCCAGACGGGAUAACACGGUUGGCGACGAACUCUCACGGCUCGCUUCCUCGCGAGCCCAGACCCCACCGGGCGCCUUUGAAGAAAGGCUUGCCCAGCCGUCGGCGCGACCCGACCCCUUAGGGGAGACGGACGCGCCUGACAGGCCCCCGAUGCCCGUCGGAGUCCAGGCCUCGGGACCCGAGGGGAGCGCUCCCAGCUCCCUUAGAUUGAUUGCUUGGAUCGCUGAGAUCCAAGCAUACCUCACAGAUAAGACUCUACCCGAGGACCGCGAAGGGAGUGAACGCGUCCAGCGCAUCUCCAAACGCUACGUGCUGGUAGAAGGGACCCUCUAUCGGCGCGCGGCUAACGGAAUCCUCCUGAAGUGCAUUCCUCGGGAACAAGGCGUCGAGCUUCUUGCCGAUAUCCAUGAAGGCGAAUGCGGAGCCCACUCCGCCUCGCGCACCUUGGUUGGCAAAGCCUUUCGACAAGGUUUCUAUUGGCCGACAACUCUUAAUGAUGCGGUCGACCUGGUCCGGCGAUGCAGAGCGUGUCAAUUCCACGCCAAGCAAAUCCAUCAGCCGGCCCAGGCCCUGCAGAUCAUACCACUUUCGUGGCCAUUUGCUGUCUGGGGGCUCGAUAUCCUGGGACCGUUUAGGCGGGCCCCGGGCGGGUUUGAGUAUCUAUAUGUCGCGAUCGACAAGUUCACUAAGUGGCCCGAGGCUUAUCCGGUCGUCAAGAUCGAUAAGCACUCCGCACUUAAAUUCAUUAAGGGCAUCACAGCCCGGUUUGGAGUGCCUAACCGUAUUAUUACGGAUAACGGCACCCAAUUCACUAGUGAACUUUUCGGCGAUUACUGCGAAGACAUGGGCAUCAAGCUCUGCUUCGCCUCACCUGCCCACCCCAGAAGCAACGGCCAAGUAGAGCGCGCCAAUGCGGAAAUCCUCUGAGGCCUUAAAACCAAGACCUUCAACAUCCUCAAGAAGCACGGCGAUUCGUGGAUCGAGGAGUUGCCAGCGGUGCUCUGGGCGAACCGAACCACGCCAAGCCGAGCAACCGGGGAAACGCCUUUCUUCCUCGUCUACGGCGCGGAAGCGGUUCUCCCAUCCGAGCUCACCCUGAGGUCCCCUCGGGCCACCAUGUACUGCGAGGCUGAUCAAGAUCAGCUCGCAGAGAUGACCUCGACUACUUGGAAGAGCGAAGGCGGCGCGCGGCCCUCCGAGCUGCGCGCUACCAGCAGAGCCUGCGGCGCUACCAUCAGCGCCACGUCCGGGCCCGAUCACUCUGCGUCAACGACCUCGUCCUACGCCGCGUCCAAACGCGUGCUGGAUUGAGCAAGCUCUCACCAAUGUGGGAGGGUCCGUAUCGACUGAUCGGCGUCCCCCGGCCGGGCUCCGUUCGGCUGGCCACGGGCGAUGGCACAGAGCUGCCUAACCCGUGGAACAUCGAACACCUUCGUCGCUUCUACCCCUAAAGGGGGAUCGGGUGUCAGGUUUCGGGCUCGGGCCAACCCCGCACCCCCCUCGGGCGUGCAGGGUUGGCCGGGGGCUACCACAUAUGCAUAUUCUUAUUUCUUUUAUAUCUGUAUUUCAAUAAAAGCAUUUUCGAUUUCCUAAAGGCUGUAUCUGUGCUGUUGUUUCCUUUUGAAGGAUCUUGACUUGAAAUAGGUCACUCGUGUUCAAUCCUGCCCUCGGGGGCUCGGGUCGGCUAAAAUCGCCAAACGGGGCCCAGAACCGAGCCGUGCCCCGGGGCGUGGUGAACUCCGGGGGGGAAUCGGCAAAAACCCACAAUCGGGUCACCCAUAACCCUCGGUCAUCACGCUCCCGGCCUGGCCAGUCUCGACAUGUGGAUCUCCCCAGGCACUAGCCCCGACCCGAGCCAUUUGAGGACUAGGACCUGGGCACGAGCCCUUGUUCAAGCCAAGACACAAAAGGACCGCGGCACAGACCAUCCUCGUCUCAUACACACAACAAAUAGAAUUGACACAAAAAAUUUUCCUCUUUAUUUGAUUGCAGAUUAAAUUAGUCUAUACAAGAAGGGGGCCCGAAGGCCUCGGAAGAAGAAAAGAAGAAACUAUUUAAAGAUUGGCGGGGGCCUGGGGGCUCACUCCGAUGCACCCGGGUCGCCAGCCUCGUCGCCACUGUCGCCCACUCCGCCGUCAUCGUCCUCCUCGUCGGAGUUGAGGGCGAACGCGAGCCGAGGGGCCGAACCCUCGAAGCUGUGGACGAUAUGGUCGGCGGCGUCCCGGACCUGCGCGCGCGCGCCGUCCUCGGUCCCGGGAGGGAACUCGUCCAGCGCCGUCCAUGGGGAGAAGUCGGGAUCCCUGGCUUGGUAACUCGCCAGUACGAGCUCCACCGCUCCUCGGGCGAGGUCCCUCGAGGAUGACUUAAUCGUCCUCUCGAGCUCCUCGGGAAGCCGUUGGAGAGUCCCGGCUAUCUCCGAGAGGCGCUGGGCGAGGCCCCCCUGGUUGGCGGCGUACUUCGCAGUCCGCCCGCCCCAGAGGCCCGCCUGCCGGCCGGCGCGGUCUAGACGGGAGACGGCGUCCCGAAGCAUGCCGGGCCCUACCUCGCCUGCCAAGCGGAGGGCCUCGACCUCCCGGCAGACGAGUCUAGCGCGCCCUGCAGAUCGGCGAUGGUGUGUUCGGCAGCUGCGAGGCGGGCGGUUAAGUCGCUUUCGCCCGCGGCCGCCCCGCCACUGCGCGCCCUCGCGUCCAGCUCCCUCUCCCGCGCCUCGAGCUCACCGGCCCACUGAUUCAGCGCGGCCCUCUCGGCGCGGGCACCUUCUAGAUUACGGCGCGCCUGCUCCUCCCGCACUGCCUCGCGGAGGGACAGGCUGUCCGCCAGCCGUUGCGCCGCGGCCUCGGCCUCCUCGAGAGCUCGCUCCCGCUCGGUGAGCGCGUCCUCGCGGAGGCGGAGCGCGGACUCCUCUUCGGCGCAGGCGGCCUCGUGCGCAGUCAGCGUUGCCUCCCGGAUGGCAACGGCGGCCUCGCGAUCCGCCAGGUUCCUCUCCACGGCACAGGCACGCUCUUCCAGCGCCAUGGCACGGGCCUCAAGGGCUUCUUCGCGCCGCCGGGAUGCCACCUCGGUCUCCGCCGCCCGCCGUUCUCGGGCAGCGGCAGCGUCAAGGACCCCCUGGGCGGCGUCGAGCUUCUUCCCUAGCUCCGCCUCCCAGCUCCCGUAUUGAAGGCGGAGGGUGUCCUGCGCCUCGUUCAUCACGGUGGUGGCGAUGAGGGCAGCCCCCCGCUCCUCCUCCACCUCCUUGGCGAUCUCCCCCAGCACCUUCCGACGGGCUUCGAGCUCUGAGACGUGCCGGCGGUGUGCCUUGCGGCCCACCUCCACCAUGGCCUCCACCGAGCGUCGCCCCUCUUCGACACGCGCCCAUGCGGCGUCGAGCUCCGCCCGCUCUGCUUGCAGGGCCUCCACCUGGGCACUUAACCCGUCCAACACCGUGGUGUUUGCGAUGGCCAAGGCCUGCAGAAGGGGUUCUGCGCUCAGUGGAGCAACGGAAGGCGUGGGGAAGAGCCGCCUCGAAGAGGAUGCUGCGCGGCUUGGCCCGCCGAUGGACGUGCCGGACUCGGGGAUGUCCCCCGGACCUGGUUUGUCCUGAGCGUCGCACGAGGGAGUGGGCCCAAGCGAUGCACUCGCGGCCUCGCCGCGAGUUGCCUCGGAAGUCGUUGUCGCCUCGGCCUGGCGAAGUCUAGCCUCCUCCCGAGCGGCUUCUUCAGCUUGGCGAGCUCGGACGGCCACCUGGGCAGCUUCCUCGGCUUCUUGAAGGCGAUCCACGGCCUCUUGCCGGUCAGUUUCACGGGUCGCCUCGGAGGAUGUCGUCGCCUCGGCCUGGCGGAGUCCGGCCUCCUCCCGAGCGGCUUCCUCGGUCUGGCGAGCCUGGGCGGCCUCCCGAGCGGCCUCCUCGGCUUCCCGAAGGCGAUCCGCGGCUUCUCGCCGGUCAGAUUCCCGCCUCCGGGCCUCUGUGGUCGCCGGGUCCUCGGCCUCAGACUGGCCGGACUUGGAAUGGCGGGAGGGACGCGACGGGAUCUCGCUGAAGCAGAAGAAAAGCCAGAAGACAAACAAGAUGGGUGAAUGAAAACUUGUGUUGGAAGAAUGAAUACAGCCACAAUGGGCGUGGGACGAACCUGCGAGGGGGUCGGUUAAACGACCACCUUGGAGGAGAAAUGAGGUUUCCCCGGGAUGGUUCUGUCCCCCCCAUCUUGCGGAGCCGUUUCUUCUUCCGCUCCCCCUCGGGCUGCGGCGUCGGCGCGGCCCCCUCCGGGCGCCUGCUGCUGACACGCGCCGCCCCGCCCCCUCGGGGAGGAGAUGGGGAGGAAGUACCCUCUUGCUUUCUCUUCCCUCGGGCGUCGGCAGGGCGGCUACCCCCCGAGCCCCCAUCACGGGGCCCAGAAGCACGACCCCCUCCCGGGGUAGAUUGUUCCCCCCUGCGGCUCCCGCCCGAGCCAUCGUGGCCUCGAGGAGCCCGCUCCUCCGACGCCCCGACCGCCUGCAUGAUGGUCAGGAUGUUGGCGCGAUCUGGAUCGCUGCAGAGGGGGAGGACUCCUUGGGGGAUGAGGGAUGCCUCCGCGGAGCUGAGAUUCAGCACCCGUUGGAUCAUUACCUUGAAGUCUUCGGGGACCCAGUCCCAUUUGACCCCCCGGUGGGUCCUCAUACAGUCCUCGGACCCGGUGUACUCCCAGGCAUCCCGGGCGCGCCGCUGGAGUGGCGCGAUCCGGCGACGAAGAUAGUCGCUGUACACCAUGGCCCCUGUGAGCCCCAGGGAUCACAGGCCCGCCAGGCGGUCGAGGACGGCGUCAUAGCCAUCUCCCAGAUCUACCGGCGCCCGCCAGCUGGAGGCCUGCGCCGGGGGCUGGCUCGGAAGACGGAGGCGCGCUUCGUCGGCGAGGGGGGUGUAGAACCAGUCGCUCUUCCAGUCAUCCCACUUCUUGCGGAGGACGCAGGGAAUGUAGCGGUUCAACACCGGCCCCCGCGGCUGGAAGUAGCAACCACCAACCACCGACGGCGGCGACACCGACUGUACGGUGAAGAACCACCGGAACAGCCGAAGGGAUGGGCGCACCCCGAUGAACAUCUCGCACAGGUGCGCGAAGAUGGCCAAUGUCAUUACCGCGUUGGGGGUGAGGUGCGCCAUCUGGAGAUCGUAAAACUCCAGAACAUCCAUGAAGAAAGAAGAAAAUGGCGGAACCAGCCCUGCCAUUGCAAAAGGGAGGAAGAAGACGGACCGCCCCGGGUAGCAUGGCGUCGGGCGUCCCUCGCCCAGCGUAACUAUCUCCCGGCCGGUGGCAGAUUCCGGCAUGAAGCGGCGUGGCAGCCCGGCCUGCCUCUCGCUCACGAUGCGGGAAGGCGGCAGCACGCUACCAUCAAGCAAAGCGGAGCCCCGUGCCAUGACGCCGGAGGAAGAGAUGUUUAAGAGCGAGCGCGUGUGGCGAAGGUAGGGCACAGGAAACAAGGAGUUAGGGCGCAAGCGGCGAAGACAAGGGGAAUAAUGGCGAGAGGAAGGAAGCAAAUCUCUUCCUCGGCGACUUUAUACCCUUGCCAACGCUGUGCCCGGCUCCUCGUUUCUCGCGCCCACUAUCUUGCCCCCUCGUUUCUCGCGCCCACGCUUCCACAAAUCCCAUUCGCCCGUUUGCGGUGCAUGAGGUGGACAUGCGGCUGUGGCAGUCGAGAUGGAACAUCUCGUGCGCGCGUUAAUUACGCUCGCCGACCAAAGCGCCAUCACCAUAUCUCCAGGAAAAACGAACCGGCUUGUCCCGAUUUUUAGACCGGCCCCACCAUGUCACCAGGCCUUAGGAAGUGGCGUCACGCCCGACCGCUUCCCUCGAGGAGGGCGAUCGCCCUGGCAUAACGCCGGGGGCUACUGUCGGUGACAUGGGACCGGGAGUAUCAUGACUUAGAGACUUGAGGCAGACACGAUCACCCACGUGGCCUAACCCCCUCGGGGGGGGUCGGGCCCGAGGGUGAUACGGCCGCCCUUCUCUUUGUCUCCCCGAGGGGUCGGACCGCUCCCGUCUCGGCCCCGAGGGCCGAGGCGCCCCGACCCCUUGUGGGUUUUGCGCCGCGUAUAUGGGGUAGGUGAGCAUAGCGGGGCUCACCUAACCACAUUUAUUGCGGUUUGGACGAGCGCGUCACGCCGCAUGUAACGCAGUGCAGCGCGCUCGUUUAUCCGGUCAGUGACCAGUCACAGACCGAUCAGAUCGUGGGUUAGGUGGCGACAGGCGGUCUGACGCACGCCUCGCCCCAUCCCGUCAGGAUGAGAGCCUCCAAGCACUCGUCCCUAGCCGGAGCCGGCGUGUUAGCUCCUGGAGAUGGCACGUUGGUCCCGGUCAGAUAUAUACCAGGCUUCAUCCUAACCAUUAAAAGCAAGACAUUGUAUGAAGAGGGGCGAACAUGCAGAUUGAUAAACUGACGCGUGGUGGACAAGAAUGACCGAUUUGUGACCGGUCUGACACUGAUCAUGUCGUCAGCAGACAGCCAUGUUCCCAAGUCGCGCCUGCUUCCGGCGGAAGUGGAGGUAGGUAUGGGCUGUCCCAUCAGAAGGUCAUUCGGACGGCAACCAUACAAGUCUCCGUCUGUUUAUGAAAAGAUAGGAUAAGUCCCCACAAAAAAGAGAGAGAUGGUGCAUGUGGUAUCCCCUUGAGGUAUAAAAGGAGGACCUUGCCCACUUAGAAGGAGGAGGGAUUUUCGGAUCCAGAACGAUCAGAGAGGAAGAGAGUAAGAGCUCUCUGGUUCUCCAGCUCUUUUGUAGCUUCUUCAUACAUAGAUCCACAAAAACACAGGAAGUAGGGUAUUACGCUUCUCAGCGGCCCGAACCUGUAUACAUCGCCCGUGUCUUGUGUGUUUCCAUUCUCGCGAACCUUCCACACAAAGACUAGGAGCUUAGAAUCUCACCCAGGGCCCCCGGCCGAACCGGCAAAGGGGGGCCUGCGCGGUCUCCCGGUGAGGAGCCCCACGCUCCGUCAAUAUAUAUAUAUAUAUAUAUAUAUAUAUAUAUAUAAACCAUGCAGCAACAAGGCCAUGCAAAAAAAAAAAGGACAGCUCGAUCUUUACUCCCGGUUAUUUCACCCGGGACUAAAGAUAGCGAUCUUUAGUCCCGGAUUGGUACUCCCGGUUUGGAAACCGGGACUAAAGGGGGGUUACGAAUCGGGACUACAAAGGGUUUCUCCACCAGUGUUUAUAAUACGCGAAGGCGUAUAGUUUAGUGGUAAAGUGCGAUCCAUGGACCGUGGUAGGAAUGUAGGAUAAGCACCGUCCCUAAUCUCAAUACGAUAAGAGACACGAUAGCUGGUCGAUCGUGCCACAGAGGUUAUAUCUAAUUUUAUUAUAUAUAUUUGAAAAAAAAACUAAUUAAUCAUGUGCUUAAACCAUGUGAUCAAGGUGGUGCUCAAAAUUUUCUCGUCGCAAUACGCAGCAAUACUGCUAUAGUACUGUCUAGUACUAUCGGCUGUACCGUUUAUUACAUGUAUGGAAAUAGCACUACGUAUAGUAUAGUAUACGGGAGUAUUGUGCUACACCUUGAUGUAAGAUUUGUUUGGAGGGUUUUUGAUUCUGAAGAGAGCUGUCGGGAAGGAUGAGUUAGGUUGGCUUUUUUUUAGACAUAGGGAAUAUAUUAUCAUGAUUGGUUUUUUAAACAGGGGAGUAUAUGCUAAUUAUGAGUUGCUUUAUUUUAGUUCCCAACAACAGCUUUCAAACACACCUUAAAAGCUAGAAAAUCAACGUGGUGAGAAUUUUAAGAAACACAAGCAUUAGACUAUUUAGGAGAGUAAUGGUUUUGAAAAACACUCCCUCCGUUUUAUAAUGUAAAUCAUUUUAGCAUUGCCUAUAUUUAUAUAGAUGCUAAUUAAUUUAGACAUGUCUAUAUAAAUUUAUAUAAAUGUGGAUAAUAAUAAAAUGACUUACAUUAUAAACGGAUGAAGUAUUCUACAGCUAUCAGAGUAUCAUAAAAAAGGGCAGUAAUGUUUGCCUAUCCGCGAUUACGUGCACCAUCCAUCGUCUCCACGUACGUCGUUCGCCGCAGGGUUCGCACUCGCGGGGCGUGUGUAGAUUCGCGGGCCGGCUGCAAUGGGCGAAAAGCUACGAGUAGAUCAUCGGAGGAAAAAAGGCGCCGGCAAAUCUCGGAACGCGGCGUAGUAAAAGCAAGAAAUUAAAAACAAAGCACCGAGAUCGGCUGACGUCGCCGCCAGCCGCCCCGGGAAGGGAAGCCUCGGUCGGGUCUUCGAGCGCCGUUCCCACGUACUCCGUACGGACGCAACCGCAUGGCGCGCGCGCAUUUUGAGGGCUGGCCGGCGCCGCGGGCCCCUGCCGCUGCCAGUGCCAACGUCGCGGCGUCACCGUGUUGUCCGUGCAGCUAGCUAGUCAUCACUGUAGCUGGCGGAGACUCGCCGGCUCGACGGGCGACGGCCAUGCACUUCCAUGGAGCAGCACCACAGACACCGGCCCGUCGCGCAAUUCUGCGUCGCUAGUGGCUAGUGCUACUCGUCAACUCCGGCUGCCAUCGACGGUCAUUGUCUCACAAACAUGUACUCCCUCCGUCGCUAGUGGUUUUGAGUUUUUUUAGUUUGUAACGUUUGAUCACUCGUCUUAUUUAAUUUGUUUUGAAAUUAUUAUUUAGUUUAUUUGUGACUUACUUUAUUAUCUACAAUACUUUAAGCAUAACUUUUCGUUUUUAUAUUUGCAAAAAUAAUUUGAAUAAGACGAGUGAUCAAACGUUACAAACAAAAACUCAAAAUCCCUUAUAUUGUGGGGACAAAGGGAGUAGUACGAAUAAGAGCAAGUAUAAUGGUGAGUUAUAAGUCUACUAUAAACUUAGAUGGAGGAGAGAAGUAGUGAAAAAUCAAGAGUGUUAGCUCUCAUGAAAGAGCUAACUUAUGAGAGAGGAGAAGAAAAUUAUAGCUAACCUUAUAGCUAAUCUAUUAUAUAUGUUGACUUUAAGAUUAGCUAAUAGUAAGAAGUGAGCUAUAUUAUUAUCUUUGCUAUAAGAGUAUCCACUCAACUAACUAGAUGGGCACGCAUUAGUGCUCUUUGUCCGUGCACGUCACGGCACUAUUGCGGUAGUAGUACUCGCAAAGGGCAGUGGCUACCAAUAGUCGUUCGUUGGGAUGGAGGGAGCCGGGGGCUGGUCGAGCGUGGCAACGGGAAACAGGGGACGACCCUGCAAACGAGAGCGCAUCGUUCGUGCGGUCGUGGAUGUUGUUGUGUUGUGCUGUGCGCCCGUUUGGUCGACAGGCACGGGCGCAUUAAACUCCCAUGCUUAAUUCCCCGGGCCCCACCAGACAGGCAGAUCAGAUCCGACGUGUACGACGGGCGGUCAAAGCCCAGUACGGACGGACCCGGUCACCCACCCGGUGCCGGAGCCCCCGGUGGUGUCGCGGCUGUGGCCUGUGACACCUGUGACACUUCACUGACUCUGAGCGCCCGCAGGACGGUGGGCCCCACCGACCCGCGAGGGUGGGGUCACGUCACGGGGCAGCGCUGCGAUCGAGGGGCUCCGGAUCGACGGACCGGAUUAAACUGGAUCGGGGUCGUCACAAUGGCAGGUGGGGCCCGCGGUGCAGCGCGACGUCACGGGGCGGGUGGGGCCGAGGGGCGUCGUGGGGAUAUCCGGAACCGGACGGAUCAGCGGUCGGGCUGGCGUGGCAAUAUGUGUGGUCCAGCCUGUGCAGUUGGGGGCGGGGGAAGGGAAGAUCUUCUGUAAGCAUCAGCGGUGGCAGUACAGUGGAUGGCAGCUGGAGGUCAGGAUGGGAAUGGUUAAUAUGGAUCGAACUUAAACCAUUUGAAAUGUGUUUAUUGUACCAUGGUUUAAAAGUUUCAAUCUAUCAUGGGUCUAUUAUAUCAAUAGGUUAUCUAUGUAUAUCCAAAUGGAUCAUCUAUCCUCCUAAUAGAUAAAAAAAAGCUCUUAUUGCAUAUAUGUAAAAGUCGGACCUAAAAUUUUUAAACUCGUGUUUACAUAGUAAAACCUUAUCAAAUUUAGUUAAAUUUAUAGAGAUGAUUUAUUAUAUGGAGAAGCAACUUUGUUCAAAUUUUAAGUUAUUUAGACAUGCGGAGCCCACUAUGCAUUACUAAGAUUCAAAGAAAUUCUAGCUACACGUGUGUAAAACUCGGACCCAAAAUUUUUAAACUCGCGUUUACACUAUAAAAAUUUGUCAAAUUUAGUUGAAUUUUAUAUGAAUGAUUUAUUAUAUAGAGAAGCAACUUUGUACAAAUUUUUAAAAUAUUUAUACAUGUGAAGUCAUUUUGGGUCAAACCUCUUAAACCUUAGGUUCUAAGGGCAAGGCCAAUGCUUAUGGUUCCAUCAGCCAUAUAUGUGGGACCCGCUAUAAGUAAGCAUUAGCUAUGUCCAUAUCCACAAUGGCUGUGCCUAUGGGAGAAAAUAAGCUGGGUCCCAAUGGGUCCCACCGAAGGAUAAAAAAAUCACUUCUUAUCCUCCUGUGAAACUCUUUGCACAAUGAAAAUUCCCCAAAAGUACUAGCGUGAACAGCACAUCACAAAAGUAUUGUAUUCUAUAGUUUUGUUACCACACCAUAAGGCUAAUGCUCAUUUUUUAUGUCAGAUUCUUAUGGUCCACUUUCACAAUGCUUAAUGUUAUUUAUUGCUUAAGGUUACUUUUAGCACACAUUGUGGUUGCCCUAAUGGUUUGAGCCGUUUGGUCCAUUUAUAUUUUUUUAGAGCGACCCUAAAAUCCGUUAGGACAAAUUUAUGAAUAGAUUUAGUGAAUAAAUGGAUCGACCCUACCCAUUCCCAUCCUGAGCUGGAGGGUGACGGAGCUGUGUAGUAGGGAUAGCAGCGGCCGUCGGGGCCAACCAGACUCAUGAUCGAGUUGCUUGGCGUCGGGGGAGAAACUCUGAAAGAGCAAAUAGGACACAGAUCUUUUUUUUUUAUAUUGACUGUUUGAUACGUGGGCUCUAUAUCCAGUGAGUUUAUAUGGCAGUGAUCCACAUUAGAGGAUAGUAUUGCACAGAAGACUUAUAUGAAGUAAGGUGUGUUUUUUUUCGAGGUAGUAAAGUGUUUUUGGUUGACAAGGAUAGCUCCGGUAUUCGAAAUUAUAGAAAUUAUAUUGUUCUAUGUUGAAAUUCUAAAUGUAGAAAUGGGAUUGUCUUACAUUUGAACUAAUAAAUAAAUGUACAGAAAAGUAGUAAUACUGAUAUGGCUUUGUCUCGAAUUUUGAAAGGUCUGGCAGCUUCAAAAUAUUACUAGCAUUAUACUAAUAAAUUACAAACAAAAUCUAGGCAGUAUACAGCAAAAGAUGUCUAUUAUGGAUAUACCUCGAGUAGCUAUCCUACCCUAGUACAAAGAAAGUUUAGGUCAUCAUCGGUUACUCAUAAAAAUUAAUCUGUAGUUAACAAAUAUAUGUGUGUUUUCUCAACAAUUUAAAAUGACAAUGCUGAAAAAGUAACUACAUUGAAAUUGUCUUAAAAUCAACUUUAAUUUUAAAGUUUUAAAAUUUAAAUUUUGGAUUUGCUUUGACUUAUUGAGGCAACCAAUGAAGCUCUUAAUUUCUUGAAACGUGCAAAUAUAUGUCAAAGGUAAGCGCAUAUGAUAAAGUGCUCGGAAAGCUAUGGUGUAGAGCUUUCCAAAAUUAUCGUUAGACAUACACAAGGAUACUGAAAAACUUGUGGCGUUGUUUUACAGAUUUAUCUUAACACGGAAAAUAAAUACAAAAUGAAAUUUAGGUACAUGAAGUUUGUGUUCAACAAGAAAAGAUGAACAUUCAUAUGUAGCAAUGGUUGUACGGUAUGUCCGUAACAUGAAUACUGUUUUCUAGUCUUGAAUAUUGUUUUCUACCCACAUCAAUAAUGAAACCAAUUCGAACAGCUUGCGGCAACUUAAUAAAUAUACAAAUAUUGCACUGAUCUAUGUUAAAAAAAAGUUAGCCGCAAAAUCUUAUAAAGCUUGUAUCAAAAUAUGAAACCCAAGGAUCCAACUUCAAAAACAAAAAAAAGAAGAGUAAAUUACACUGGUAGUUCUUAAACUUGUAACGAAGUUUUACUUAGGUCUAUAAACUUGCAAAACGCAUAUCGAGAUCCCUAAACUUGAUUUAAUGUAUCAUCCGGAUCCAAAGCCUCGUUUGACCGUGUCUUACCUACGUGGAGGAUAACAUGGAAUUUUUACUUUUUUUCUCCUUUCUUAUCCCUUUUUUUCUCCUUUCUUAUCCCUUUUUUUUUCUCCACUUUGCCUCUUUCCUCUCCCUUAUGCCGCAUUUUUCUCCACGCGAGGUGAGGAAGGAGAGAAAAGAUGGGAAGAAAAAAAGGGAAAAAGAAAAAUUAGCCAAGUCAUCGUCCACGUGGCAUAACACAUAGGCAAGAUUACGGUCAAACCAGUCUUUAGACCAGGAUGAUACAUUAAACCAAGUUUAAAGAUCUCAAUACGUGCUUUGUAAGUUCGUGGACAUAAUUGAAAAUUCGUUACAAGUUUAAGAACCGCUAGUAUAAUUUACUCAGAAAGAAAAGAAAGUAAACUAUCCAAUAUCCACAAAAGAUCCCCACACCUGAUCACACCCAGUUUAAGCGCCCACACGGCCACACUCCCCUGCCGUUCAUCACUCCCUCCCCAUUUUACCGUUGAGGUCGGCGACCUCCGCGGACGGUACGGCGGGACACUAGCCCGUCCCGAGGGGCAAUCCCGUAAUUUUCGCGCAGUACAGUGCCUCCCAGCGCAGUGGCUUCGCCCCACGCCCUACUGUUUUAAAUCCCCCUGCCGCUCUCCUCCGCCGUCUUCUUCCCCCCCUUCCUCUCCACCACCCCCGAUUCGUCGUCCACCACCGUUCGACGAGUUUCUCGCAGAUCGGGCGGGGGCGCGCCGGGAUGGCGUACAUGUGCGCGGACAGCGGCAACCUCAUGGCCAUCGCGCAGCAGGUGAUCCAGCAGCAGCAGCAGCAGCAACAGCAGCAGCAGAGGCACCACCACCACCACCAUCUGCCGCCGCCGCCGCCGCCGCAGUCGAUGGCGCCGCACCACCACCAGCAGAAGCACCACCACCACCACCAGCAGAUGCCGGCGAUGCCGCAGGCGCCGCCCUCGUCGCACGGCCAGAUCCCGGGCCAGCUCGCGUACGGUGGCGGCGCGGCGUGGCCCGCCGGGGAGCACUUCUUCGCGGACGCGUUCGGGGCGUCCGCCGGCGACGCGGUGUUCUCCGACCUCGCGGCGGCCGCGGACUUCGACUCUGAUGGGUGGAUGGAGAGCCUUAUUGGGGACGCCCCCUUCCAGGACUCCGACCUGGAACGCCUCAUCUUCACCACCCCGCCGCCGCCCGUGCCGUCCCCACCCCCCACGCAUGCCGCCGCCACCGCCACCGCCACCGCCGCCACCGCCGCUCCUCGACCUGAGGCUGCACCGGCUUUGCUCCCCCAGCCUGCUGCUGCGACCCCGGUGGCGUGUUCGUCUCCGAGUCCGAGUUCCGCGGACGCCUCCUGCUCCGCUCCCAUCCUCCAGUCCCUCCUGUCCUGCUCCCGCGCGGCGGCGACCGACCCUGGCCUCGCCGCCGCGGAGCUCGCCAGCGUCCGCGCCGCCGCGACUGACGCCGGGGACCCAUCUGAGCGCUUGGCCUUCUACUUCGCUGACGCGCUUAGUCGCCGCCUUGCGUGCGGCACCGGAGCUCCGCCCUCCGCGGAGCCGGACGCGCGGUUCGCCUCCGACGAGCUCACGCUCUGCUACAAGACGCUCAACGACGCCUGCCCCUACUCCAAGUUCGCGCACCUCACCGCCAACCAGGCCAUCCUGGAGGCCACAGGCGCGGCGACCAAGAUCCACAUAGUUGACUUCGGGAUCGUGCAGGGCAUCCAGUGGGCGGCGCUGCUUCAGGCGCUCGCCACCCGGCCCGAGGGGAAGCCAACGCGGAUACGGAUCACCGGCGUCCCCUCGCCGCUCCUGGGGCCGCAGCCCGCGGCGUCCCUCGCCGCCACCAAUACCCGUCUCCGUGACUUCGCCAAGCUCCUCGGGGUGGACUUCGAGUUCGUCCCAUUGCUCCGGCCUGUGCACGAGCUCAACAAGUCGGAUUUCUUGGUUGAACCUGACGAGGCCGUGGCCGUCAAUUUCAUGCUGCAGCUGUACCACCUUCUUGGCGACUCGGACGAGCUAGUGAGAAGAGUGCUUCGUCUUGCCAAAUCGCUCAGUCCAGCAGUGGUCACACUUGGAGAGUACGAGGUCAGCCUGAACCGAGCUGGGUUCGUCGACCGGUUCGCCAAUGCGUUGAGCUAUUACCGGUCAUUGUUCGAGUCGCUGGAUGUGGCAAUGACCCGGGACUCACCGGAGAGGGUGAGGGUGGAGCGUUGGAUGUUCGGGGAGCGAAUUCAGAGGGCCGUCGGGCCGGAGGAAGGCGCAGACCGGACGGAGAGGAUGGCCGGCAGCAGCGAGUGGCAGACCCUGAUGGAGUGGUGCGGCUUCGAGCCCGUGCCGCUCAGCAACUAUGCCAGGAGCCAGGCUGAUCUUUUGCUCUGGAACUAUGAUUCCAAGUACAAGUAUUCACUUGUUGAGUUGCCACCGGCGUUCUUGUCCUUGGCAUGGGAGAAACGGCCAUUGCUUACUGUGUCUGCUUGGAGGUGAGGGUAGUUUUUUUGGGAGUAUUUGGGGGAAUGUGUGGCGUUGUGAUAGAACCUGGGAGGAAAUAGUUAGGAGAAAUCAUUUUGCAGCUUUUGUUGUAGUUUCCUCCAAAACUGUGUUUAGGAUGAUUGGUAUAAUUGGGAAAUUUUAGCUGAAUUAUCUUGCUCGGUGUUUGUGCUGCUGAAUGUGUGCAUGAUAUUAACUGGUUAGAGAAAAAUUAGUAGUAGUUGUACAGAAUUUGGUAACAGGUUUUAGCUGUGGUAUAUUGCUUGCUCAUGUUACCAGGAUGAGAAAUAUAAAUCUGGAUGCAAUUGUGCAUUUUAAGUAACAGAAUCCAACCACAAGCAAUAUUUAAGUAAUUUUCAGCUCCUGAUAUGAUACUUUUUUGAACAUCUUGUAUAUUCAUAAUCCAACAUUUCAGUCCAUUUAUUUCUUUUGAAAGCAUCUGAUUGUAUCAAAGUGAUCUCUGUAGUUAUGCAUGUACUCCUGGUUUGUCCCUUCAGUAAUGAAGUGUUGUCUGGAACUGGAAAGACCUCUUCGACUAUUCUUAUGAUUUGAAAGUAACCUUAAAUUGUGUUUUUGUAUUUCAUCUGUAUUCAGUUUACCGAUUUUCUUCACAUCUGACAUGUUAUUUUCUUGGUAACCACAUUUUUUAAAGCUCAUGUUGUGGACUGCCGAUGUCUUGCAAUGCUUUAUAAACUCAGCAUUUUAACUUGAUCUAGAAGGCAGCAUCCUCUCUUUUGGCACUUGCCCUUUUCUUCCGGAGCUAAAAUUGCUGUACUUAUCAUCUGACUUUUGUGCAUCUGAACUUGAAAACACUGUCCUAAGUAUUCUUUGCAGAAGAUAUAUAGCAGCUGUAAUUUUCAGGCAGCAUACCUUUCUUGGAUUGAUUUGCCUCAUUUUCCUUUGUUGGAAGCCAUGCCACAUGAGUCGUGACUAACUACCAGAAAUUCAGAAUCAAGAGCAAACGGAAGUUUGCCUGCCCCAAAUUUCCUGUUCCCCACAACACACAAACCUGGAAUUCUAAAUCUACCCCUUGUCUGUAAAUUGUAAUAGCCUGAAAUUCACACUAUUUUGCAGAGUGAGCAUGUCUCUCUUUUAUGAAAAGUUCCCUUUGAAUGAUAUCAACCGUUCUUCCAACCGUUCGUGCUAUGAUCCUGUCGAGGUAUUUCUGUCAGGUUUAACUUCGCUGCAAUCUUAAAGCUUGGAAAGCUUUUUCUGAGUACAUUAGGCCAAACAGAGUACAGAGCACCAGUCAGGCCUGUUUUGGCAAGAUCAUGAACCUGACCACCAGAGAGCUUUUAAGUGUGAUCAGUGCUCGGAUACGCUCGACUCUCAGUUGCGUAAGUUCCCUGGAUCUCGUGGCCACUACUGGUUGUCGGGAGACGAAGGCCUCUGCUUCUCUCCCCACCAGGCACCAGGCCACCACCGGCACUGUCGCACUGAGCCAUUUUCUCUGUGAGAAGUGAAACGCUCAGAAGUGAAAUGGCUUUGUUUGAAAGAGCUUUUAGCCGCUGUAACUUCUUUUAAAAUCCGUAGCUCCUUCAACAGUUCAGAUUUUCAUCAAAAUUCUGAGAAUUGAUAGAUGUAAAACAUAGAAAUAAACUGAAUGUCAAAAGGUAGAAAGCAUAACUUUUCAGAUUUUCAUUCAGCUUCUUAUCAGCAUCUUGAACUACCCAUAGGUGCCAUUUCCACUAGCUGGCCCCAACCGUGCAGUGAUGAUUGUUUCAUUGACUAGUUUGAACAUUUGUUGCUCCAGCCACUGAUCUGGCCGUGUGUUCCUGUUACUUCAUGCAGUCGCUCAAUAAUGCGUUUAUGCCCAUGCUAGUCUGAUAGUAGCAGUUUCCUAGUGCUAGUGGCUCCCAUGAUUACGUCGUAAUCUAUCACUCUCCCUCUUGCUUUGACAAGUGAAAUCUCUUGACAGACUCCAUCCGUCCCCUAAUAUAAAGAAUUUUAACAUUUUGCUUGACCACUUAUCUUAUUAAAAAAUUUAAGCAAAUAUAAAAAACAAAAAGUUAUGCUUAAAAUACUUUGGAUAAUAAAGUAAGUCAAAAAAAUAAUUCUAAUUUUUUAAUAAGACGAAUGAUUAAACAGUACAAGCAAAAUCCCUUAUAUUAGAGGAUGGAGGGAGUAUUAAGGACUCUUUUGACAUAUUUGAUGUUUAGUCCGACGGUGUGCCGUUUACCAUUACCGCAUGUUAGCAGGGAUUCAGAUUGGAUGACAUGGGGUGAAUCUUGGCCCUCCGAAACAAAUCCAACGGCUGAGAUUCGUCCACGUCAUCAUGAGUAAAAGUUUUACUCCUAGUUAAAUUUUUACUCCUGAGUAAAUCUGCGAGUAAAAUGUUUACUCGUGAUGACGUGGAUGAAUGUCAGCCGUUGGAUUUAUUUCAUAGGGCUGAGAUUCACCCUAUGUCACCUUGUGACAUGCCUACCCUAUGUCACCCAAUCCCAAUCCACCUUAGCGGUAAGCACAGUUACUAUGGUAACUGGGUUUACUGUUAGGGUAGGGGAAUGUUAAUCGCAAAGUAACCCUUCCAAAUUUUGAAAGAUAAUUUAAUUUCUUGAUAAAACUUGUCUAUAUUUUUCACGGUUUGUUGUGGUUAUCACAGUUAUGAACUAUUAACUGUGCUUAUUGUCAAUGUCUGGCAAUCUAGCCAUAGCCAUACGGUUCAAAUCAACCGUACGGCUAUGGCUAGAUUUCGUGGAAACUGUUGAUAAAACUGAUAAAAACAGAUGAUAUCCGAACAAAUCUUGUUAUAAAAAAUAAAAUUCAAUUUGUUUUUUGAUUGACUAGAGAAACCGAGUUGUUUGUAUUUUCAACCCGGUUUUUUGUAAACCCAACCAGUGCCUCGUCCAUUGUGAGAAGAAAACACUAACGGUGUGACAGUGAGUGUUUAUAUCAUUAUAUAUGCUGAUUAUAUGGAGAAAAUUGAUAUUUAGCCAUUCUCGGGUUAGGGUUUCGCCAAAAUGCCAUCGCCGAAUGUGGCUUCGUUAUAAUGCCAUCUUCAAACGACUCCAUCUUGCCACACUACCAAUCUACCAUUUCAACCGAUUUUGAUUAUUUGCAAAUGUUUUCCACUGUUUUGCUUAUUUGGUUUGACCCAAAUGCCCUUACCUCAGCCAUGGGGCCCACUUGCCAGGAGCGUCUUCCACCUCUGCCCACCACCAUCCUUCUCUCUCUGGUGAACUCAUGCAACAGUGUUCUCUCUUGACCUCCCUCCUCGGUUGUUCUCGCCCCAAAUUGAAUGCAAAAAUCGGUUCCUCUUGUCCUCAUCAAUUCCCCCAACAAAUCCCACUCAAAUCAGCGUAACUCCGUGGUGUAUUUUGAAGUCCGACUUGAAUAGCAAGCUCCACCAUGACCGGCGUCGAUCUCUCUCCCCGGCGAGGUUGGAGAGCCUGCUCAAGCGGCUGGACGCUGCGGGUGGAGCAGGUCGCUGCCCACAUCGAGGAGCUCAUCAGAGAAGGGGGUGACGCCGUGGCGCGCGGUCCGGUCGAGCACUUGGUGCGCCGUGCCGCCGAGCCGAACCGUCAUCUCCGUCUGCACCGCUGCCUUCCCGUCCCCAGCCAUGCCGCCGCGUCGCCUUCCCUGUUCCCGGUCGCUGUCGCCACCGCCGACAACCUGCGGGUGAACCUGGUGAGCUAUGUUGUCGAGCUGGUGAAUGCGGCGAAGGGCAAGGUGAACAUGGAGUACAUGCGGUUGGUGGUCGACCUCAUGGUGAAGCGCGGUCGGCCGAAACUUCACGAUGGUUCGACGUGGUGAAGGCCAGGUUCGGUGACCUCAACUUCGGGUGGGGGAAGGCGGCGUAUGGCGGGCUGGCGAAGGGCGGGGUCGGCGCCAUUUCCGGUGUGGCCAGCUUCCUCAUCCUGUAGCGGUUCGGCAACGGUCCCGAGCUGCGCCGACGCCGCCCACCAUCUGCAACGAAGAGAGGAAUAGGUACAGAGAGAUGCAAUGGGAACCAAGGGUAUUUUGGUCAUCUUAGCAAGAAAAAAAUCAUUAAACUGAGAAGAGAUGGAUGAAAUAACAUUGCAACAUGUUGCGUCUGUUUGAGGAUGGUAUUUUAGCGAAGCCACAUUCGGUGAUGGCAUUCUGGCGAAACCCCAACCCGAUGAUGGUAAAAUGUCAAUUUUCUCGAAUAUAUGGGCCGUCAAGGAAGACCUCGAAUCCACGGCCCAUGACACGAUGGGCCCUCUCAGGUGGGUGGCAAUCUGUUCCAUCUUCUCCGGCUCUCCAGUGUGCUCUCAACGGGAAACAGGACACAGGCCUUUCUUUGGGAAACAGGAAAAAAAAUGCUAGAACCAGCUGCAAUAUCGCUUAACAAGGUAUAUUGGUGGAUCCAUUUCAUCCCACUUUAUGACCAUGCAAAUUGUUUAAGACAUUUUCUAAUUUACAAUAAUUGUUGGGCGAUCUGCCAUUUAUAGAUCGUCUUAAAUCAUUACAUGGAAAAUGGAACACCUACUUUCGCAGCUUCGCUUCAACAGAUCAAUGCAGCCAGGGCGUCAUUUUGUUUACCGAUGGACAAGGUGACAUGGGUUAAUCCUACGGGUAGAGGUGACAAACGGUGAAAUCUUACACGUGGGAGAAGGAGCCACCAUAUAAAAUAACAAGGACAGUCAAAUGAAACUGGUAAAAAAUAUACACUACUAUAUUAUAUAUAAGGGCAGUAGCAAUGCAAAGCUACGUCAAUGAGAAACCUCAUAUUGCCAAAUAGGAUGAAGCAAUUCAGAACCACACUUUCCAUGGUGCAAGCAGCUUGCUGUGUGACCUAAGAGUAGAUAUUUGCAUUUCAGUCCCUAUUACCUUUAAAUUUACAGUAGUACAAAAUUUUACACUCAACACCCUAAAAUCUACAUAAUAAUAUAUAAUCUCUCCCCAGUCCCCACCUACCGCCGAUUUCUCUCCUCUCCCCACCUACCGCCAUCUGUCCUCACACUCACCGGCGCCGGCGCACCGGGUGGGGAAGCCUAGAAGGGCGGCGGUCGAGGAGCUCCUUGGGCGGCACGGCGACGAGCUCCCUGGCGGCACCGGUCGCUGCCUCUCUGUCAACCCGUCGACGACGCCACCUCCGCUCGAGAUCCGCCACUGGGGCGAUGGCCGGCGGCGUAGAGAUCCACGAGCGGUCGUGGCAGGCGACGGUUGCGGUCAUCGACGGGCUGACGGGAGGGAGGCGCGGUCGUGGCGGGCGGCGGUGGCGGUCGUCGACGGGCUGAUGGGAGGGAGGUCGGCGACGGCGGCAGUGGCGCGGUCGUGGUGGGCCCCGGACGACGGCCACGCUUGGCGCCAUGGCUCUUUGUUCCUAUAGCGAGAUGCGAAAAACCAAUCAGAGCUAUGAGGUCUACUUGCUUUUUCCUCCACGUAGACGAGGUAACGCGCCAUAUACUUGCAUUGUGAAAGACCUAAGGUACCAAUCAGGAGGCUUAUGUACAAGAGUGAAAUUCAUUUGAAGCAAUCAAGAGGCUUCCAAACCUUCAUCAAUUUUUUUAUUUCUUCUAAAAAAAGAGGCUUCCAAUAUUUGGUUAGUUAAUCGACUGAUCAAACCAAGAAGAAAAUAACAAAUGAAGCCUCAACCUUAAGUUCGUACUGGAUUGAGUAACCUCUACAACUAUCUCAUCAAUGAAGUAGUUUCCGGCAAAAUUAAUGUGAGGUCGUUUCUUGCCCUGGACAGUGCACAUACUGAUGAUACGUUAUAGAUAUAUUGACUGGAUAUCUUUAUCUUUACCUACUAUAAGGAAGGCCCUACACGUCGGGCGCCCGAUGCUUCGGGGGAAAAAUCGGGCGCUGACGUCAGCGUUCGAUUUUACGUGCAAAAUUACUUUAAACUGAUUUAUCUCUUAAAUUACUUAUCCAAAUCAUGAUCCAAUUGCACCAUUAAAUUCGUUGCAAUUAAAUCUUCAAAACAAGACCACACAUGGAUAUAUUUUGACGAAAUUUUUUUUAGCUUAUUAUUGAAUUAUUUUUAAACAUUGCACGAUGUUCCACCAGAUAUAUCGGAAUUGUUUCACUAAGUAGAUCGAAAAUGUUUCACUCAUUUAAAUCGGGUGUUAUUUCACCUUAUAUAAAAACAAUGUUUCAGCAAAUAGCGAAAGAAUGUUUCAGUUCACUACACAUUAGAUCUAUACAUAGUGAAACAUUAUGACUACACUAGAUGAAACAUUUUUCGGUGGAACAAAAAAUAAACCAAAUUCCAUUAAUAGGGGGUUUCCAAAAUAUGUGGGUUUUUUUUGCAAUGGAAUGUUUCGUUCAGUGCAACAUUAGAUCUAUACAUAGUGAAACAUUGUGAGUACACUAUGUGAAACAUUUUGGGUGGAACAAAAAAUAAACCAAAUUCCCUUAAUAGAGAGUUUCCAAAAUAUGUGGGUUUUUUUUUUUACAAAAAAGUAUUUUAAUUCACAGCAACAUUAGAUCUAUAAAUAAUGAAACAUUGUAAAUAUACUAGGUGAAACAUCUUUUAUAGAAAAAAGAGGAGCAGAAAUAGGUGGGCCCAAGUAGUCACGUGGAGGGAGGGGGCGCGGGGGGAGUGCCCGAUCCAGCUCCCCCCGCGCCGGGCGACCAGCAAGGAGCAUUUCUAUACCUAAUUAAAAAAUAAGUAAGGCUUCCGGUUGAUUUUUUUGUCCGUCAUUAAAGAGUGGGCCCAUGUGAUUAUUUCGCGGCUAAUCUGUGAAUCCGGAUGCAUUACGGCGAUCUCUGACGCUCCGAAAAAAAAAAGAGAAACGAAAAAAAGAAAAACCUAGCGAGCAGCCCAGCCAAGACGGCAGCAGGCCGGCCCAACAUAAAGCAAACGCGGCCCAGCAGCCAGCCCACAGAACAGAGAAGCAGCAGCCCAGUACAGCAUAGUUAUGUGUGAUACUAUCUAUAUCUAUAACUAAUAUAAAUAUUCGUAUUUUGUUUUCGUCACAUCUAAUUUUCGUCCGUACACAAUCCGAUUUGGUUAGCAAUAGCCAUGGAAAAAAUUGCAAAAAAAAAAAAAUCCGCCGCACCCUGUCAUCGCUACACCGUGCCGGCGAGACAAGAAGGAGAGAGGGAGAGGGAGCGCGGACGUCGUCGACGCCGCCGUUGGGAGGGCGCCGUCUCCGCCGCACCCCGCCGUCACCGCGCUGUGCCGGCGAGAAGGGAGAGAGAAGAGAAGGGAAGCGGUGCUGGUGGGGGGAGAGACGACGCCGGUGGCAGGGGAGGCGGCCGGCUGGGGGGAGGGGGAGAGGCGGGAGAGGGGGAGAGGGAGCGGCGCCGCCGGAGGGGAGGGGAGGGGAAGCGGUGCCGGUGGGGAGAUGGGGAGGGGGAGAGGCGGUGUCGGGACGGGGGAGAGGGAGGCGGCCGGCUUGGCUCGGCUGGGGGGGAGGGAGGGGGAGGGGGAUGGUUAGGGUUAGGGUUCUCAUCAAUUUCAAACUGAUCUGAACCGUCCAUCAAAACGAACGGCUGAGAUCGAUCGAGGGUUUGGGCCGCACCACUUGGGCUGCACCACUUGGGACGCACACGGGCCGGCGGUCCACCAAGUGAGAGGAGGAGUAUGGGGGCAUUAAGUAGACUUUGGUCGCUUGCGGGCUGAAGAAGAAAAUGGGCUGAAAAAGGCUCAUAGAGAAAAAAUAAUUUUUAUUUAAAUAAAUGCUGAAAUGAUAUUUGUAUUAUCAAAAUUAGCAAUUAAGCUAUGUAAAUUCCAAGAAAAUUUCAAUGAAUGUAAUUAAUAUAGAAAAUUUAAUCCAAUCAUAACAUUUUAUUUCUCACACUUACUCUACUUAUAAAUUAAUUUAAUUAUAUACCUACUACUUAAAAAAUACCUAAAUAUGUCAGAAAUUUUGUAUUUCAUUUAAUUAGAAUUUAAUAUGUUUUAAUUCAAUUUUAUCUUUUUUCUUUUCGUUGCAACGCACGAACACUUUUGCUAUAAUUUCAAAGAGUGUAAUUAAUAUUGCAGAAAAUUUAUAUGUCAUUAAAUUAUAAUUCAUUUUCUUCAUAAAAAUAGUUCAAAUCAAAGUUCAGUCACCAUAUUAUUAUCCGGUGCAACGCACGGAUAUUUUGUUAGUCCGUAUAAAGAUUGAAGAUGUUUUUGCUGUAGCUUUUGGUACGUCAUCCGAAUUAAUCUCCGUGUCGAGUUGUUUUUCGCGUUAAUCACCGUUUCCGAUUUCGCAUUGGAUCACAACGCGUGAUGCGGAGGGGUGAAGAUCGCAUCAGACGUGCUUGUCUAACCGAAACGGGCUUGUGCAACAUCUGGUCCUGCCGGUUUGAUGCAGAGCCGGCCAGCCCAUUAACAGCCUAACCACGGCUUUCUCUGUGUAGGUCCUGUUUGGUCAGUCAAACAAAUCUAUAUACCUACCGGUAUUUUUUUGUCCAUUGUUUUUUUCCGUAUGCAUUUUUUUCGCACGGUCCAGCUUUUUUUCCGUCCGACCGGUUUUUUUUCGCACGUGCACGCGGUUUUUUCGCAGGGCCCAGUUUUUAUUCUGUCCGAUUGGUUUCUUUGGGCCCGGUUUUUUCCGGUCCGAAUGGUUUUUUCACGUGGUUUUGUUUUGCCAGGUUUUUCCCCAUCCAAUUUUUUUCCUUUUUUUCCAUCCUAUAUUUUUUCCGAUAAGUUUUUUUGGUGUGCACGGGAUUGAAUCCCAAAUCUAUAUAUAUACCAAAUUUCUACUAUUAUAAAAAUUAAAAAUGUUUCGCCGAUACUUUGGUAUGUCGUCCGUAUUUGAGUCACCUUGCAUGCUAAUUUGGGACAAAAGUCGGACUCCUAAUUAAUUUACAAUUCUCGCCAGACCAUAAGAAACUUUUGCAAAUACAUAAGGAGUCGUAUAAGAAAUCAUUUUAAAAACCUAACAUGCUAACUUGGGACAAAAGUCGGAAUCCUAAUUGAUUUAUAAUUUUCGUCAGACCAUAAGAAAGCAACGUACAAUAUAUGAUCAAUACUAUCAAAAUAAAAAUCCAUAUACUUUUAAGAAAUAAAGUCUAACAAUAAUACGAUUAAAAUAGCCUUCACCCGUUGCAACGCACGGGUAUUUUUUCUAUAUUAUAAAAAUUAAAUAUGUUUUUACCGGUAUUUUGGUAUGUCAUCCGUAUUUGAGUCAGUUUUUAAGUUUGUUCGCUUUUGAAAAAAUAUAGAUCCGUGUUAAAGUCAGAUUUUAAGUUCGUUUGUUUUUAAAAAUAUAAAAGAAGUCGUACAAGAAAUUUCUUUAAAAGAACUUGCAUGCUAACUUGAGAUUAAAGUCAGACUCCUAACUGCAACUCAUGAUUUUCUAAAAAAUAAAUCCAAGCGAAUUCCUAAAUGUCAUCCUAUCUAAACCGUAUAACAAUAAUAAUAUUAAAAUAGCAUUCACCCGUUGUAACGCACGGGUAUUUUUUUAGUCAAGUUUAAAAAUAUAUCUUUGUAUAUAUGUGUAUAGGACACCACCACCUAAGGCUUCUUAUAGGUAGGUCUAUACCUAUAAGACUAUAAGGUAUAAGAGAGUAUAUAAAUAUUUUUACUUUCGCAUGUACUGGAGCACACAAUUACCAAACGUUUGGGCCCGAGAGCACUUAAUUUCACUAGAAACACAAAAGCCCACGUAAAACAUCACAUGGCAAAGUAUGGCACAUGCUGUCCAUGCGAAGCUCCCGUUCCACCUCGUUUAGUCCCACCUCGGAAAACUAGCUUCAGACAGCGCAGCUUAAAUAGCAAGAGCGUCCCACCACCUCCAGCCGAGCUCAGCAGCGCGAGCUUGUAACCCGAGCGGGGGCAUUAAGGUGGUGUGGACGUUGCCGUAUGGCUGCGGGCCUGGGUUGGCAGUGCCAUAGAUGGCCCGCCCGUUCCAAGUUGCGUAGUUGGGCCGGCGGGGCUUGAGCGAAAGCUCUGGCCUCACGUUUCCCUAGAGUGGCAGGCAUUGCGUGAGGCUGGCUUCACAGAGCAGCGAAUACUGUCCGCUUCCAACGGUGGAAGGAUAACGGGCCGCCGCACUGCUGGCCCGCUUGGGUCUCGCAGCCUACUCCAACGGACCACCACUUUUUUUAUUAUUAUUUUCCCAUCUUGUUUGCCUGAAUUUACCUCUAACUGACUUGCUGCCACGCAUGUAGGCCGUCUUUACGGAUCAUGAACACGGGUAUUCUUGAGCGGUAAAAAUCCAACUUGUAUGUAUUUGUACACUUCAUUAUCUAAAAAAGAAUGUAUUUGUACACUUUGUUGUAAACAAUUCGAUGGAACAAAAAAAAACUAAAGCUGGUGAAUUUGUCGUUGAAUCAAGUCCUUUUUAGUUUUUUUUUAGUUUUGCUGAUUGAAGUUCUCUGUUAGGCAUAAUUGGAGCUUAUGUUGUUUUUAGAUUUAAUAUAUUUCAAUUGUUGCACAGACUGGGAUCGCAGGGAAACAUAAUUAUUUAUGCUAAUAUAGUAAACUGGGUUAACAGCAAACUGAAAGCAGCGGGAAGAAGAUCUCAAAUGGAAAGCUUCAAUGUGUUCUUCCUGUAGCCUCCAGUCUCAAUCAUUUAAAUACUACUCCCUCCGUUUCACAAUGUAAGUCAUUUUAGCAUUUCACACAUUCAUAUAGAUAUUAAUGAAUCUAGACAUAUAUAUCUAUCUAGAUUCAUUAACAUCAAUCUAUCUAGAUUCAUUAACAUCAAUAUAAAUGUGAAAAAUGUUAGAAUGACUUACAUUGUGAAACGGAGGGAGUAAUUACAAAUUUAUACUCAUUCUUCUUUCUUGAUGGAAAUGCCAAGUGUAAUACAGGCAGAGCAGCAGUAGUUCAUGGAGCAGGAGGCGUCAGCUUAUUGCCCAUUUUUCUCUUGUUGCUGCUUGCCGUCGACACGCUGAAGCUGUUGGUGUUGUCGUUUGACUUUUUUUAACAGAAAGAAUUUUAUUUAAAAUGAAAUUAUACCCGGCCUCUACAUACAUCCUAGGACUCACACAAGCGAAAAAAAGAAGAAUAUCCUGAGACAAACAUUAAUGUAUCAUGUCAUCAGAUCUUCUAGUCUCUGUUGCCAAAUGUUGAAGAAAUCAGACAAAAAAGGAGAGGCAUCAUUGCUGAAAAGGGGAUCAGCUUGCCUACUGAUGUCAAAAGAAACCGUGCCAUCAGCUCAUCAUCCAGCUUAUGUUGUUCACCAGAUCUCUUAUAAUUCUUGUCACCAGAUCCUUAGACCGGCGAGGAGAAGAACAUCAUAGUUUCUGAAGUCCUGCACUGGUGCUGCGCCACAAGGGACACAAGCAAACCUUGGUGGAUUGCAGAAAAGGUGUGAUUUAGCGAUCAGUUCCGUAGUUAGCUCUCAUAGGAUAAAAAGUGAUAGUAAUUAGUAGGCAAAAUUGGUUAUAUAGCAUCGAAAGUUCACGUUUUUGGUUUUAUAGCACCAAAAGUUACCGGUUCACUUUAAUAGCAUCCAAAGUUCACCCUGUUACCAUUUUUAGCACUUCCGUCAAUUUUUCUAUCCGUCUUGAUCGUUAUUGAUCCAGUCACACACAUGAUAUGACAUUUCUACCUCUCAUUGACAUGCAUUAUACUUGUACUUGUGAGGGGUAGAAACGUCAUAUCGUGUGUGUGGCUGGAUCAAGACGGACGGAAUCCUCCGUUUCACAAUGUAAGUCAUUCUAGCAUUUCCCACAUUCAUAUUGAUGUUGAUGAAUCUAAAUAUAUAUAUAUAUCUAUCUAAAUUCAUUAAAAUCAAUAUGAAUGUGGGAAAUGCUAGAAUGGCUUACAUUGUGAAACGGAGGGAGUACAUAUUUCAAACAUAGAGAAGAUGCAUUGCUACUAUUAUAAGUGCUUAAGAAACAAUGGUCAGUAAAUAUUCAGACUGAAGUUCUCUAAGUUUCAGAUAUGACAUACAUUACUUAGUAAGCUUCUCUUUUCGCAAAUUUUCUGUCGGAUUGCCCGAGUAAAAUUUUCUUUUCUUUUAUAUUUUUCCAAUGACAAGUAGUACUCGUACUUAGUGAGGUUAGAAGUAGACUACUCUUAUGUUCUUACGAUGAAAAGAACUUUUAAGGUAUAAUUUAGUGAUUGUAUAUACAACAUAUUGUGUCUAAAAAGUUCUCAAUAAUCAAACCGUUAAGAAUCGGAAGUACCUCCAAUCAGGGGGCAAGUUCAUCGUGGAACUUCAUGGUUGGUUUAGGGGAGGCCACCGCCGAGAGCCAGAGAUAAAAGAUGGUGUCACCAGUACUCCCUUCACUCCAAAAUAAAUUAAUCUGAUACAAAAUAAAACAUCAUUGAAUAUAAUGAAUUUGAACAAUUAUUCUAUUAUCUAAAAGAAAUGAAUUUGGACAAUGUUUAGUGGGCGCAAGAAAUCUGAAAAAUUGGCUUAUACUAUAAUUAGCUCGGACCAAAUAUCGUGAGCUUUUCUUUUCCUUUUUUUUUAUAGUUUACUCAUUCUCUAUUGAAUAAAGUUGGUAGCUUGCGCAUUAAAAAAUUUAGACAAUGUUUCGUCUUACGGACUAAGGCUAUAUUCUUCUCCCAUCUUUUCCAACUCACCUCUUUCAUGUUCCUUGCACACACUCUUGAAACUGCUAAACGGUACGUUUUUUUCAAAAGGUUUCUACACGAAAGUCAUAUUAAUAUAAAAAAAUCAUAUUAAUCUUUUUUUAAAAUAAUAAUAAUAAAAACUUAAUUAAUCAUAAGAAAAUGCGUCGCUCUAUUUUGCGUACGCGGGAUGUGAGUUCCCAACCUCACCUCCUAAACACAUUCUAAAUUUGUUUCUCCUCUUCCCCCUCUCGUGCUGGGAUGGAUAGAAUAGUCAUUAAUGAAGGUUGAAACUAAGUUUUCUAGUUUUUCCUUUUUGUGUUUGUGUAUAUUGUUCUGUGUGAGGCUCGGAGUCUAAAAACUCGCGCAUGUUUUUGGCAGUAUAUCCUUUGACAUAUAGAGACCGAAUUAAUGAAAAAUUCACUAUUAAAAGUUUUUAGAUUAGUUUAUUUUAGGAUAGGAGUGGAUCUAUAGUUAGCGUCAGCUUUAGGCGACCCGACGACUUCCGACAAAAACUAUGAUUAUACUUAUUCAUAUAUUAUAAUGAUAUAGUCUAAGUAUAAUUAGCAUGUCAUGGUAUCGAUAGAUCUAUUAUAAUACCAAUGAAUUAAUUUCUAUAUCCAUCAUUGUUUUAGGAGAUAGAGGAGAACUGAUAUGACCGUGGCAGAGAGGAAUGGAGCUGGGUUGAUGUGGAUAUCUCCGUGAUCGCUACACCAACACCUCCAGGUUCCGUACUACCGUCCAUGUGCCAAAUUGUGGCGCAAAACCGUACCACUCGGCCACUCCGGCUGUUUCCCGAACAAAAAAUUGUGGCCUAGCCUAGCGUCACCCUCACCGUCCUAGAAAAGCCUUGCGAGCGAGAGAGCGACACGACCCCGCCCGGCCGCCCCUACUCUCCUCCCCGCCUCACCGCGCUGCAGCACGCGCGCGUGGACGUGUCACCCCGCUCCGCUGCACGUGGCCAUAGCCCUCGCUGGCCACGCGCCCCCCGAGCCUUCCAGGCGCGCCGCUCUGCGUACGUGUCCCCUCCUGGUAGAGAACGGCAUCACGGCGCGCCGCGAAUUAUAAGCCGAGCACGAGCACGAGCACGAGCUCCCCUCUCAACGCCAGGGCAAAUGUUACAUCGCGCCUCGCGUCUUUACCCCUCAUGUACUCGCUUCGUUUAGCUAGCAGCGGCAGCACGGGACUCGGCUUCGCGCUCGGCCGGCUCGGCGGGAGGAGUGGCGGCGGCGGCGGCGGUGGUGGUUUAGCGCCCGCGUCGGCGUCGUCGUCGUCGGUGGUAUCCGCUCGCACGAGGAGGACCGUCUCCGUGACGCCCAACGCCGCGGCGCCGACUCCGGGCGAGCAGGGCGUCGCGAUGGAGCAGGGCAAGCAGCAGCACCAGCCACCACCUCCGUCGCAGCCGCAGCCGCAGCAGGAGAAGCGCGGCUCCCGCGACGACGACAUGCACAAGACCACAGGGUACGUACGCACGAGUACACUACGGUUUUGGCGUGAGCGGCUGCGUGCGCCGGAUUUAACCGUGGCGUCUGCGUGUUCGCGUGUGUGCAGGGACGUGAUGACCCACUCUUUCGGGGAGGGAUACUCGACGCGGUCGGACGAGGAAGGGUUCGGUGGCGUGUACGGACAGAACGACCCGGUGUUCAACCCUGGGACCGAGGUGCACCCCAGCCACCCUGGUACGUGCACUGCUGCUAGAUAAAAUUAACGAAUUUGCUAUAUAUUUAUCGAUAAAUUUCCUCAAAAAAUUUGUCAAGAUGCAAUUACAGUACAAUCGUAGUGUAAUUACACUGUAACUUGCAUGUAAUUACACUGUAACUAUAAUGUACAACUUGUAUGUAACUUUCAACAAUCUCUCGGUAAUAUGUUAUUUCAGUAAAAUAGAGGUCAUGGAAACAAAUCCUUUUAUAUAUGUGUGUGCUAUGAUUUUUUUUCUUCCUCACCAGAACAAAUCUUGUAAUAGAUCUAACGAUUCAAAAUUACGUGAAACUUAAAUACAAGUUACAGUGUAAUUACAUACAAGUUACAAUGUAAUUACACUACGAUUGUACUAUAAUUAUAUCUGUCAAAUUUUUAGUAGAAAAUUUGUCGACAAAUGUAUAGGUAGUCCCUAAAAUUAAUUUGACACAUCCUUAAAUAUCCGUCUUGAAAAUAGGUACAUUAAUAAACAUAUCCACUACGAAUCUUGAAUCUGGAAGGAUGUCUAAUGAAGGAUGUCUAAUUUUGUUUCGAGUAAUUUUAUAAUCUUGAGAAGGUACUGUAACGUAUCAAAAAUUAAAAUUUAGUGUAAAAUUUGAUCUCUUUAUAAUUUUACAAUAGAAAAGUGAUACCUCCUUGAGGACUAAAAUUGCCUUUUGUUUUGGUUUAUACCGAGUAGUUGGGAACAGUGGUUACAGGAGGGACGUGAACUUAAUUAUUAAUCUGAAAAUUUGGAUUUUGAUCUCUGUUUUGAUUAAUAACUGGGGUUGCUUUGGUUGUACUGCGAUGUGUGCAGAGUACGACACGUCGCAGGGGUCGGAGGUGAAGGAGAAGGAGAAGGCGCGCCACCAUAAGGACGACAAGCACGCGACCUAAGCCUAGCAGUUGGGGGCUGGAUUAGGUCCUAAUCGUAGUUUAGUCGGGCAUGACGGGGAUCACCCCCAUCAUCACCUGUGCAUCCACGUUGCCCUAUCUUUGAUGGGCACUAGUUGUAUCUUUUGCUUCUGAACUGUUUUGAUGCAUUUGUUUUAUUCCUUAGAUGUGAUGUAAAAUCUCUACAGUACUUAAUUAGCUAUGUACUGGUACUGUGAGUUCUCCAGCGCUUGUGUCUCCUGGUGUGUGUGAUCAUGUAAUGAUGAGUCGAUUCAUAUAUAUACUCCCUCCUCCUCCGUCAUCCCUUCUAUAGGAUUUUCAAAAAACAUCCCUUCUAUAGGAUUUGUAUAAUAAAUCUGUAAUAAAAGAGAUUUUAGGUGGCUUGGAUAUAUUCUGAUUUUAGGUGGAUUGGAUAUAUUCUAGUAUAAUUAAUUUAGGCAGAUAGUUUUUAAAUUUAUUGUAUUUUUAAAUUUAUUGUAUUGGGACGUGUUACGUUCAUAAAAAUCCCUUAUAAGAUCGAAACGGACAUACCAGAUGAGCUACGGCAGAUUCACAAAAAUCCCUUAUAAUUUAGGCUUAAGUGCGCUCCAUGUGAGGCCGCCGCUCUAAUUCGACCGACGACUCUUUAGGGCUCGAAGCUUCUGUAUCGUGAGCCUUUUGGGAAGGGACUCAAGGAGUGAUGGGCUACUCGCUAUAUUCUUCUCGAAAUACUACAUCCAUACUAAAAUGUAAUAAUUUUUAGCUAAACGUAUAACUUUUAGUUAUAAAUCUGAACACAUAAUUAUCUAGAUUCAUAGCUAAAAAUACAUAUUCAUAGCUAAAAUAAUUAAAUGUCCUAAAUGUAACAACUUUUAGCUAUGAAACUUUUAGCUAUGAAUCUGAACUUAGCUAUGAAUCUGAACGUGAACUUAGCUUUUUAGCUAUGAAUCUGAACUUAGCUAUGAAUCUGAACGUGAACUUAGCUAUGAAUCUGAACGUAAAGUUGUUUAUAUUCAUAGCUAAAAAUACUUAAAUUUUAGAUUUUAGGACGGGGGAGUAAGUCGUUAAUGGGCCUCUAUGACACCUAAGAAGCAUUUUCUUCUCGAAAUAAGUGGUGUUUGGAUAAGGGACUAAACUUCAGUACCUUACUCUGGCAAUCCAUGUUUAUGUACCGAGAGAAAAAAAUCACUGUCACGCAUCGAAAGUUUGGACAUUUGGUCUAUUAAAUAUAGACUACUUAUAAAAUUAAUUAUAUAAAUAAGAGCUAAUUCGCACGAUAAAUUUUUUAAACCUAAUUAAUCUAUAGUAAGCACAUGUUUAGUGUAGCAUCAUAUAGGUUAAUUAUGGAUUAAUUAGGCUCAAUAGAUUCGUCUCGCAAAUUAGUCUAGGUUAUUGUCGGUGACAUGGGACCGGGAGUAUCAUGACUAGAGCCUUGAGGCAGACACAAUCGCCCACGUGGCCUGGCACCCUCGGGGGGCGUCGGGCCCGAGGGUGAUGUGUUCGCCCUCCUCUUUGUCUCCCCGAGGGGGUCGGACCGCUCCCGCCUCGGCCCCGAGGGCCGAGGCGCCCCGACCCCUUGUGGGUUUUGCGCCGCGUAUAUGAGGUAGGUGAGCAUAGCGGGGCUCACCUAACCACAUUUAUUGCGGUUUGGACGAGCGCGUCACGCCGCAUGUAACGCAGUGCAGUGCGCUCGUUUAUCCGGUCAGUGACCAGUCACAGACCGAUCAGAUCGUGGGUUAGGUGGCGACAGGCGGUCUGACGCACGCCUCGCCCCAUCCCGUCAGGAUGAGAGCCUCCAAGCACUCGUCCCUAGCCGGAGCCGGCGUGUUAGCUCCUGGAGAUGGCACAUUGGUCCCGGUCAGAUAUAUACCAGGCUUCAUCCUAACCAUUACAAGCAAGACAUUGUAUGAAGAGGGGCGAACAUGCAGAUUGAUAAACUGACGCGUGGUGGACAAGAAUGACCGAUUUGUGACUGGUCUGACACUGGUCAUGUCGUCAGCAGACAGCCAUGUUCCCACGUCGCGCUUGCUUCCGGCGGAAGUGGAGGUAGGUAUGGGCCGUCCCAUCAGAAGGUCAUUCGGACGGCAAUCAUACAAAUCUCCGUCCAUUUAUGAAAAGAUAGGAUAAGUCCCCACAAAAAAGAGAGAGAUGGUGCAUGUGGUAUCCCCUUGAGGUAUAAAAGGAGGACCUUGCCCACUGAGAUGGGGACUGGACUUUUCCAAAUUGGGAACCCAGAACAAGGGAGAGGCUGGCUCAUACCUUGUAGCUCCUUCAUACGCAGAUCACCCAAAACACAGGAGUAGGGUAUUACGCUUCUCAGCGGCCCGAACCUGUAUACAUCGCCCGUGUCUUGUGUGUUUCCGGUCUAGCGAACCUUCCACAUACAGAGAGCUUAGAAUCUCACCCUGAGUCCCCGGCCGAACCGGCAAAGGGGGGCCUGCGCAGUCUCCCGGUGAGGAGCCUCACGCUCCGUCAUCUGGCGCGCCAGGUAGGGGGCUCUGCGAGGGAUUUUCUGAGCUCUCGCACUCUUUCGUGUGCGCCAAGCUUUUCCUGUUCAGCCCAAUGGCCGAGCCAGCAAAGGCACACGACCUCUCCCCGAGUAUGAGCGGUGACGACGGGGAGCCAAACCCACGCCGUCGACCUCGUACUCCACCGCCCCUUCCACGCCAAAGUCCUAGGCGGGAGAAGGCGCUCGAGAGGGCUCAAGGAUCCGCGACUUCGACAUCCACAGGAGGUGGAGAAGGGCGGCGAGAUGGGGAGCGUCGCCUCCUCAUCUACGGCGACGGCAGCACGCCCCAGGGCGCGCUCCAAGCUGCAGGCGCGCUCCUACAUCACCCGCCCGUCGCCCAUGACCCGGAGUCUCCAGCCCAACGUUGGCUGGACGAUUUGGCCAAAUUGGUCAUGACUGCACGGCAGCGCCUAGAUGCUGGUGGGCGGUCCUCCGCCACCAAGGCCUCUGGUGCUGCUACCACCGGCUCCGCGUCGUCAAGACGGAGGGCGCGGCGAGCGGCGGCUGUUGCUCGCCAUUUGGCCGCCACUCCUUCGUCAGCGCCUCCGACCCAGGAAGAUCUGCGUGGGGGGCCGGAUGCCCGCAUCAGUAUCGAGCGCCGGCGUAAUGGCCGACGUGCUGCCCACGCAACGGAGGGCGCCUCCUCGUCCGGAGUGUCACAUCAACACGGACGCGGGGAUCAGCCCUCCGUGCCCCCGGUUGGUGGUGUCGGCUGUAGAGCCUUUGUGGCGAGCCUUCGGAACGUCCGUUGGCCCCCAAGGUUCCGGCCCACCAUCGCCGAAAAAUAUGACGGGAGCGUCAACCCCGCCGAGUUUCUCCAGGUCUACACGACCGGGAUCGAGGCCGCCGGGGGUGACGACAGGGUCAUGGCGAAUUUCUUUCCCAUGGCCCUGAAAGGACAGGCGCGGGGUUGGCUAAUGAACUUGCCACCCGCGUCUGUCCACUCUUGGGAGGAUUUGUGCCAACAGUUCACCAUGAACUUCCAAGGCACAUAUCCGCGCCCAGGUGAGAAAGCAGACUUACAUGCAGUCCAGCGAAGGGAUGAUGAGUCACUUCGCUCAUACAUUCAGCGGUUCUGUCAAGUCCGCAACACCAUACCAUGCAUCCCUGCACAUGCGGUGAUCUACGCGUUCAGGGGGGGUGUGCGGCACAACCGCAUGCUCGAAAAGAUCGCCUCCAAAGAGCCCCAGACUACCGCGGAGCUUUUUCAGCUCGCAGACCGAGUGGCUCGUAAGGAGGAGGCAUGGACCUGGAACCCCUCCGGUUCCGGUGUGGCAGCUUCGGCCGCCCCCGGAUCCGCUGCUCAGACAGGGCGGCGUGACAGGAGGAGGAAGAAGAGGUCAGCCCAUACCGACGACGAGGGUCAUCUCCUCGCCGUCGAGGGUGCUUCGCGGGCCACCCGAAAGGGGAGGCCUGCGAGCGACAAAAAGAAGGAAGCCGACGCUCCCUGACCUCGGCUACUUGGAAGAGCGAAGGUGGCGCGCGGCCCUUCGAGCCGCGCGCAACCAGCAGAGCCUGCGGCGCUACCAUCAGCGCCACGUCCGGGCCCGAUCACUCUGCGUCGACGACCUCGUCCUACGCCGUGUCCAAACGCGUGCUGGACUGAGCAAACUCUCACCAAUGUGGGAGGGUCCGUAUCGAGUGAUCGGCGUCCCCCGGCCGGGCUCCGUUCGGCUGGCCACGGGCGAUGGCACAGAGCUGCCUAACCCAUGGAACAUCGAACACCUUCGUCGCUUCUACCCCUAGUGGGGGUCGGGUGUCAGGUCUUGGGCUCGGGCCAACCCCGCACCCCCCCGGGCGUGCAGGGUUGGCCGGGGGCUUAUCUUUUUUCUCUUCCGUAUUUCAAUAAAAGCAUUUUCGAUUUCCUAAAGGCUGUAUCUGUGCUGUUGUUUCCUUUUGAAGGAUCUUGACUUGAAAUAGGUCACUCGUGUUCAAUCCUGCCCUCGGGGGCUCGGGUCGGCUAAAAUCGCCAAACGGGGCCCAGAACCGAGCCGUGCCCCGGGACGUGGUGAACUCCGGGGGGGAAUCGGCAAAAACCCACAAUCGGGUCACCCAUAACCCUCGGUCACCACGCUCCCGGCCUGGCCAGUCUCGACAUGUGGAUCUCCCCAGGCACUAGCCUUGACCUGCGCCGUUUGAGGCUGGGACCUGGGCACGAGCCCUUGUUCAAGCCAAGACACAAAAGGACCGUGGCACAGACCAUCCUCGUCUCAUACACAGAACAAAUGAAAUUGACACAAAAAUUUCCUCUUUAUUUGAUUGCAGAUUAAAUCAGCCUAUAACAAGAAGAAGGCCCGAAGGCCUCGGAAGAAGAAGGAAAAGAAGAAACUAUUUAAAGAUUGGCGGGGGCCUGGGGGCUCACUCCGAUGCACCCGGGUCGCCAGCCUCGUCGCCACUGUCGGUUUUCCCUUGCUGAUGUGCGCGAUUUGCGACCACCGGGAUUCUGCCCGAAGAGAGAGAGAGCAGGGAGGAGAGGCCCCCGAGCCGAACGGCGGCCCAAGGCCCCCGACGGCCGGAGCUGGCUCUCCGCCUGCUUGUCCGACGGUGCCAGGCGCCCCCGACCCCCAGGAUGGCCCCGAGGCCACUGCGGGAAGGCCGCGCCUGUCGCCCUCUGACCCCGAGGUCGUCGGCACAGAAGCCGAGUGCGCCCCGCGUGGCCUUUCGGAUGGAGAGCGCCCUGGAGAUGUGGCCCCUGACGAAGAAGAUCGGCCCCGCCGAAAGGUGCAGCGGCCCGUCUACUUCGUUAGCGAGGCCCUCCGGGACGCCAAGACCCGAUACCCUCAGGCCCAGAAGAUGCUUUAUGCUAUCCUGAUGGCUUCGAGGAAGUUGCGCCAUUAUUUCCAGGCGCAUCGGGUCACGGUGGUUACGUCUUAUCCCCUCGGCCGAAUCUUGUAUAACCGAGAGGGUACUGGACGGGUGGUGAAAUGGGCAAUCGAACUCUCUGAAUUCGAUUUGCGCUUUGAACCAAGCCACGCGAUCAAGAGCCAGGCCCUCGCCGACUUUGUGGUGGAGUGGACCCCAGCUCCCGAGCUCGUCUCCGUCCCCGAGGCCAGCUCGAGCCCAUCGCAGCUGCCUCACACCGCCCUCUGGGUGAUGUAGUUCGACGGCACCCGUAGGAACCGGCCCUACCUGUCACCAGGCCUUAGAAGUGGCGUCACGCCCGACCGCUUCCCUCGGGGAGGGCGAUCGCCCUGGCAUAACGCCGGGGGCUACUGUCGGUGACAUGGGACCGGGAGUAUCAUGACUAGAGGCUUGAGGCAGACACAAUCGCCCACGUGGCCUGGCACCCUCGGGGGGCGUCGGGCCCGAGGGUGAUGUGUUCGCCCUCCUCUUUGUCUCCCCGAGGGGGUCGGACCGCUCCCGCCUCGGCCCCGAGGGCCGAGGCGCCCCGACCCCUUGUGGGUUUUGCGCCGCGUAUAUGAGGUAGGUGAGCAUAGCGGGGCUCACCUAACCACAUUUAUUGUGGUUUGGACGAGCGCGUCACGCCGCAUGUAACGCAGUGCAGCGCGCUCGUUUAUCCGGUCAGUGACCAGUCACAGACCGAUCAGAUCGUGGGUUAGGUGGCGACAGGCGGUCUGACGCACGCCUCGCCCCAUCCCGUCAGGAUGAGAGCCUCCAAGCACUCGUCCCUAGCCGGAGCCGGCGUGUUAGCUCCUGGAGAUGGCACAUUGGUCCCGGUCAGAUAUAUACCAGGCUUCAUCCUAACCAUUACAAGCAAGACAUUGUAUGAAGAGGGGCGAACAUGCAGAUUGAUAAACUGACGCGUGGUGGACAAGAAUGACCGAUUUGUGACUGGUCUAACACUGGUCAUGUCGUCAGUAGACAGCCAUGUUCCCACGUCGCGCUUGCUUCCGGCGGAAGUGGAGGUAGGUAUGGGCCGUCCCAUCAGAAGGUCAUUCGGACGGCAAUCAUACAAAUCUCCGUCCAUUUAUGAAAAGAUAGGAUAAGUCCCCACAAAAAAGAGAGAGAUGGUGCAUGUGGUAUCCCCUUGAGGUAUAAAAGGAGGACCUUGCCCACUUAGAAGGGGGAUUGGAUUUUUCGGAUGGAGAAGGAUCAGAGAGGGAGAGAGUAAGAGCUCUCUGGUUCUCCAGCUCUUUGUAGCUUCUUCAUACAUAGAUCCACCAAAACACAGGAGUAGGGUAUUACGCUUCUCAGCGGCCCGAACCUGUAUACAUCGCCCGUGUCUUGUGUGUUUCCAUUCUCGUGAACCUUCCACAUACAGAGAGCUUAGAAUCUCACCCUGAGUCCCCGGCCGAACCGGCAAAGGGGGGCCUGCGCGGUCUCCCGGUGGGGAGCCCCACGCUCCGUCAGUUAUGGAAUAGGUUUUUUCAAUAGUCUACAUUUAAUAAUUCUAAGAUGUGAUCGGGGCUAAAACCUUUUAAUCCCAUCUAAACAGCCCCUAAGUCUGGUUGCCAACCGUAAUAUCAAAAAAUUAAUUUAGGGUGUAACUUACAGAAUCAUAUUACAUUCAGUCUUGGAUAAGAAACUAUCUUUGUUCGGUCGGCCAAAAACCACAAUAGUUCCGGUUGCAAUAAAAACCCAGACUAAAGAUGGUUUUUAGUCCCAGUUUAUAAGCAGAACGGGACUAUAUGAUCUUUAGUCCCGGUUCACAUGUUGUCAUGGGCUGUCAGGGCUCUCCGGGAUCUUUAGUCCCUGUUGAAGUUACCAAUAGUGUAUCCGAGAUACACUACUGGAGACCGGGGAGGAGGGGAGGCAGCGGCGGCUGCGCCGGCCGUGGGCAUGAGAGGAGGACGGGCCGGCGGCCGGUAGCGCCGGAUUUUUGUCCUUUCUUUUUUUUAAGAAUUUGUGAUUCAUUGUAUUGAAAUGAAGAAUUUGUGAUUCAUUGGAUGGAUUGAGAUGUAUAAUUUCUUUUUUGAGAAUCUGUGGUCUGAGAUGUAUAAUCUCUGAUGUAUUGAGAUAUUACUUUGAUUUGGGGUUUGAUUCGGGGAUAUGUAUCUCACUCGAUUUGAGAGAAAAUAGUUAGGGAUUAAGUAGUAAGUAUCAAUAGAAACAAUGAAAAAAAAAGAAACUAACCGGAACUGCCUCUGCCUUCUUUAGUCCCGGUUGGUAAAGAUCGAUCUUUAAUCCCGAGUAUUUGAAUCGGGGCUAAAUAUAACGAUCUUUAGUCCCGGAUUCAUAGUCCCAGAUAAAAAACCGGGACUACAGAGAAUUAUAAACUGGGAGUAAAAACGAUCUCUCCACCCGUGAUAGCUGGUUUUGCUAGUGGCAUCCUAAAAUGAAAAGAAGAAAAAUAAAAAACAAGUAGAAGAUCAAGACUCACCUUCUUCUACUCUCCAACUCUUCCCCUCACCCCCACCCACCCCUUCGCCCACUCCUCCCUCUUCACGCCAACAAGUUGCACGUAGAUCGUUACCAACGGCCUCCACCUGGGGCACCUGUUCCAUCGAUCCCGCAUUGCCACCAUUACUGCAAGCUCGAGCUUGGCAAUCACCUUCCCAAGUGCCCGCCGAUCCUGCAUGGCUGCAUCGCCACCAUCACUGCAAGCUCAAGCUUGGCAAUCGCCUUCCCUUCACACGAUAGCUACGGAACAUAGCUGCCGAUCCUGCAUCGCCUUCACCACAGCUAGCUCGAGCUUGGCAAUCGCCUUCCCUUUGCACGAUGGAUGCGGAACAAGGAAGGAUGGGGACGGGGAGCUCCACCCAGAUGACAGUGGCGCCAGAGCAGAGGAGGCACUGUGGGCCGCUUUGGCGCAUCUUUGUCUUUUUGUCUUAUUAUUAUUAUUAUUAUUAGAAUUGGCGCAUCUUGUAUCGACAUCCCAUUUCUCGCAUAGUCGCCUGCCUUCCCUUCUUGCGGCGGGCGCAUAGAGUGGUGUAUCGUGGGUGCUCAUGGUGUCCGUUGUUUGUUCGAAGGACCAUUGACGUCCGGCCCCAGCACCAGGCCUGCGUCUAUCCCUUAGCAGCCUGCGCGGUAGUGUGCCAUGGCUCCAUGCCCUGAGAGGAAAAUGAAUCAUUGGCCAGAGUAAGGGACUAGGAGGAAAGAGAAUCCUGGCCAGAUAGCUACCACUUGCGGCCUUGCAAAUUUAUCACAAAGUGUAAUGGUAGUGUUAAGAUUUAACGCUAAAAUAUAUAGUUUUGCUAUAACUUAUUAAAGCUAUAACGUUAUGAUGUUUUUUUAAUAUGCAGUUCUAUGAUAGAUUUGCUAUAAAAUCUGUAGAUACGCCUUAAAUAUGUAGUAUUGCGAUAGUUUUGGUCAAAUUAUAUGUAAUUUUGUAAAAUUUUACUUUAAAUAUUACUUUUUAAUGUAUAAAUUUGAAUAUUAUUUUUAAUGUAUAAACUUGACAAUAAAUUCUUUGGAUUUUGGACAAUAAAUUCUUUGGAUUUUGGCGAUGUCAAGGGGAAAAAAAUCCCAUGUCACAAGCUUAAUGGCUCUUUUAAAAUGACAAAGAAAUUUAUAAAAUCUAACCAUAUCAUUUAUAAUAGAGUAAAUUUCACAAAACUACAUGUACUUUGGUCAAAUUAUUACAAAACUUUUGUCAAAAAAAUUAUUACAAAACUACAGAUUUAAGAUAAUGUAUCAUAGAACUACAGAUUUAACAAUAAAUUUAUCACAAAUUACAUGUUUAAGGCUAAGUAUCACAAAAAUAUAGAUUUAAUAAUAAAAUUAUCACAAAACUACAUGUUUUGGGAUUUAAAUCGUUAGCAUUAAUGUUAUGUUGGACUUAUAAUUGUUCAAGUUUUGUGAUUAAAUUGUAACUAAACCUGUAGUUUUCAUGAUAUUCCAUUUUAAACAUGUAGCUUUGUGACAAAUUUAGUGUUAAAUCUAUACUUUUAUGAUAAUUUGAUCAAAGUACAUGUAGUUUUGUGAAAUUUAAUCUUUACAAUAUUCAGAACAAACCUUUUAAAUAUAUGUAUUCCGAAAGGAGCAAUGCUAUACGUAAAUAUCUAUCUAAUAUAUUUACGGUGGCAGAGCCACUGACGUUUUGGCGGAACUUCUAAAAAGUAAAAAAAAAAAUUAAACCUAAGCGAUAAUUAUAUUCGACUUUUAAAAUACCAACGAUAAUAAAGAGAAGAUACAAUGGACGGCCGUAGAAGAGUAUAAUGGUAGCGUUUGACGGGACUUAACCCAACACGACAAUGAACUCUAAAAACUAUAAGAUCCAAUUUUUAAAAGUUCCAAGAAAAGUGAAUAGAAACAGUGAAAUAUCGAGCAAAGCAAGUAGGGAAUAAUAAUUGGGUGACUUUUAAAAACUAUAAAAUUAGAAACAUGAUAAUGAUAAGGUUUGAUAUUUUAAAGUCUUAAGAAAACGAGAUAUCUAUUUAAUAAAUUUUAAGUAAAACAUAAUAAAAAAUAUAUAAUUUUAUAGGGUUACUAGCCCGCGCAAGCAAGCUAGUUUUUAUUAAAAAAGCAAAAAGAUGUGAGAUAAUAACUUUAAGAGGUUUAUAAGGCCUAAACCUUCGGUAAUUAUCCACAUCGACGGAUCCUCAUCCUAAUCCGUUCCCUUUGUCCUGUUCCCCCAUCUUUUACACUGUUGCACUCUGCAACCGACGCAUCAACCUCCACCGCCCUUCUUCCCCGCCGUCCCGAGAAAGGAACCGGAAAAAAAAAAUCCCCAAUUCCCCCUACGCCGAGCAGCGGCGUGCCGGCAAUGUCCCUCCGCAAGCGCCAGCGUUCGGCGAGCAGCUCCCGCCUCAGCACCCUCUCCUCCUCGCCGGCUCCCCACACCGCCGCCGCCGCCGCCUCCGCCUCCUCCCCUCCGCUCUCCUUCCCCAACGCCGACCUCGUCCUCCGCCUCCACCUCGACCCCUGCCCCGACGACGACGCGGACCUCGACGCCGGCGAGGAUCACCGCCCCUCCCUCGACCUCCACGUCUCCUCGGCGUCCCUGCUCCGCUCCCGCUACUUCGCCGCUCUCCUCUCCGACCGCUGGAGCCCCGCCCCCACCUCCGCCGCGGGGGGGCACGGCCACCUCUCGCUGGCCGUGGCCGCUCCGCGCUCUGCCUCGCACCCUUUCCACGCCCACGUCGAGGUCGUCCGCCUCCUCCACACCCUCGACUUCGCCGGCGCCAUCCACUCGCCCGCCGACGCCCUCGACAUCCUCCCCGUCGCGCUCCAGCUCCUCUUCGACGCGUGCGUCGAGGCGUGCACGCGGUUCCUCGAGGCGGUACCCUGGUCGCCCGACGAGGAGGCCCGCGUCCUCGAGAUCGCGCCUCUCCUCCCCGCCGAUGAGGCUGCCGACCUCCUCGCUCGGAUCACGCCUCCCCCAGCCGCCUCCGCCUCCGCCGCCGGGGGCGAGGCCGCCAGGUCGCCCUCCGAGGCGAUGCUGCACGGCUUGAUCCACUCCGCCAUCCAUGGGCACCCGGUCCCCGCCGCAACCAAGGCGUUCGUCGCGAUGCUCCUCAAGGACUACCCCUCCCGUGACUGCGUCCAGAAGGUGCUCGACGAGGCGUUCCUGUCACGGCUGGAGACUGUCAAGGAGCUCAUGGGGAAGUAUGCCAGCCCGGAUUUCAGGGUCGCGGUGGACAGCGAUGAGCGGGACGCGAUACAGAGGCUGAACCUGCAGUCCGCGGUAUUGAAUGUGAGACACUUGCUCUGGCUCAUCGAGAGGAUGGUCGAAAUGAGGGUGGCCGGUAAUGCGGUUAAGCUGUGGAGUGAGCAGGCUGCACUGACUGCUGAUCUGCAGAAGUUGCUGAAUGAUGUGGAUAUGUGGAAGAAUAUUACUCCUGGGCUUCCUGUGCUUGUUACCAGAUGCACGCUCAGGUUCGCCAAUUCGGUUGUGAAUGGGGAGACAAUAGUUCCUCGUCAGGUUAGCCUUCUGAGCUGAUAUUUGCCUUGUUAUGAACUUGCAUCCACGAUAGUACUUAAUGAAGGUAUGCUGUGAUGCCAAGUGUUGCAUAUCUGUUCAACGAUCGCUUAGUUCCAAUCUGAUUAUUUCCUUCUGUUGCAAAGCAAAUCAAUAGGUUUGAGUUGUUUAGUACAAGUAUGUUACAUCUGCAGAAGUAAUCCAAUGCUAUAUUUUGACUAAGCCAUUGCUAUGAUUUAUAAUCGAAUGUUCUCAUGAGUAAUCAGUAGUUACUUGUGGUUGUGAUCUGGUAGCAUCAUUUAAAACAAUCUAUCUUCGGACAUAAUCAUCAUUUAUUUCCCAUUGUUUCGUGGUUAGGAUAAACAUGACUUAUGUACUGUUUUUGGGAACAAUUUUACCACGAGGAUCAUAGGUGUAGACAUUCCUUUAUAUUUUUAGUGCAAUAAACUAGUGGCUUUUUCUGGAUAGUUUGGGUGCAUACAUGUGCAUUUUUAAGAGUUCCAGGUUGUUGCUUGAAGUCUUGAGCAUUAGUUUGGAGUUGUUUGCAAUUUGCAUCCAGUAAACAAGUGCUAAAUCUAACUGAACGAAUGUCCAUAUGAGCAAAUAUUAUUUUGAAAGUAGUUAGUAGGCUAAAUUGAGCUUACCCAGAGUUAGUACCUAGAUAGUUAUUUCCAAUUCCCACAGGUUGUCAUACUUCUUCUAUGAUCAUUUUGUUCUGCGGACAGAUUUUUUUAUUGCUCCUCUGUAAUGUAUUCCAUGUUUCUUUUUCUUAGCGCUAUGCUUGUAAUCACUCAUGGUUUUACCAUUUUUAUGUAUGAUCAUUUCAUUCCAUGUUCACAGCUUGUUUGAUAGUUUCUUUGUAUUGACCUCUAUACUAUCUACAAUGGCUGUCUCUGGUUGGUUGCAACUCACUUUUAAGUGUGCCUGGAAGUUUUUAUGUGUGUAUCUGUGUUGGAUCAACUCGGGUGGGUCUAUAGUUUAAUAAGACAGUAAAACUUGAAAUAAUUGUAUCUUUUCAGUGUACAGGAGCAGAAAACUAGACAUGCAUCAAUCUAAAUUCGAUUCAUGUGGAAAUUACUGUGCAUAUCAGUUUGGUGGGUUCAAUAAGAUUUUUCAUUAGUAAUACUUUAAGAGGUUGAGUUGUGAGUUGGAUAAAGGUUACUUUGUUGUACUUGUGUUGUUGUUUAACUUGAUGGGUCUCUAUGAGUAAAAAAAGCAUAUGUCCCUGCCUCCUCAGAUAGCCAAGCUCUCAACUGCGAGGCCUUUGUGUAUAUGUUUUUUUUCUUCUCUCUGGCCAGGCAGAGUUGGUCUAAAAGCAUUUGGCAGAUGGUAGGCCAGCUCUUUUAUGAAUAACUUUGGCAAGAAAAGCUAGCAGGUCAUCCAAAUGAGAUGGGUUUUUCCCGUAGAUCAGUGUAUUAAAGAAAUGCUCAGAUCUGCUAUUGUGCUUGUCUAAGUACCAUGUCAAUCCACUAGGUACACAAUCAACAUCUAGUUGUAUGAUGGCAACAAUGACAAGCACAUUUUACAACCCUGAACUUUCAUGAAUAUAUGCACAAGAAUUAAAAAGUAAAGCUCAACUCAAACUAUACUAUCAAAUUAUGAACUAUCAGAACUGUUCAAUUUUCAACCAUGGUACAGAUAGUUUUGGUUGACAUAACAUUGAUGGUGUGUGGCCUGAGGCUGAGACAGUUUUUUUUGGGACUCAGCUAAUCCUCUUGAUCUCUGGCAUAGCUGAACACACAAUUUUAUCUGAUGAUAUCCUUGUAGCUCUCUGUCUAGUAUUGCCAGAUUUUCCAUGGAGAGCUCAUACUACAUUAUAAUACACGCUUGUAGCUUUGUUCUUGUGUUUAAUUGGGUCUGACAUAUAUGACAUUUCUGCUUCUCAGGUGAGGACGAAGCUUGUCAGAAGUUGGCUUCCUGUCCUAAACGUCUGCAGGAACAUGGUUCAGCCUAUGCAGUGUGGAUACAAGUCACCAAAUUGCCAAGAGCUAGAGGAGACAUUUCUUCAGAUCAUCUCCACCUUGCCUGUCCCAGAUGCUCAGGAGUUGCUGCAACAGUGCCUCGGGUUCUCGACUCGCAACGUCGACGACUGCCCGCACUUGAUCGCAGCCUUCAAGACAUGGUUCAGGCGUGCUGGCCGGGCUCCUCAAGGUGCAGAAAAUUGAGAUGAGCGCUGCAGCUAGUGUCUGCCAACAGUGGGUGCUGUCUUGUGCGAAAUCUCACAUCUAGUUCAAUGUAGUUCCUAACGCUGUUUCUGUACAUUGUUGUACUACCUACCCUAUCUAUUGCCAUGUAAGGUAUAUGAUAUGUACAUAACAACAUUUUUCUGUUCGUGUGAAACAUGUUACCCAAGUGCAGAUGAAUGAUGCACUAAACUAACUAUUCACGCGUGCAAUGUUCUUCCCUUCGGAAUGUGAAUAUAACUUGACGACAAAUGUAUAUUCAGCUGAUGAUUUCUUCUGUUUAUCUGCCGCAAGAACACUGCAGUCCAGUGAGUUUAUCGGUUUCUCUUGUCUACAACUGAGAAUUGCGGUCCCGGUGUAUCACUCAAAUAAGCUCAUAUUUUGUGUUCUGCGAGUUUCAGAAUUCAGACCAUUCUCUUCAAAAGAAUUCAGAUAGUACUACUGAAUUGCUCGUGCUAUUCUCUCGCCAACGUGGCAAAGCAGUAUCCUCUGAUCUGGUUUAUUAAUUCUUUCUCGUUUGCUGGAACAUUUAGUGGAGAACAUGACUAAGUUCAAAAGUCAGAAUUCGGUUUCUUCCUCAUUCCAUUCAGAAUUCUUUUCAUAUAAAAUAGCUGUGGUAAACUCCUAGUCUCUGCAGCAACUAAAGUCUCCCCUUAAAAUAUAGGAUUCAAAUCUGGAAAGAGGUCUACGCACGAAAUGUCACUAUUUCAGCACAAGUCUCAUGUUCUACGUAAGACCCAGAAUGUUUAGUUCUAGAAGGGACAGUGAUUAUGGAAGUUGUUAUGAACCUGAGUUUUAAUCUAAAAGGAGAUUAAAGAUUUAAGACGCUCUCAUCUUUCACUCGCCAAGGACACGUUUUCUACAUUAUUACAGUACAUUACGUUGGGAAGGUUGAUACUUAGCCCAACCCAAAAUACAAGUGGCCAAAAGCAAGCCAAAUUUGAGAGAUUUUAUCUCGUCGUCUUCCUUCACAUCGACAUUACACAAAGGAGGAGGAGAAAAAACAGAAAGAAAGAAAAAAAUGGAAGAAAAAUUGGAACGAAGAAGAGGAAGACACGAGUGACACGCCAUGAAUUCUAGCACCGAAUUGUACACAUGUGCGACGAGCUGCGGCGACGACGAGCCGACGGGACGGUGAGAGCCAUGGCGUGCAACGGCGAGCUAGUAGAAGCCCUGCACCGGCCACCGGCGGUCGGGAUCGGGGAGCCACGACGAGCGCUUCUUCUUCUUGUCCUUCUUGUCCUUGCUGCCGCCGCCGUCCUCGCCGUCGACCUCGGCCUCCUUCUCGCCGUCGGAGCUCUUGGAGUCGCCGUCGGAGGAGCUGCACCCGGCGGCCACGCCGCCGCCGCCUCCUCCGCCGCCGGACUUGUUCCUGGACCGCACGUACUCGAUGAGCCUCCACGCCGCCGGCUUCGGCUGCUGCGACCGCGGCGGGGACGGGGGCUCCUUGGCCGGCUUCUGCGCCUUCCGCUCCGCCGCCUGCAGCUUCGGCGUCCCCGUCGGCGUCGGCGUCUGCGGCUGCGGCAGCUUCUCCGCGGGCGGCGCCGGGGCGUCGCUCUUCAUCAGCGGGUCCGCGUCGUCGGGGAGCCGCGCCGACUGCGACAGCCGCUCGUACUCCGGCAGCGGCACCGUCUCCUCCGACGACGCCCCGCCCUCCUUCCCGCUGCCGACGCAGUCCAUGAGCAGCAGCUGCUGGUGGCUGCCCCCGCCCGCCCUCCGCCUCUGCCGCCGCGCCCUGAACCUCGAUCCCCUGCCGCUUCCGCCGCCGUAGCGCUUCUCCUCCUCCAGCUGCUGCUGCUGCUGCUGCUCCUCCUCGUCAUCUUCCGUGUGAACCAGGACGUCCAUAUUUAUCUCGGCUACUGGCGCCACAAACCAUGCACCGUCUCUCUCUCCCGAUCUCGCGAUCUCGCGUUGGGAGUAUAAAUUUUGCGCAAGUGAUGAUGGGGGUGCAAAUGGAUGGCGAGAGAGGGAGGGGGAAUGGGGGGAAAAGCUGGGGAAUGCCAAGUUUGACAAGGAUUUUUGGCUCGCGAAAUCGCGUUUUUAUUCAAGCGUGUGGGCGUUUGACCCGCGCGCACGGAGGUCGGGGUCGUGGUGGUGGUGGUGGUGGGCGCCGUGGCGAGGUGAUCCAGCCACGCGCAGACGCGCCCGCUUGGCUCGCGUCGCGUGCCGUGGCGUGCGCGUUCGAGGGCGGGGCGCGUAGGUGGAUUUGGACAGUUUUGACGGCGGAGAAACGGCAAGCCAUGGCCUUCUUUACUUGGUGAAAAGAAAAUUUUUUAGUUACAUCAGACGUGACCGGAUAUCAGAAAGGGUUUUUAACACGAAUGAACAAACUAAUUUCAUAACAGCACAUGUGGUUACUGCAGCACUUAUGGUUAAUCAUGGAUUAAUUAGGCUCAAUAGAUUCGUCUCGCGAUUUCCAUGUAAGUUGUGUAAUUAGUUUUUUUAUUUUAUUUAUAUUUAAUGCUUCACGUAUAUAUAAAAAAGUUGAUGUGAUGUUUUUGAAAAAAAAAUUAGAAACUACACCAGGCCCAUAUCGUGAUCAUCAGAGAGGCCGGGUAGUACACAAAGUGUGCGUUAACUAGUGACACUUGCGAAUUUCGGGAGGAGGCAGGAACGAACUUGGUCAAGUCCUGAACUCUGACCGCAUUAUAUCCCAGGUAGUACUUCUGUUUGUGUUGCAAAUUUAUACAAAAGGGAAUAUAAAAUCACAUUUCAAGUUUCAACACAUCUCACUAAACGACAUCCGCUUCUCCGCUUAUCAGCCAUAACCGAAAUUUAAGUUUUAAAUUUCAUUUGUUAAUUUUAGAGUUGAUUUUGAGGUUUUUAUUAUUGUAGUUUAUUUUUAGCAUUGACUUUUAACCAUUGGCAACACAUGCCUAUAAACUAUUCUUUAUUUGGUUUAUUCAUUUUUUCCAUUUUGUAUUCACGGUAGUUCAAACAUCAGAGCGUUUAGUAGAGAGUUAAAACCGUCGUUUUGUGAGACGAUAUGUGAAAAUGAAAUGUAGAUAUAUAGUUUUGUGAAACUAAUUUUCAAAAGCGUAUUUUUCUUUUAUUUUUUUUUCAUUUACAACGUAGACUAAUGAAAGGGGUAAAUGACUAAUAUCAUGGACUGCCUAUUUUUUCCACUUCACAAAUAUUGCAAGUAGAGUAAAUAAUUACGUAGAAAUAUAUUAGUGAUGGUUAUGUCAACUAGGUUUAACAAAACGCGGUUUCCGUGAAAAUUGGACUUUUUGAACCGGCUCGGGAAAAAGUGCUCGGUUUUCACUUUUCAGUUGAGUUAAAAAAAUAGAUUGAAUUUUAGAACUUUUUUUUGAAAUUUUCUGACAAAUUUCACCAUUAGUCAAUGGUUUUCGUGAAAAAAAGGGAAAAAUCUUUGGUCCCUUUCUUUAAGUGAUUCGGUUCAUGAACCUGUUGUCAAUUAUAUAUAUGUAAAUGGGGAGAGUACAUAUACCACCUCCGGAAUUAUCGACAGUAAAGGACCACUCGCCUUUCACCCCAGUUGCAAAAUACAAACAUAACAAAUUUCCAGUUGAGCUAAUCAAAAACCCUAUUUUGUACGAUCAUUGGAUCUAGACAGAAUGGAUCAAAUUAAGCACUCCUCGAUCGCUAACUGGCCACUCCACAUGACGGUGGUCACGAUCUCUGGGGACGCCUCGUGUCGCUAAACAAAUGCCAAAACCACGAGACGAUUAUCUCUCUAUAGGAUCUGGUAAUCUGGUAUUUCUAGUCCUCCAACGCUAAGCCGAAACUAUAUUAUAGUUGCAUAUGGCAUCUGCUUGGAUUAGACCAAGCAGAUUAAGAAAACGAGAAAGGAUUUUACGCGGCGAGUCGGCGUCGAUGCAGGCAGUCGAUGCCGUGCUCGCACGCUGGCUUCGCUGCCUUUACACGCCACAAGGCCCACUCUUGGUCAAUAAUGUACUGAUCUUAAGACUGAAUUAAUAGGGAAAAGGAUCUCAUAUGCUUAGCAUGAUCAGCCUCGUUAAUCGCGUAGGAGUACUAAUUAAUCACCCGGCCCAGUUCGUCAUUGUGUCCUGAAAAUUAAAGAUAACUGUAGCGAAGGCACAUCUGAUCGGCAUGAUGAUCCUCUCCUAGAUUGGCGUAAUUAACAUGUAAUAAUCCCCGGGGAAUGGUACGGUUGCAGGCUGCACUCCGUGCAUGUAGCCCACUGAAUCUUGGGUGACCGGUUUGAUAAGGAGUUGUUGUCCCCCGUAUUCACCGGCAGGCAGAUUAGUUUGAUGCUAAACACGCCGGAGAUCCGCUGUUGGACGGCGGCAUGUUCAUCGUUGCAAGCGAUUUGGUUGGACCACAUCACUCGAGCCAGCUGCCGGUAGCAUGUGCAUACAGCCAUGCACACGCAGCUUAAACCUUGCUUAGUUAGCGAGAUGAAAGUUAACUUUGGAGUAGUAACCAACUUAACCAUGAGCUAGCUAAGCUGAUGAGCCGUGUAUACAUACAAUUUUGGACGUUGGAAGCAACAAAGCAAACCGAUCGAAUAGAUUGUAGGCAGCAAUCGACAUGAUGCAAUCACACUCGUGGUCCUUGCCGCUUUGCUUCGCGUCUCACCGCGUGGGUGGUCGUAGGCCUAGUCCACGCCGGUCGCCGGAGGCGAGACCGAGAGGCAUCAGUUGUCUCCCGUAAGGUUGUGAUCGAGUUGAUCAAUUAUAGAUCGAGUUACCUCCCACUUAAGUCUCCUGCACACACCUUGGUCAGGGAUCAGCUUCCGUCUUCCGGUUGUAGUACUUGUCCAGCGUACGUCUCCCUCUUCGCCGGUGCCUGUCCGACCAAUUCACCUUCACCAUCCAGACCAUCGUCCCGGCGCGUCAUUCGGGCUCAACACAAGGCUGUUUGGUCGCUGGUUGCGAUCCGUUUCGGCCCAGUAAAUAUGGGCAUGCAGCACGUAAGAAAAAGAUGAUCGAGUAUGUUUUAGUAUGUUUUAACAUAUUGAUCGAAUCAAUUUGUAUCUCUUAACUGUCAUUGAUAUGUGCCUGCAAGGAUGUAUAAUAAGAGAGAUUCACCAAGAUUGGUAAAUUUCCGUUCGUCGCACUUAUUUUCGUCUGCCAAUUGUUCGAUUCCUUCUCCCCUCUCGCACGUGCGUGCGUGACGAAAUACAUGUCGCAUCAUAGUACAGCAGAAAAAAAAAGAGGGUUUGGAUAGGGCUUUAUUCCUAGGUCGAUAAGAAGCGGAUUUGCUCAAAUUCUUAGAAAAACGGAAAGAGGAGGAAAUAAGGAUUGAAACCCCUCAAUCAAUCUAUCUAUUAUAUUAUUAAAACAGCUUUGAAAGGAGACACCACGUUCGCUGUGGAGACUAGAAAAUCCCACAUUAAUCGAAGAAAAAGAAAAAAAAAGAAAAGUAGAGUUUAAGUAGAAGUACAAUAUUAACUAAUUUUUUUAAAAAAAAUAAAUUCUGAAAUUAGAAAAAGAAAAAUAAGAUUUCAAUUAGGAAUAUAAUUUAUAACUAACUAAAAUAUGUGAUAAAAAUAAAAACUAUUGAAAGAAAAGACCAUAUAAAACACAUGACGAGAUAAAUUAAGUAACAGGCCUAUAAAAGAGUAGAGUGGUGGCGGUUGAUAUAACAUAUAAAAAUUGUUAAUAAAACACCAAAUAGAAUCCUAAUGACGAUUAAAAGGAGGGACAUUAGGCAGGCGGUGAAGCUAACAAAUAAGGCGGUUGCUGGGACUUCUAGAAAGACAAAAAUACAUUGAUAAUCAUAUUCGAUUUUUAAAAUUUCAAUGACAAUAAAAAUGAGAAGCACCGGGCAGGGUGUAUAAGAGUAUAGUUGCAGAGCCGCCGACGGUUGACGGGACUUUUAGAAAAUAAAAAAUGAAUUCUAACGAUAGUUAUGUUCGAUUUUUAGAAUCACAAUGACAAUUAAGAGUAGGCGGCGGACGGGCUGUACAGGGGCAUAGUGGCAUCGUUUGAUGACUUCUAAAAAUUAUAAAAAAAUAAAAUUACAAGUCCAAUUUUUAAAGGUUCGGAACUUCUAAAAAAUAAAAAAAACAAUGAUAAUCAUGUUCGAUUUUAAAAUCUCAAUGACAAUAAAGAAUGGAGGCAGCGGACGAACCGAAGAGGAGUACAAUGGCAAAGCCACUAACGGUUUGGCGGGACUUCUAGAAAGUAAAAAUGAACACAAACAAUAAUUAUGUUCGAUUUUUAAAAUCUCAAUAUCAAUAAAGAGAAGAGACAGUGGACGGGCCGUAGAGGAGUAUAAUGACAACGUUUGACGGGACAUCUAGAAAUUAUAAAAACGAAACCCAACGUGACAAUAAACUCUAAAAACUAUAAAAUCUAAUUUUUAAAGGUUCUAAGAAGAAUAAAUAGAAAUAGUGAUAGAUCGAACAAGCAAAUAAAGAAAAAGAUGACAUAAGGAGUAGCAACUGGUGUGACUUUUAAAAACUAUAUAAUUAGAAACACGAGAAUGAUAAGGUUUGGUCUUUUAAAGUCUUAAGACAAUGAGAUAGCUAUUUAAUAAAUUUUAAGUAAAAUCAUACUAAAACAAUAUAUGAUUUUGUUUGGGUGCUAGCUGCGCAAUUGCGCGGGUCACCCAGCUAGUUAUCUCCAAAGAUACGAUCGGAUUUCACAGAGGAGGUGGCUUCAGGGAGGCAUCGGGAAGAUGAGGAACCUCGACGGAGGUAGGGGAAGAUACUGUAGCGAUGGGUCCACAACACAGUUAGAGGACAUGGGGGGAUUAGUAGACUUUUGGUUGCUUGCUGGGCUGGAUACGUGAUUGCGGGCCGAGGCCGACGGGAGAGGAAUAAGUUCACUUGAGAUCCCUCAUGUUGACGUUGAGUUUGAAAUACAUCCCUAAACCGCAAAAACCGGGAAGAACGCAUCCCUCAUCUUUCAAAACCGGUGCAAAUAUAGUCCCAAAGGCCAAAGCAGUAUUGAAGAUGGUUUUAGGUGACGUAGCGCUGACAUGACACAAUAAGCAAAAUAAAAAAAUAAAAACCACAUAGGACCCACAUGUAACUAUGUAAGGGUGUGUUUAGUUCACGUCAAAAUUGAAAGUUUGAUUGAAAUUGGAACGAUGUGAUAGAAAAAUUGAAAGUUUGUGUGUAGGAAAGUUUUGAUGUGAUGGGAAAGUUGGAAGUUUGAAGAAAAAGUUUGAAACUAAACUCGGCCUAAGUUAUAUUCUUUUUAUCCCCUCUCGCUCCUGUCAGGCGGCGGCCAUUGCUGCUCCGAGCAAGGAGCAGCGGAUAAGAGCGACGGCGGGCAGGGCAGGGCGAGCGUCGACACCUCGAUCUGGGUCACCGCCGUGCUUGUCGGCAACCACGAGGAGAGGAAGGAGAGGGGGCCAAUAUGUGUGUUGUUGAGGAAAAAAAAUUAUGCGUAGACCGGCUGCAAAACCCGCAGCGUGCAUACCCGACUUAAAUGGGCGGCACAUGGACGAGGGAGCAAUCCGACGGCGCCCCUGCGCAGCUCCAUCCGCACCAAGAGAAGGCUCAGCUCGCUCAUGUCGACUCCCACAACCAAAAGCGCGCAUCGAGCCGAGCGUGAGGAAUGGACUGGCUCUGGCUUAGCGACUCGCUCGCAUCCUUUUCUUCCGCUUUUCUUUCCCCCGCCGCCGUCGCGAUCUCCUUCCCCAUCUCGCCUCAUCUAUCUGGAUCGUCUCUCCUCGGCGCCGUCGGCUAGCCGGUAAUCCCCUCCGUUCAACAACCGAUGCGGUCACCUCUCUCGCCUGCUACCGUCGUCGCCGCCUCCCCUGUGUUCCCCUCCGCGCGCCUCCCCCCUGGCUACGGGCGCCAUUGGUGACGGCGGCGGCGGCUGGGUCAGCUAAAGCGAGCACGAGGUGUGUUCCCCUCUACCUCCCUCCUGGCCAGGGGCAUCGGGCGCCUUCGGUGAAGGCCAUAGGCCCACAGCGGCUGGGUUGGCGAGGACGAGCAGAAGGCUAUGGAAGAACAUGCAUCGAUCUGGACUGCAAAUCUGCAAUGCAACGCGUCGCCGGAAGUCAAGCAACGAAGAAAGUAGUAGUUGAUAUGUCUGAUCAUUUGCCCAUGUCUCUCUGUCUUUCAUCAAAAUGCUGGGGUGUUGGUUUCUGCAAUUUCGCUAUUGUUUAACCAAAUUAGUUCCUCAGACCUCAGCUAGUCUUGCUGAAAGUGAUGGGAUGUAUGAUGUAUCGCUCGCACUGAGUGGACUGUUUGCAGCAAUGACAAAAGCUUAUGAACUAUACGGCAUCUUUGGUGUUAUGUAAUCUAGAAUGUGAUGGAUUGAUGUGUAAAAAAGAUUGUGAUUGUUUGUCUGGUUCCUUUCAAAUUAAAAUGAAAACUGAAUUAUGUAAUCUGAAAUCUUGAAGGUCAAACCUGGAAUGUGAUGUCCAGAAGAUAAAUCAUUCUCAAACAAUAUUGUUGAUCAUGCAUAAGUGUAACCAGAAAGUAUUUUCUAUACCUGGAGGCCAUGGCAUCUAGGCGUAUGCAUGUAAUUUAAUCGCUCAUCUAGUUAUUUGAUCGAUAGUCAUGUUUCUUCCUAUUAGUUGAUCUGUGACUAUAUAUAUGCUAUAGAUUGCACAAGCUAGCUUUGAUCAUUCCUCAAGUUGGAUGGCUUUAGAUUUUAUUUCCAUUUACAUGUUGCACUAUGUUCCUUAACUGUACUCUUUUAUUAUGUUACACCAUAAUUUAUUUUCAUUCGCAGUGUCUUCCAGAAAAUACUUUCGAGUCGAGCAUACAUGUAUUUGUAUUUUCUGCUCCUCAUCGGCUCCACGAUCCCAGGCGACUACGUCGUUCGCACGCACAGGUGAGAGAAACGGGUCCACUACGGCAGGCGAAUCCCGGCGGCUAGGUCGACCUUCUCCUGUCUUCGAUCUGGCGCUGGAAGACGAAGCCGAAAAAAGGUCGCUUUUGCUGGGAGCUGAGUCCGCGUCAGGCGCCGUCCUUGCCGCCGCAAAGCGAAGCCGGCCGAUCGCUCGAGUGGGAGUCGACGCGAGAUCGCGAGCGAGCCGAGCUGAGCCUUCUCUUGGUGCUGAUGGAACACGAAGUCGUGAGCGAGCCGAGCUGAGCCUUCUCUUGAUGCGGAUGGAGCCGUAAGGGGGCGCCGUCAGAUUGCUCGCUCGUCCACGCGUCGCCCAUCUAAGUCAGGUAUGCACCGCGCUUCGUUUGAAGCCGAUCUGCACAGCAUUUUUUUUUCCGUUGUUGCUGUUGUCGACGUAGCAACAGAGAAUACAAGAGAGUUC
rnacentral:lncRNA from 1 species